rnacentral:lncRNA from 1 species
CCCAAGCUAACUUGCAAAAAAAUCUCUUAUGGUUUCAAAUCAUACAUUCCAACCCCUUAUUGUUUGAACAAAUUUGAAACAACAAUGAAAAUUGUCAAAACUAAUAGAGGUGGAUGAAAUGGCACAAUUAUCCUAAUAUAUGUGGGCAAAAAAGACCGUAACAACCAUUCUGAUUAAGCAAAUAUAUGGAAAACACCUUAUGGUUGAACGGACCUAUGGAAAAACCCCCUAUGGUCACCUAUUGAUGGCAUCACCAUUCUCCACCUUUCACCCCCACUCUCCUCUUCAUCUAAAUCCCCUCCCCCUUCUUUUUCCUCCUUUCUCUUCCCCUCCCUCUUCCUCCUCCUUUCCCUCUCUUGCACCCACUUUCCCUAUCCUUGCAGCCCUUUUCCCAUACCUUCUCACCUUCUUCUUGUGACUAGAUCUGUUGUAGGAGGAAAGGAAGGGUGUGCAGGGAAGGGGCGAUCUAGUUGCAAUCUCUUCAUCGCACCUUCUUCCCUCUCUCUCUCUCUCUCUCAACCAACCAUGGUCGUUGAAAGGAAAGAUAGUGUAGAGAAGUAACCGUGAGGUGAUAAGAUGGAGUAUGAUACAGGGGAGAGGGAAAGGGAGAUGAGAAAGAAGGAAAGUGAUGAUGGAGGAGAAGGUGGCGAUAGAAGGAGAAGGAGAAGGUGGUGGUGAGAGAUGGAGGUGGUGGUGGAGAAAGAGAUAAUGGUGGUAUUUUAUUUUUAUUUAUUUAUUUUGUGUAUAGGGAUAAGGUGAAUUGUAUUUGAGAGUUUUUAUUUAUUUAUUUGUAUAUAGAAAUAAAAUGAGUUGUAUUUGAAAAUUUUGAUUCAUUUAUUUUGUAUAUAGAAAUAAAGUGAGUUGCAUUUAGGAGUUUUGGAUGGUUUUUGAGAAUUUUAUGAGCUCUAAGGACUAAGGGGUUUAAUAAAUAUAUUAGCUAAAAGUUGAUUUAAAAAAUUAUUUUUCAAGUCAAGCACUUGAAAUACGAGCGCAUUUAUUUCAAACUCGUUAAUUUAAAUGAUUUUUUAAUCAUUUUUUUUAUAUUAGUUCAAACCAUUAAGUACCGGAUUAUAUGAUUGGAAACCACAGGGAACAUUUUCUAUAUGUUUGCUUCACCACGGAAACCUUUUCUGCAUUUUACCCUUUUAUUUAAUUCUAAGGGUAUAAUAGGUAUAUCAAUUAAAACUUUAUUUGUUUUCAGUGCAAAUACUAGCAAAAGAGGUGUGUGUAUCUUAAAUCCGUUAAUUCAAAGGAUUUUCGUCACUUUUUUAGAUUAGUUCAAACCACAAGGUACCGAAAUGUAUAUUUUGAAAAUAUAUGGGCCUUUUUUUGUAGAUUCGCCUAACCACAGGAACUUUUCUUUAUUUUACCCAAAAAUUAAAAAAAAAAAUCGGGUGUAGUUAUUUGUCAACUGCUGAAUAAUUUGCUAGAGAAGGCUGUCUAACGAGGUCGUUUUGUUUAAGAACUUCAACUCAGGGUCUGUGACUUUUGGGCUUUGCUAAUAGCCUAGUAGAAAUUAAUUAUCAUGUUUGAACUUCACUGAAAAUUUUAAAGGAAAGUGAAAUUUUGCUCAAAAUAAGUCAAAGUAUAUUAAAAAUAAAAGAAGAAUCUGGAUAUAUGAUCCCAUUGGAUAUCACAAUCCGCAAAGAAAAAAGUUUUAAAUAUUAUUUUAUUUGAAUCAUAAAUAUAAUUCUCAAUUAUCAUUUUAUCUUACAUACAUCACAUCAUAAAAAGUGUUAUAAUAUUAUAUUAAAGCAAAAAUUUUCAUAUAAUCUAAAACUUGUGUUUAAAAUUUUUCAAAACACGUUGUCAAAACAGUAUAAAACAAACGAUGUUGUUUUGUCCUUUCCAAGCAUUCAAUUCCAGCAAUCCACCGCAUUGAAGAAUUCUUUUCAAAUGAGAAAAAAAUAACGCAAAUUGCAGGCAGUUAGAGUAUUUCUCCUUGACAACGGGUGAAAGAAUAGUGGAAUAGUAAUCUGUAGUGUAUAAUUCCCACCUCCAGCAAGUUAUUAACGAAGUCUCUCUCACCUACUUGCUGACUGACUCAGCUCGACAGUUUGGGAUAAAGAAGAACCUCAAGCAGAAGAUUUGUGAUUCUAAUAUAAUCAAUCUCCAUGCUGCAUAUCCAUUUCUAAACACCUGAGGUUGUAAACCACAAGAAAUUCUUGGCGCAUCCGACAAUGUAUUGUAUGGAUAUGUGCAAUAUUGAGUUGUGGUUGCAAAAGUCAACAAGUGUAAAUUCCUUGUAGACACCUAAUUUGAUUGUCAUACUUGUAGUUUUUUGUGGUCUGACCUCACAAAUAUCAGAAAUGCAACCAGGAGAUGCAACUUCAAAAGAGUUGAACUCAAGAAUCAGAGAAUAGUAGAUAAAGAAGGAAUAUCUACUUUUAUACGCAAAAGCUACUGCAUACAUAAAAGCUAAAGUACUUGAAAACAGACUUCCAAUGUGGACCGUCAUACUUGUGAAUCCGUUUCUUGCAAUACAAUUACAUUGAGUGCUGCUCCAUUUUUGGGAUUCAUAUUUUCUUUGAUAUUCACAUCUGUUAAACUAUCUUAUACUUGUAUUAUACAAUGCAGAAAGUUGAGAAAUUACCACCUAGCAUUGUACAAGUCAACCUAUACUCAAGAUUGAAAAGAAGCCCGAAGUUGCAUUUGCCACUCCAUACAGUCCUCAAAAUCGAAACUGCUUGCACAAUCCAAUAGAGCAGUUUGCUGAUGCUCAUAGCGGCAUAUGUAGUUCAAACCAACCAGUAGCUCACAGAUUGCAGCCUCCGUCUUUGCCUGGUCAGCAAAGUACAAGGUUUGGAGCAACAGCACAUUUGUCUUGGUAACUAUCUGCUGCUGCUCAAAAUUACGUUCGCUUUGCCACCUGAUCAUGUUAUGCGCCAUGGGGGCAAGCCACUUCAGUAUCUCAUCAAGCCUUUCCUUCCAAUCAUGGGCCAGAGGAGCAUCAUAGAUAGCUAAGUCUUUCACAUAAGCUUUCAGUUUACUCUUCAAAGUUUUUCUUAAGCUUGUUGGCAGCAUCUGAUAGAGGUCAUCCCUGGCUUCCUCACCAACCAAAUGUGGAUAACGGAGCAGCUUCUCUAUCACGAUGAUAACAUUUGCAUAAUGCAGGGCUAGCGCAGAGCCUCCAACAGUGCAGUCAGGAGCAUAAACAAACAGCUUACUUUUGGAGCCAAAUUUUGCACCGUUUGCCACAUUACUUUGAAGUUUCCUUGGAUCUCCACUGACGGACCGACUCAAUAAACCUGAGAGUGCAGGAUGCUCCCUCUUCAAACCAUUUGCAACACUGCAACAGCUGGAAAUUUGACUAGAUCGAUCGUAAUUAACUGUAUCAUCAUCGUCAUCAUCUACUUUUGAGGUAGAACUGCUCAAGCUAAGGCAUUCCAUAAACAACCUUCCAGGCCCUAUCCCACAAGUGAAGUUAAAAUCCUCAGGACUAAAUAAGCCAGCUUCACUUCGCUGCAUUCCAGCCUUUGGCCUAUCAUAGUUGACACCUUUAUUCUCCAACACCUUCUUUUCCAUCAGUCCGGAAUGAUGAUUACCAACACUCUUGCUCAAAGUUUGUUUCAUCAAGUCAGUCCCUACCUGAACACCACACUCACCGUUUAUCUGGCCCGAUUUUGCUUCAUAAUCUUGCUUCAUAUGACGCAAACUCCCACUAAAACCAACCUGUGGCCCUGAAACUGCACCAUUCAACGAAUCCCUCCUUAAAAUCGCAUCCCCAAAAACCAAAGCAAUCCUUGCAUAAAUUGUACAAACAGUUCUAGCCAACAACUCUACAACCUUAUCAUAAGUCUGAUUCCAAAGGGACACAUCCUUCAAAUGCCUAACAUCCUGUUUCUGCCAAACUAACUUCUGCUCAAAGGCCUUCCUACUCUCUUCAUGUUGGUUCUGUUGAAACUUCUUAGUGGCAAUUUCCAACUCAUUAAGAACCUCCAUUUCAUGGUAUAAAUUAGCUGUAAAACUGACAUAUCUUUCCAUUUUCCUCACUCUUCCCUCCAUAUCCUUAACCAAAAAUCCCAAUUCCUUUACAUCAAUCACCCCAGACAUAAUAUCCCCAUAAACAUGCUCAAAACCCUGCAGAGCAGGUAUUGUACAUUUCUUUCCCAACCUAGAUACAACACUAGCAACCCUUUGCAAAUCAUCAAGUUUUUCAACAAGGGCUAAUUCUAAAAGCCUUGUUUCAUCAUCAGAAACUAGUUUCUUUAUCCCUUCAGAAUUCAAGAUCUCAUUUUUAAGCUUAAAAAUUUCACUAUCAGCUAAAGAUUUAUGAAGAUAAAUAAUCUUAGACAUCACAUUAGCAACUUCGAAUGAAAGAAUCCCAAUAAUUUUCUUCUCUUGCUGGCCUUGUUUUUUAUUACCAGAAGAUGAUUUUUUGGGAUUUUCCAGAGCUAAAGAAUUCUUGAAACUGCCACUUACCUGAUUUCCCAUCUUUAUUAACCAAGGCUCCGCCACCAUCUCGACCAAUCCUUCUUCUGGAUAAGAUCUACAAGCUCAAGUUUUUGUCUUUUAGAUCUGACCAGCAGCCCUCAACAUUCAGAUGCUUCAAAAUGUCCAAAAACAACAAAUUCAUGGACACACCUUUACUUGGGGCUUGAAAAAAAUGCAACACAGAGAAAAAAAAAAGUUGGGAUUUUGUUGGGGUAUAAGGAAGAAAACAAACUUGUAUUCAAGAAUGCUGAAAAGGGCCAAUGAUUUUGUGCUUAGAAAAGUGAGGACAAUGCUCAUAAGGAAGCAAUAGGCAUGGCUUCAGUAGUAGUACAGUGCAUUCUUGCAAGCAUGGUGAAGGUGCAAUUGAUUGAUGAAUAGAGAGAAGGAACUGUGGGAGAAAAUGGAGGGAAAAGAAGUAAGAAUUGAUUGGCUUUCAGCAAAGCUUCGGUCUAUAUAUGAUUCUGGGUGUAAAUUUCAUGGAUAUGUCAUGAUGUUUUCGAAAAGGCAAUUGGAAGUGUUUGAAGGAGGCCAAAGCGUUGUUUUAUGGGGUACCCAUACAUCACGUCUGCACCUUUCGUUUUUGUUUUUGAGUUUGUCUUUCUGAUUUUCCUUUACUGUGAUUUUUUUCUGUUUUUGAGUGUUGGCUCAAAUCAAAUCUCUUUAAUUAAAGGGCGAUUAGUGUUCCUUGCGAAAUUCUCCUUUCAAAGUUUUUUCUUUAAAGGAUCUCCCUUCAAAGUUUCACCACAUUUGUGAGGGUCAAACUUCUCGCGUUCAAAGUUUUACCACAUUUGUGAGGGUCAAAAUUCUAGUGGUCAACACUUUAACCAGGAUAAAAAAUUUUGAACCAGGACGCUGUUCGGGCAUGCAUUAAUGAACACAUGGUGAACUUUAAAUAGGGGACUUGAUAGGUUGGCCUAUACCAUGUUGUUUGGAAGUGACCAAGAUUUGGAUUUAGUGAAGUGUUCAUUGUAUUUUGACAAAAAAAAAAAAAAGAAGUGCUCAUUGUAAAAAUAGUGAGAAAAUCAGGAUUUGAGGACUUAUAUCUCUAGGUGUUGGAGGUUAGUUAUAUAUCAAAUUUCAACCCAUAACUGACAAUAAUUGUUCGAUAUUUUUCACUUGUCAAACAAAAACAGACUUAAUUGAUAUUUGUGUAUAUUUAAUUACGUAACUUCUGUCAUUAGUACAAAUUUUAAUGAAAUUAUGAUAUUUAUAAAAAUAAAAAAUAAAAAUAGACUUUUUGAUAAACCCUUGUUUGGUUGGUUCUUUCUCAAUUUGUAGUUUAUAUGUUAAAAAUCAAAUUUGUGUUAAUUGUGAAUUCUUAGCUAUUUAGGGGCCAUGAGUGUGAAUGAAACCUAACAUUCGCUUGGUAUAGACCAUUAUGCAAUGAUGUCUUAAAUGUUCUUGGUGAAUUCUAGGCAGAGAGACAUGUAUGAUGAAAUAUGACGAAUUUAAGGUCAUUCAGAGGCUGGAAAUCUCUAGUAUUUGGUUGGUAAGAGGGUUGAAAAUUCUGAUGUGCUUCUAUUCUUUUGGGGUUGAAAAACAUUCAAUCAGAAGUCCAACAGUUGGAAGAAGGUUGGUUCCAAUUCCAAAGUCAAAUGUGUACACAAUUUUAUCUUCUUCGAGAAGGAUAUUUUUUUUUUUUAGAGGGGGAAUUCCAUCACGCAAUCAACAAGGUUAAAGAGUCCAACGGGUAUCCCACGGCCAUGCGUAGUUGGAUUGGAGUUGCUAAGAAGUUGAUGAAUACAUCCCCCUUUUUAUUUCUUGUGAAAUUUCCUAAGAAGAGAACCAAAAGCUGUUCCUAAAGAACGUGGAAAAUGCUAUAUGUUUGAAUGUUGAGGAGGAGUAACGAGACGUGAAAGGAUGAAGAUGGAAGGAAAGACUUUACAUCACUGUCAAGAUUUUAGCUUGAAAAGUAUAGAGUAAUUAUGGAUGUGAUUUUGGUUUUGAUACUCAAAUAUAAUAAGAGGAACCAACAACGAAUAGAUGGUAACAAGACUUUAAGUUAUGGGAUGAUUUUGUCAAAAGGUGACCAAAGUUGGAGUUGGUAACUUUGUUCUAUAUAACAAAGACAAAUCUUUCUUCCAACCAUGCACUCAAGCAAGAGAUCCAAAGACAAAACACAGGAUGACGAAAAGAAACUACCCAUCCACUACACCAAGGGCACCUAAGCCAAUUAUCUUUUACUGUGGAUUCGGAUCAAACAUCAUGAGAAGUGUUUAGAUAGACCCAGAACAUGCAUUUUCGUAUCCAGGCAUGUUGACCAGUAUUUAUCCUACAUGUUUAGAACAAUAAAUUAAGAAAAUGGAAUCUGGAAAGUGAACAAUUUAGAGAAUCAAAUGGAACCAAUCAAUUCAGUCUUGACUAGUAGUUCCUUUUAACGUUUCAUUAAUUGUUGCUGAAGAGCUUGAUUGAUUGGAGUCAGAACAUCUACUCUCUUUGGAUCAUGGGUCAAAGUAAAGUGGAAUGUUGGAGUUGCACUGAUCAAAGAAGGCUAGUAAAUAUAUCGGCUCCGAUCCACUACAGUGGGAAACCUGCUUUGUUUGGAAGAAAAUUUUUCUUCCCUAAACUUCAAAUUAUUGUCGUGUUAAAAAUCAGAAAAUGAUGCUCAAAAAAGUUCUCCAUAAUUUGUUUUUGUAUUUUAAUUAAUUAAAAUGCAUCCCAUUUUCUAUCGGUAACAUCUUAAUUGAAGGACUAACUACCAAUUAAAGAGGGAUAGUGGAGUGGACUAUCUGCUAAGUUUCACUUCACCAUGCAUAUUAAAUGGUAUUGAAUGAAUUUUAAAUCUUUCUUCUUUAAUUAUGAUUCGUAGUGGUAGAGUGAUAUAUUUCCUUUUUUGUUUUAAUCAAUUGUCAACUCCUACUCAACUCAAUCUGUACUAGGAGAGAGCUCAGUUGCGUCAAGGCAAAAUUAGAAGGAGAUGAUCCUACCUCUAAACCAAAGAGAAGCAUUAUUGCACAUUCUUAAAUUUUGCUACAGGUGCAGAGAUUUAAACCGCUGACCUAUAGUCAAGCCUGCACCUUAUUUCAAUUCAAUCUUUCAAGUAGUAUUUCCCUUCACUAAUGCUCGAGUGCAUCUACAUUAAUUUAGUGGACGCCUUAUUGUAGAUUUAUGUCAUUUGUAUAGCUUGUAGCUAUUGCAACUAACUACGAGGGCCUCAAGAGAAAAAAAAAAAAAAAAAAAAAAAGGCUCAAGGUAUGCAAAGAUUAAUAGUUAAAAUAUAAAACAUUUUUUGAUUACUUGGACCGAUUUUAUAUUGAAAAAAAAAAUAGGGCGAACCUAAGUAUGUGAUGUCAGUCAAUGAAUUAUGGCCGUCUUCUACAAAUCAAAAUAGUAGUAACAAACUUACAAGUACUAAGGAAUGAAGAACAUGAUGAUGGUUGAAGCGGUUUCCCUCCAAAUAUGAAUGUACGUUUGCAGUUGGAAUCAUAUCCUGAGUGGAGAAUAUAGGAGAAGGCUGUUGGACUUGCCCCACGAGUUCUUUUUAUGGCUCUAAAAUAUAUACUGCUAAUUUACAAAGCCUUGUCCAUGUCAAUAUCGGCAUGGAAUUGGAGGGACGGUUGCUUUUGUUCUUUUGUGUUUUGAAGUUUUAUGUCUUGCUUUUUGACCAAUUGUACAGCUUAAAGAUUGAUACAAAAAGUCAUCAAUUUGCUAACCACUAUGUACCAACUAGUCAGUAGAUACUAAUUCAUAAUGGUAAGCUUAAAGGAUAUGAAAAUGUGGGCAUAAUUGCUUACUUUGUGGGAUCGGUUUGAUUGAUUUUCAGACUAGCAGACGUCUUUUAAUUAAAAGGUUGGACGUUCCCAUGUCCUUUUUUAUUCUGUUUUCCGUGUUUACAAUAAAAUCCCUCGUGGGGUUUGAUUUUUUUUAGUGAGAGUUUCUUCUCUCUAAAAGAUUCCUCGUAAAAGUUUUCUCUUCUCCUAGAGAUUUUAUAACGAGAGUUUCUUAUCUUUCAAAGAUUUCUAACGAGAGUUUCCUUCUCUUCUAGGGAUUUUUAAUGUGAGUUUUUGUAAUUAGUCUAUUUCUUGUAUUAGAGCUAUUUUUUUUUUUUUCUGAAUUUGGUUGUCGUUAUCAGAUUUGAGAUUUCUUAAAUUUACCUUGUCAGAUUUCACUUUAACAUCUGAAUUUGAAUCAGUUUAUUAGCAAAUAUGGGAAGAAGCAAGCAGUAUAGUUAUAGUUGGAAACAUACAUAAAUGAUCUUGGGACUAUAAGUACUUUUAUCUUUUAAUUUUUUUUGGAGGUUCAAUGUAAUAUUCUACUGAUUUUCCAGAUCUAUAGUGACAAAGUAUUUAUUCUUCAAAUCUGUUUAUAUCUGUGUAUGGUUGAUAUCUGUAUAUAUAUGAUUGAUAUAAUUUCUGCCAUUAGUGCAGAUUUAAUAAAAUGACGAUAUUUUUUUUAUAAAAAAAAAAAAUGUUGGACGCUUAAGUUGGUGUCUAUAGGACUAAUUCGAUGACAAAACAAAUCAGCAUCAUUCACGUUCGUAAUCAUAUAAACCAAAGCUUCUAUUCUUGUCCAUGAAUAUCAAUGCAAAAGGUUCUAGGAAUCCCCAACUUUUCUAAAAGAAAAACUCCCUCCAUGGAGGUAUAAUAACCCAUGCAAAGCUUUUUGCAGCAUUUCAAUUUUGAAUUGCUAGCCGUGAACAACUAAGAAACAUUAAAUCAGAAUAUGUCAUAUAUGUAUACACACAUAUAUAUAUAUAUAUACAUACACCAAGUUGUAAAACAUAUUUAAUUGAUUUCCUCCGUUUAAAAUUAGAGUUGAACCAAAAUUGGAGAAAAGUGAAGUUCCAUCAAAUUUUCUCACUACUAUAUCAUAAUAAAGCGACUUCCAUUCAUAAUUUUGGCAAAUUUGUUGGAAGCUAUUUUGGUUUAUUUGCUCGACUUGGGUAAUCAUCAUGUUGUGCCCAAUGCUUCAGGCUGCAAUAACUAGCUUCUUACUUUCACCAACCCUUGAAAACAGCCUAAAGUCCUAAACUGCUGCUUUUAAGACCUUUUAUGAAGUGGUCUCUCAGCAUAUAUAAAGUUCCUGCCAUCUUUUCUUUUCCUGAAUCAAAAAAGCCAAAAAUCAGUACACAAAACAUUAUGAGACCUGAUGUAUUUAGGUAUUAUCUAGAUGCAAAAUAAAGUAAAAGGGCUUACUGAAAAUGAUGUAAAGCAGAAGAAAACAAGACUAUUUAGCAUUUUGAAGACCACCACUAUAUGGUCGGACCAGUUGGAGAAAAGAGAUUUCAAGUCGGCCAGCACAUGAAUGUAAACUCCAGCAAAAACAUGGCAUGCCAUGGUGUAUAUUUCGGAAAGAAGCCAAUUCAUGCACAUAUUUUAUUAUAUAUAUCAAAAACAUGGCUAGAGCUUUCAAAAAAACCUAUCAGGCAGCUGACCUAAAUCAGAAAAUUGCUUUCACCUACUGUUGGUUGCUGUCUAAACUCUAAUAUGAUGGCCACUACGCCUGUAGCUAUUUCUCUCAGCUACCGGACUGGUAAGCCCUCCAUUACGCAUGCAUGGUCGAGUAAUUAUCAAAAGGAGCUUUCAAAUACAAACUUUUGAUCAGCUUUCUUUUUAUUUUUUAAGCAGGAGGUUUUGAACUCAGGAGUUUCUGCGUACAAUCCCUUCUACUUUACUGCUGAACUCAACCCUCUUCCUUCUUGAUUAUCUUACAAAGUCUACAGCAAAACAACCUCAAUUAUUUAACUGGGGGGGGGGGGGGGGGGGGAGUAGUUGUAAAGCUGUGCCAGGGGACAUAUCUUCUUCAUUGACAUUAUUAAAACCAAACAACAAAUUAAACAAAAAAGUGAUCAAACAAGGGUACCAAAACAAGUAUGAGACUAUUGUGUAAGUUGGCAAGAUCAAAAACUGACACAACUUUUUAUUCUUUUACACGUUUUUUCUAUUCCCUUCUAUCUGAUGCAGCCCAUGUCGUUAAGUUUAUUGUAAACGAAUCUCAUAAUUUUAUCAAGCUGUUAAGGGGUGAUGCAAUUUAGAAUACAAAGAAAAAUAUGAUUUUAUUUGUUUGGACAAGAGAUUAUUUGCAAAAUAUUAUUUAAUUACAUCAUAAACACAUUUUAUAACCACUUUUUUUAUAUUUUCAAUUAUUUUUUAUUUCACAUAUAUCAUAUCAUAAAAAAUAAUACAGCGCUGAUCCAAAAUAUUAUUUCAAAUAAUCUCCUAUCCAAACACACAAUUUUCAGACAAUUAUCCUGUGCUGUCAUUAAUUUGGUGCAGUUGCAACAGAGUCACCUCUGCAAGAGAAGUUAUGAUGAGCCCUAUCAAAGACCCAAACAGCCUGACCCAAAUCUAAAUCCUAAACAUCCCAAACACGCAGUGUGGACCAAAUGUUACUCACAAUUCACCCAAUCGUCAGAGCCCAUCUGAUCAUGGACAUGAUUUGGUUUCGAGGGCUAGGUGCAAAGACACCAUUCGAUAUGUGCUCAUGGACCUCAUAUAGUUCUCAAUUGAAUUUCUAGCUUGCUGUCGAUUGAUUAUUUUAUUUGAUUAUAGAUUCUGAUUUUAAAUAACUAAUUUUGAUAAUAUUUUAGUUUACUUGUGUAUUCAAAUUAAAAAAUUUUUAAUAUCCAAAAAAAAUAAAAUAUUUAAUUAAUCAAAGAAUAACUUUUACUAAUUCUGAUUAUUCUUUAUAAUUAAAUUUUACAAAAAUCUAAAGCAGACGAAUUGCAUCUGUUCAUUUUUUCAGUUUGCCCAAUAUGUUUUUAUUCGUGUAUGGUUAGGAUGGCCAUAAUUGAGAUAUAUAAUCAUAGCAUCAAUGUGUGUGAUCAAUUUGUGAUGUACAACGAGCUCAAUUUCAAUGUUCAAACAAUUGAGAGCUUGCAUGAAUAUGAAUAUGAAUGUGUAGUAGUCCUUGCUUUUUAAUUCUUGUCGUAAUUGGGCCUAAACUAUCCCCUCCAUUAGUGACAUUCUAGGUGGGUAGCCUUUUUAAUUUCCUAAAAGUUUUUUUUUUUUUUGGAUGAAUAAUAUACUUUUGGCUAAAAAUAUAUUAAAUAUGCAAUAAAUUUAAAUAGAUUUGAAAAUCAAUUUACACAAUAGAUCUUAAAAAUCAAUAAAGACAACAUUAAAAUUCCAAAAUAUUUUGCUUUGAGACUAAAAUUUUGAACAUCUUCUUUUGCAAAAUCCUACCUGAAUGUUAAUCAGACUUCAAUCCGAGACCUAUUUAGUCUAAGGAAUAAUACCUCAAUCAACCCAGUUUUAACUUUCUUUCAUGACCUGAAAUGUGAUAAUGCAGCAUUUCCAUCCAUGGCUUUCAUUAGGAAGCAUUUUGUAUACUCUUCAAUGGUAGUCUCCCUGUAGACUGGAGGGUUUUCUUCUGACAAUAGCUCCUUGACAGGUCCAUAUGGUCGCGAAACAUACCCUUCACCGUAUUGUGGCCUGAGGAAACUUGCCACCGAAAUUCUAGGUCCGAUCUUAUUAGCGAGUACUCUAUGACGAACACUUUUGAAUUUAUCAUUUGUCACAAUCUGCAUCAAGAAGGUACCAGUUUUUUUUUUUCAAAAUUUUUGUGUAAUUUCUCCAAAUACUGAGCUAUAUUAUGGAGUAAUUAUGAAAGCAAAACUUGCCUGAAGCAUGUCUCCCAGGUUAAUUACUAAGGCACCGGGCAAAGGAGAGACAUCAACCCAUUCAUCUUUAUGUAAAACUUGAAGGCCGCCAAGUUCAUCUUGAAGGAUUAUGGUCAGAAAAUCAUUAUCUGUAUGAUCAGCAGUACCAAAAGUCAGUUCUGGUUCAGGACAAGGUGGAUAGUAAUGCCCCUUCACCACAAGUCCAUCAGCACAGCCAAUGUUUUCAAGAAGCGUAGCAUCGAGUCCUGCAGCCUCUGAGACCAACCGUAACAGGAUAAGGGCCAAUUCCAUCGCGCAUUUCGAGUAUUCAAUUGAUGCAUCCCUGCAGCAUAAACAAGUAUAGUUAAAGCUUCAAAGAAGUCAAAGAUCUGGGAUACACGUAAUGAAAAGCAUACAUGUUGUAUAUCUAUACAUUUGUCUAUCUCUAGAGCACAUAUUGAUCAAGUGCUAGUAAGAUUCCUCAAGUGUACAAGUUUAAGUAAAUGUUAUGAAUAUUUGUUUGUAGCUUUGAUCUGCAAAUAGAUUGGACUUCAAUAUCUGUAAUGGCCAAGUGAAAUUUAGUACAUAACCCUUGAUUCCUCUUGUCCCAAUGACUAAAAGUUCGUAGCAUCACCUAAAACUUUAGAAGAUCACAAGAGUGUCUAAAAGUAGAGGUGGGAUGUAAGUACAAUUUAAGGAUAAAGGAAAUGGAAUACCUUAAUUAGGUUUGGGAGAAUUGAGAGGUUGAGAACUGUUUGUAAUUUUUACAAUCACACCUCUAACUUGCUACUUUCCUAGUGUUGUGAUAGGUUGAGGUCCUGUUUGAUAACUCAGUUUAACACUUAAAUUUAAUAAAUUUAUAUCUUAACAUAUUCAGACCGUUUGAUAACCAAAAAUUAAACAUCUGAAUUAAUUAAGUGACACUAAAUUUUCUAGAUAAAACUUGCUUCCAAAAUUCAGUGAUAAACCAUUCACUUAUCACUGAAUGUGAUAUGCUCUUAAAUGUAUUAGAUGUAAUAUUUAAUAAUUCAAUAAUUUAAUGAAUUCAGACUUUAGAUUUCAGAUUUCAGUUUAAUCACAGUUUAAUCAGACGCACUCUUAAAAGCACUCUGACUCUCAAAUGUUUUAUAGUACUAAAGAAAACAAACGGAGCAAGAGAUGCAAACCUGCAAACCAAGGGAAUUUCUUCAGGUUCUGGUGGACAAGGAACCAUUUUGAAAGUAAUGGUAUCUUUCCAUACAGCUGCCUUUGAAUAAUACAAAUCAAUGUUGCUGUGAUACACAACUUUUUUGGCCAGAUCCCGGCUAUAGUAUUUCCUUUUUGCCUCAGCUUCUUGUUCGUGAAAGAAGCGCACCCCUUCCAGCAUAUUGCCUAGUGUAACUUCUGGUAUUCCAUGAUUGAUUACCUGAAAGAAUCCCCAGUUUUCAGAUGCAUGGCGUACCUGAUUAACAAUCUCGGAAUGGUUAGUACCUCUCAUGUCAAUCACAGGAACGCGAUAAUCAAGCUUACUGCUACUGCCGGAUUUCACUACAGGAAUGUGGUGCUCAUGGACAAACAUACGAGGAACCUUAGUAACUCCUGCGUCGAAUAGUCCCUUGACGCCGGCUUUGGAAUCAUCAAAGGCUUUCAAUUCCCUUUCGCGAUCAUCACUGGGGAAGGCAUGUGAUUCAACUUCUCUGCCGCCUGCGACAACCAUUUUGUUCCGCUCUUAAGCUGUGGCCUGCAAGAGCUGGUUAAGCUAGAAAAAAUCAAACGCUUGAUUCAGUUUCGAAGAAAUGUGAACAGGGAUGUUGAUUGCUGAACUUCAAAGUUCAAAGAGAGAGAGAGAGAGAGAAGGCUAGGCUUUGAUGAUUCAUCGAUCGAUUAAAUGCACAAAUUGAUCCGUCACUGACAAUUUGAUAACCAUUUGUUUAAACACAGGUCUUGUCGUGCUUGAAUCAUGCACGUGGCCAAGAAAUGGAAGGAGACUGGUCCCUUUUUUCGGGUCAGUCUAAAAGCUACUCAUACCUCUAUUCUAACUUAUUCUAAGAGAUGAUCCAACAGGAUCACGAGAAAUCAACGGAGAUUGAACUAUACCAUCAUCGUACCAUACCGAUGUAUUACGCACUCAUAUGAAUUUAAGAGAAAGCAUAUCAAGUGACAACUUUGAUGGAAGAUAAGAGGUUUGAACCUUGAUCUCCCAUCCCACAAGACAUAUGAAGGCCAACUACUCUAGAGAUAGUUGAUUAGAAAGAGGCUAGUACUCGAAGAUCCAAUGAUACAUAGAGAUAACCAUCUUACGCUACUGAUGAUAGGGCAGAUGUUUUAAGCCCAACUAACGCUAAUUAUACAACGCAAAUAAUCAAAGGAGACAACUGGAGCUUGGAAAGCCAUGUUGCUAAGGUCGAUACAAUUUAUGUUGAUGAUUAUUUCUAAUUUCUAGUUGAUCCAGGACUGAGAGCCUUGAAAUUUUUAGACCAACCCGGGCCUGUUGUUGAGGAGAGACACAUGUUGCAUGAAAUCUUGAACUUUUAAACGACAGAAAAAAAUUUAAAAGAAAAACACUUUUUUUUUUUAAGCAAAAAAUAAUAAAACAAUUUACCCUGGGUUCUUCUCUCUUUUGUACCUCACGAAGGCAUGUUGGUUGGGAAUUGGGAUGAAGGUUUUGAAGGGAUCGAGUAUUGGGUUUGGUUUAUAAGUCCCUGGAAGGACCUCAAGAGUUGCCGGCUUUUGAGGUUUCUUCUGGGAUUAGGUUUAUAAAAACCGAAUUUCUAGACUUCAGUUUAGAAAAGGUCAAGAGUAUUGUAUUCUACAAUACACAGUAUGAUAUAUGUACAAAAAAAAAAAAAAACAAAUGUGAAUAUUACUACAACAAAUGUGGUCAAUAAUCAGAAAUUUUGUCCUAUAUUCAGUUUCAUUAGUCCAAUUUUAAAUUAAACAUGUCGGAAUCAUAGACUACACCAUUUUCUAACAAUUGGAUAAUUACUCAAUCCAGUUGGAAGAAUGGUCACAACAAUUUUUGUACUAUUUUAUUUCGGGUUAAUUCCACUUUGUCCCCCCAAACUUUGGACGAUUAGCCACUUCAGUCCCUAAACUUCAAAAUGGGACACUUAAGUCCCUAAACUUAUAAAUACCUCCCACUUAAGUCCCUAAACUUAUAAAAUGGGACACUUAAAUCCCUAAACCCUUAUAAAAUGGGACACUUCGACCACCAACAGCAUUCAGAAUUUGUUAACAAUUUUCCUCAAGUGGGAGGUAUUUAUAAGUUUAGGGAUUUAAGUGUCCCAUUUUGAAGUUUAGGGACUGAAGUGGGUAAUCGUCCAAAGUUUGGGGGGACAAAGUGGUAUUAACCCAUUUUAUUUCACCUCUAACAUUUUUUUGUUUAAAUCGACAAAGUACCUGCCAUAGUGAUGUCAUGGCUAUACCUAUGAAGCCCAAAUUUGUUGGGGUGAACCGCCAAAUAAUUGUCUUAGGGCUAUGUCUAUGAGGCCGUUCCAACUUCUGGUGGGCCAAAGAAGACGAAUUGCUACAAAAUUUUCUCUUCGAAUAACUUCCAUCUUAUACACGAGCUUUUGUUGAAAACAAAAUUCGUUAGUCUUCAUAUUAUAUGAACAAUACAGUGUAUGACUUUAAGGUAAAACAUUGUAUGGUUCACAAACACCAGAAAAGGCCGAGCAUAUAAAAUGAUUGAAGUAAAUGAACGAUGUGAUGUAAACAGUAGUAUAUGAUUGGCUUAAACAAGAAGUAUGUCAUAUUUUACCUUCUUUUUACUAUCAACCUUCUCUCCACUAUUGUUCUUUCAUAGGAGGGAAUCUUGACUUCAAAUCAAGGUCUUCCUUGCUCUUCAUCUGUUGCUUUUGUUUUACGUUUGAUAAAGUCUCUCUUAGCGCAUUCCAAUGAGCGUUUUUAAUCUCUUAGUAUUUAUUAGUGAGAGUUUUCUUCUUUUUUAGAAUAUCCUAAUGUGAGUAUUGUUUAAUUUUUUGUUAUUUUUACUCAGAUCUAAGAAUUUUUUUUUUAGAUCCAUAUAUUUCUUGAAUCUUUUCAUCAAAUCUCAACAUCAGUUUUAAACUUGAACUAGUUGGAUAGAAGAUUGAGAGAAUAGGCAUGCACAAACUUGGUUAGAUGUGACGGUUCGUAAUUUACAAUGUAAUUUUUUAUAUUUUGUAUCUGUUAAAUCUAAUGAUUUUCUAGAUCAAAUAUAUCUAUGAUAUGUUUUAUGUAUGUUGUCCAUUAGUGCAACUAUCUUUGUCAAGCAAAUCAUACGUGUUGAAGAAUUUUAACCUAGUUUAUUAAUAAUAUCGACUUUUGUUUCAUAAAAAAAAAAGAGGUAUGUCAUUUUUGGUAGAAGGGAUUGUAAAUAGGAGUUCAAGACCUCCCACUUACAAAAAUAAAUAAAUAAGAGAGGUACAUCAUUUUAUUUACUAGUCAUGUAAGGAAAAGAAUAGUUGUAUUAUCUUGAAGUACAAUGUGGAGGAACUUCCAAAUGCUAGAUAAGUGUAUUAUUUUAGAGAUUCAACACCAUUCGUGUCAACUUGAAAAACCAUUAAUCAGAUAGAUAAUUUUAAUUAAUCUGGUUGGGACAACAAAUCUUAAUUAUCCAUUUUUUUGCUUGGGCUUGAAAUUUAGCCUUGUUUGGUAAUCUUAAUGCAGUUUUUUCCUUUUCUUUUUUCCAUUUUAUUCUCGGAGCACAAGAUGGGAAGCAAACAAAAAAGUUUUUUUUUUUUUUUACGUUGUAUAGGCAUUAAAUUUCUGUUGGCAUUAAAACUGCAACAUCCAACUCAAGUUUUGUGUCAAAUUCAUCAUUCAAAGAUUGUUUGACCCGUGAGGCCAUGACCUUCCCAAAUUGCUUUUGUGAGUCAACAACAAUCUUUAACAUUUCUGCAAACUUUCCCAUGAAUACACUCAGUUACCAAACUCAAACCCAGGUAAGGUUGCUUCUGGGAUUAUGCUUAUAUAGAUCAGGUCUAUAUAUAUGGAUUGCAUCUCCAAAAAAAGAAAAAGAAAAAAGGGUUUCAUGUAGAUUUUACGUGUGAGACGAGACACAACAUAUAAAACAGGGUUUACGUAGAUCGUUGUCCAUGUGGACUGUUGCAGAGGCAAAAUACAAUAUUCUUUGCACCAAUGCAUCCAUGAAUUGUACCGUGAUAGAUAUUGGACUAUUUGGGCUACAUAAUCCACAAAAGCAUAUUAUAAAAUUAGAACCAGAAGAUCACGAGUCGUUGUAGCCAGAAAACAGCCAUGUGAAUCCUACCAAACAACUUUAUCUGUUCUGAGAAAGUUUUAAAGAGCCCAGAGUCUCAGUUUUCUGAACUUCCUUUGAAGAUAGUGCAUGACAGAUUACGGCGUUCAACAUUGUUGUGCUAUCAAGAUUUUCUUUACAGGCAAAACACGUUUUGCAUGAGUUGUUCUUACUGGCUUUUUAGCCUUAGACCAUUCAAAACCAGCAAAAGAGGUAAACGUCUGAUAUCAGUGCAAUUGUUACUUGUGUGGAAGGGCGGUGUUGGCAUGCUCUGCCGGUGGAUAAUGGGGCUACUUUUUGUUUGUCUAAUUUAACUCUUUUUUUCUCUUUUGUCUCAAUAAGUAUGGAUCUUUCAUAUUGGAUUUACUCUAAAUUGAUUAUUUUAACUGAUUAUAGAUUUUGAUUUUGGAUAAUCAGUUUUUUGUGAUAUUCUCAAUUGGUUUUGUAUUCUGAUUAUAGAUUUUCUAAUGAUUAAAAAGCUAAAAUCUAUAAUCAGUUAAAGAUCUAGUAGUUUUUGUUAAUUUUGAUUAUGUUAAUAAUUAGUUUCUAUAAUCAGAUUUUGUAAAAUCUAAAACAAUCCCAAAUAAGGCCAUUGUGUUGAACAAUGUAUCGUUCAUUGAUGUUUCACAUUAAUUUGGAUAUAGUUUAUGCAAAAGUAAUUGAAUAUAAUUAAAAUUUCCUACAACAAUGAAUGCAAACUUAAAAUUCUUCUAAAGAGAACGUAAAUUUCAACUGUUGGCCAAAGAAAAAAGAAAUCAAGGGUAACAAUCUUUGUGGAACAGAUAAGGUCAAAUUGUACAACUAUUACUAGGAAUCAUCCCUGCAAAUCUAACAAAACCAUCAUCCCAUGAACCAGAGACAAACCAUAUGAAUCAGCAUUGUGCCCUGUCCCAAAUAAAGGUUACAAGAAACUUCUCACUUCCCACUGAUAAAGUAGGAUCAGUGGCAGAAGAAAAUGGAUGUCGUUUUCUUCUUCUGUUGGUUUCUGUAUCUGUGGAUGUGCAGGACAGUAAUGGUGUAGGAUAAUGUUUUUUUUUUUAUUGUGGUUGGAUAAUUUUGUGGUUUAGUCUCACUCCUGAGCGAGAUUAACCUGCAAACAAAGCUGAUUGUGAUAUGCAGAGGUGAUAGCUAGGUUGCCUUCUUGCGUUUGGAUUGCAAUUUUCCAAAGAAAAAUUGUAACGUGUUUUCCGUAGAUAUAUAUUCCAAACAUCUUUUUACUUCACAUAUAUCAAAUCGUUACAGUAAUUUUUUUACAAAGGAAAUUCAGAUACCAGAAAAAUGUAGAUACCAGAAAAAUGUUUCUUCAAGUGGCGGUACCAGUUUUAACCAUUUCUUCAAGGUUACUAAGACUGCCGUAUAAAAUAUAAGAAAAUUAUAGAGACAGACUCAAUAGAAGGCCUAACAACAUAAAAUUUUCGAUUGAAUUAUUGGAAAUUCACGUCUUAAGGCUUGUAGCAGCGAACGAACAAUUGAAUAUAUGAAUCAGAAUAUAAUUUAAGCUUCAACACAACAGUUUUCCGGAAUCUAUUGACUUGAAUUUAGACCAACUAAAAUUGAAUGUAAGUUUGAGCAGCUCCAGCAAGGCUUUAGUCUCCCUCAUCCUAAUUAAUAGAGAUGGCAAUUAGAGCGGGUGCCUGUAGUAAGAGUGACGGGGCGGGGAAGAUUUUCUUCCACCUGUUCUUAAAUAGAGCGUCACCCAACCCAUCCCUACAUAAAUAAAUAAAAGAUAAAAAAUUAUACAUAAAAUAUAGUAAUGAAUAUUAUUAUUACGCUGGCUUAAUUACACCAGCUCAUAUAAUAUACUCCCUCCGUCCCCCAAUCAUAUAAUCAUGUUUGGGGAGUUCAACUUUUUAAAAAUAGUGAUUUGAUUGUGAUGUUUGUGUUUCUCUUUUCAAUUUUAUCCUUACAAAUUCAAAUUUUAAAUUUAAAUGGUAACAUAUAUAUGAUUAGAAAGAAGGGUUAUAUUGAAAAGAGAGAUUAAAAGGUGAUUUGAUAUUUCUAACGUAACUAACUAAUGUUUUGAGACAUCCAAAAAUAAAAAGUACGACACUUUCAAUGAGACGGAAGAAGUAGCAUAUAUAUACCCCUGCGGGUUUAAUUACACUGGACACUACUAAUGAUUCAACUCAAAACUUUCGGUGCUUGGUUUUGCACAGGUCACUGGGUUUAGCCUUUCUCCUUUGAUGAUACCAAUGCAGGGUGCAAAAUUUUUUCAGUUCGAUUGCAGUUUCUCGAAAAAAGUAGAACUGCAAAAUAUUUCGAGCUUUAUCUGAGUUCAUAUGUUUUUACAUGUGAUUAAGAGAUAAGAUCUGAUAGUUAUAUAUAUAUAUAUAUUAGCUUGGAUUCUCAAGUAAAAAUGUGAGAUGUUCAAAUAAAGGUAAUUUUCAAACCAUGCCUGCAUUUCUUUCCGGAAGCUUUUCGGUUGUGUUUGGAUUGCAUUUUCCAUCAUUUUUCAUGAAAAAAUUACUGUAGCGAUUUGAUAUAUGUGAGGGAAAAAGGUGAUAGGAAAAUGUGAUCACGAAAAACGACAAUAUUUUCCGACGGAAACAAGCAAUCCAAGCAUGACAAAGUGUUUGGAUACCCCAAUUUGGCCAAAUAAUAUUUCGCUUGCAUCAUAGAUACAUUUUCCAACACACCUUUUUAUAUUUCAAACCACCUUUUUAUCUCACAUACAUCACAUCACAAAAAGUGUUACAGUAAUUAUUCCAAAUAAUAUUUCAAAUAAUACACUAUCCAAACAAACUCAAUUAUAUUUUUCGACGGAAACAAGCAAUCCAAGCAUGGCUACUCCUACAUGUCAAUGCGUGUAUUGGUUGCCAUUCCUACAGGUCAAUUUUCAAACCGUCCUGUUGCCAAAUUGCCAUUCCUACUAAUCAGUAGUGUUGCUUCUUUCUUUCUCCUCCUUUUUAUAUGUUAUUUUCUUUCCUGACAAACUACCCUAUUAAGACUUUCGAUUUUGAAAAAUAUAUAGGUUAAAAUAAAUUAAUUAAUCACAACCAAAUGCAAUUCCUGUGUUGAAUUGCAGAAUGGGCGGCCGAACAAAGCAGGAAACAGUAGACCGGCGGCCACCCGACAAACAACUUGCGGUUUGAUGAAAAUGGGAAGGAAAGAAGAGUUCAUUCGGUCAGACAGCAUUCUAGGCCUGUGUAUGGUCUUCACUCCUCUGCAUAUCAUCCUCAUCCCAAUUUUCAGUUUCUUGGGAAAAAUUUGUAUUGAACUUGGUUGGUAAUUAAAGUGUUGGAAUUACUUACUGUAUUUGUUUGCUGCUGUUGUUUUCAUCCCAAACAGUCCUCAAAGUUAGUAUAAACCUGCAUUUGUGUUUUCUCAUCUUCAAGUACCUGAGUGAGUUUUUCCCCUCCCCACAUCACCCACACACGCAAAACACAAUAAUUACACUAAUUGUUGCACAUCAAAGUUCUUCACUAUUGAUGUAAAAAAAAAAAACAACAAUCUUCUGAAACUUCAAUAAUAACCAAAACUAAUCACAAUUUUAGAAGGGGCAACAAAAAUCAGAGACGAUGUAUAAACUAUUAUGUCCAGUUAACACCACAAAAAGUAUGGUUGCAAAAUCACCCCUGCAUUUAUCCCCACUAUAGAAAGUAGUAACUCUUAACUCCGUUAAAUAUUUAUGAACAAAGAAAAGGCUAAACUCCAUCUACUAUGUGUAUUUCUGCUAUCUAUCUACGCCAAAUCCCGCGGUACAAACAAACGGCACUAACGGAGCUGGCUCAUAACAAAACGGAGCUGCCGGAUGCUGCCAUUUCUUGAACGACGUCGCUGCACUAACGCCGGGCUGCAGCUUUUCCUUCUUCUCCGACUCCUCUACGCCACCACCCGAUCUAGAUUUAAUCUCAGCCGUUAGAUUGGUUGACCCGGGCGACGUCGGUGACGUAAUCAACGGCGACAAUAGAGGUAUAGCCACGUUCCAGUCGGUCACUCUAUUAAUCUGAAUUGACGCCGGAGCUCGCCGUUGUAACCGGCUUGGCUGGCUCCCGUUGCCGGAGCUGUUUCUUCCUUGUCUGUUAUUGUCCGCCAUGGCGGAGAGCACGGGCAGUUUGGGAAUUUUGUAUUGCUGAGAGAGAAAUGGGAUGCGUGUGAACGGGAAGGCUGGGGCAAGCGAUGGGGGGCCUUAUAAAGGAGGGGCGUGUGGCGGACACGCUGUUGGUGAGGGCGUGCAGUUGUAACUUAAGUAAGUAGAUUCAAUCAAAGGGAGAAAAAGAGAGAAGGGGAGAAAUUUUCUGCUUGUUGUAAAACGGCUCGGCUUAGCUUGAGCUGAUUUUGAAUUUUACUUCUUAAUAAAGAGUUAUCAACUCCGGAUUUUCUCCAUAGUUAUUAUUCACCCCUUAUUCAUAUGGAAGCAGCUAAGGCAGAAAAGCAAUAGGAUAUUAUUGUCCAUCUAAGGAUAAUGGAGGAAUCUUAAAUAAAAUUAAAAUUCUAACAUGUUAAAUGUCAAAACGGUUCACAAUUAAUUCUAUGGUUGACACAAAAUUACAUUAAAAAAAGUCACUACUGUUUGGUUACAAAAUUUGUAUGUUUUGUGUUUCAAAAUUAAGAUGGUAUCUACACCAUCAAUUUAAAAAAGCAAAAUGAUAGCUGAUUUUUUUAAACAUAGGGAUGUAUUAAUAAACUUGAAACCAAUGAGAUGCUAUUAUUAAAUUUACAAUAAUAUUGAUGAUGCAAAUAUCGUCAAAUUGACAGAUAAUUAGAGAAAAGUGAAUAAUAAUAAAUCCAAAUUCUAUGGAAAGAAUUGCCUAGCUUUUUCUUUUUUUUUUUGUGCCUCAAGUGAAUUUAAUUAUAUAAGUAUGAUGUACCAAGAACAAAUGUUGUGUCCAAUUACUUUUCUUCCUUCGUUCUUGUUACGAGAGUUUCAUUCUGCCAUGUUUGUUGGUUUCCAUUUUAUAAUUACAAAUCAUAGUGAAACUUCAAACUCUUAAAUUCUAACUCCUAAUUUUAUUUAUUUUUUUGAUAGAAACAUAUACAGUUUAUGUUAUUAAGAAAGAUUCACGGCAAGCAAGUGCAGUACAAAAUGAGCAAAAGAUAGAGGGGAAUCUCCGCUCACAAUAAUUAGUGCGUGACUAUCUUUCGUUUGGCUUCUUCAUGCUAAUUUUGUUGUCCAAUUUAUCCUCACCUGUGGCUCAAAUCACAUUUUAUUAUCUUUAUGAUACUAAGAUGUUUGGUCAUUAAUUUUAAACAUUGCAACUAUGGAACUUAGGGUCCUUGGCAAAGCCAAACUAAGCCAAGCUUAGAGCUGGUGAGCAAAGCCAACCAACCCAACUUGUAUCAUAACUACUUUCCAACCGAAAGGCUAAAACGUUGCGUCAAAGACCAAACCAGAUCUCUGCAACUACUGUUGACUGUCCGCUUUUGUUUAAUCUAAUCUUCCACCGCCUCCCGCCGUCAAUUUCAACGGACCACCGCUCACGGAAGAAGAAGCCCAUUUCUCAAUUUACCCACACCCAUCUAUCUCUGACGGUGACGGACAGGUCGCAUCACCUCCUAGCCACUCAACUGAACCCACGUGUCAUCAUAGUCUUCUGUUCUGUUCAUUAGUCCAACGGCCACGAUCGAAUUUACGUGGCCCUUCCUAAUCCCAUAAAAGCAAUUCAAAGGUUCUUUGUCAGAAACGCACGUUGGAUUGAGGCCGUCUUUUUGCCCUUUUUUCCAUUUCUUCCUUUGCUGUCUCUAUUGUCUUCUUCUGACUUUUGUGGCGUCUAAUAGGCCCCCGGAGGACCAAGUAAAUUUAUCCUAUCCUAUGGGCCAUUUGUUUGUUGUCGAGAUUUGCUGGUUUUGAGGCUAGAAUAGUCAUUUGGAUCUAGAAUAUUCUGAUAUUGAACUUUCAUCCCUUUUCUUUUUUAAUUUUAUUUUUUAAUUUCAUUUCAUUUCCUCAAGCAAGCAUAGCAAUUGAACUUUCAUUCUAGAGCCAGUCAAAAAUGAAUACUACUUUUGAACCGCCUUUGACAAGGAAUAUUGUGGUUGGAUGGACUAAGAUGACAUAAACAAAAGGGGGAGAAUCAAAUCAAGAAUGUAUUGCUGCUAAUCUUGGACUUUUUUUAAACAAAAUUUGAGGCCGUGAAAUUGGCUUUUUUCAUGCCAAGAAGAAAAGUCUUCUAGCCCUCUAUUUAAUUCUAGCAUAGCAUAAUUUGAUUUGAUUCCCUUCCAUGAUUAGCAGUAUUCACAAAAUUAAGGUUUAAGACAACUAUUCAACGGAAGAGCAUCUUGAGUUCUUCGAUCCUCGCCGACCGGACUUCCUCGUCGGUGAGGGCUCCGGCGAUCAUUCUUUGUUUCCUAGCUUGGACUUGUUGCAACCGUUCUUCCACCGUCCCCUGCAUACAUUUCAAGCCAUCAGCCAUGUGGCGGUGGUCCUAAGUCAAAUAAUUCAGCAUAGAAAUGGAAAGAAGGAAAAAAAAAUAGGAUCAGUGAGGACAGUAAUUUGACUUUAAGCAAGGUAGUAGAGGAGAUUAUCCUUAUUUUAGUUUGUCAGUUCUUUGUAUGUUCAUUUGGUUUCUGGUAAAAGAAAAAAAAGAGGCCAAUGUCAAGAUUUGAAAAUUCACUAAUGAUUGACCAGUUCAGGCAGGGUUGUUUUCUAUUUGGCCUUAGCCUAAAAUAGUCCAUGAAGAUGGACAUGACUAAAAUGCAGAACGUUGGACAUAUAUGAGCUUCUUUAACCAUGCUCUUAUUCUACACUAGAGUCACAAACUGCCUAAUCUUCCUAUAAUUUACACAAAUCCUGCAAGAAUAGAAACGCCAAUUGGCAUCUAAUUUUUGCUUGAAUAGUCAAAUGCUGUAAUCAGGAUUGGAUUUCUUGAAUCCCAAACCUUUGAUUAGAAUUGUGACCAGAUUUGAGAAAAAAAAAAGGCCAAUCAAUGAUUUAGAUGCUCUUUGAGGAAACAUAUGCAGGAGGAGGCGUUUUACCUUGACUAUAAAUCUUCUAACUCGAACGGUCCUCUUUUGACCAAUGCGGUGGAUACGCAUGAUUGCUUGCUCCUCCACUGCAGGAUUCCACCAUGGAUCCUGUAUUUGAUUGAUAGGUUCAGAUGCCAUUCAAGAACUAUCACACCGCAGAAUUAAAAAAAAAAAAAAAAAAGGAGAGAAACAAGGAAUUUACCAUAAGAAACACAUUAGAAGCUGCAGUUAAAUUGAGGCCUACGCCACCUGCUUUCAGUGACAUCAGUAACACCUGAAGAACAUUGAAACAAAUUUUAGAUCCAGCAAUGUCUGAUUGAAGGAUCAAGUGCAUUGUGCUCAUCUUGAAUUUGAUGACAGCAAGCAAGAAAUGCUUACCAUCUUCUCUCCAGUUUCACUGAACUCCCUCAAAACGAUUUCUCUCUGCUUCUGAGACAAUCUUCCAUCAAAUCUCAAGAACCCAAUUCUUCUCCUUUUCAAAGGUAUCUCCAACAAGUCUAGAAAUGAGGUCCACUGGCUAAAAACGAUGCUUUUCUCCCCAGAACCUGACUUCCUUAGCCGUUCCAAGCAAUCCAAGAGCUUUGAGACCUUUGAAGACUCCUUCCAGUUCUUCUCAACAUCAACUCUGAACCGAUUCUCAGACGGACAGGUGAUUAUCUCAGUCUUUUUAAACACUUGCCUGCAAAUUGGGCAUGCCCCAGCUGUUGGAGAUCGCCAGCUUGACAGAAGACAUUCUCUGCACAUUCUAUGUGCGCAUGGUGUGAGCACAGGGUCAUCUGCAGACUCCAGGCAUAUGGGGCACUCUGCAUUUUCACCUUUCCGAAUACCUUCAACAACCUCCUCAACAUAUGCUCUAGAAGGGAUCUUCUGAGUUGCAGAAUCAGGAUUUGUGUCAAGGAACCUUCUAGCAAGCUUAUUCAGGUCUGCAAAUUCUUGUGUAUCACUCCGGCUGCCAACGGUAGAAGUUUGAAAUUGUCAGAUAAGACGAACUGCAAGAGGCAAGUUCAUCCUUGAAAGGUAAACGGAUUAAGACACCAUUCUCACCUCAUCACAAGAAAGGGGUGGUUGCAACAUUGCCUUAAUCGAAGUAACAACUCAAGGAUGUUUGCAUAGUUGUGAAGAACUUUGCCUUGUGCUACAAACUGGUCAAAUUGAACCUGUCCAUAUUGCAAAAUUUUAUGAAAAUCCUAUCCAAAGACAAAAAAAACUAUGCAAUGUCUAAAUUAACAAUACUUAGCUUAUUUUUAAACGAUAUUUAGUUAAGAGAACUCGAAUAGUCAACCACAAAUAACUAAUUAGAGGUCCUAAUGUGACAGACAAUCUCCGUUGCUGCAUGAGUAACACUAAGCUCACCUUAGAUCUCCUAAAGAGGGCAUCAUAGAAAUCAUGCUCAGCUUCUGAUUGUUCACACUCUAUAAUUUUGAUAUCCGUCGGGGGCAGAACCAGUAUAGGCCUGAUGAUGGAGGCAUAGAGCAUGAAAUUGUCACAAAUAUAAAAACAGGUCCAGUCUAAGAGAACCAAAAGCAGGUGGCGUAGGGCUCAAUUUACCUUCCUUCUUUGUCUUUUGAAUCCUUUGUUCGCCUCAGCAUUAGUGGCCUCAAAAUAGCCUUGAUCAGUUUCAUCCCUCUAUAAUCACCACUCUCAUAUGGCUUCUGAAUCAGUUUUUGCCACCUAUAAGCAGUAACAAAUUUCAGCAAAUGGGAAGAGCGAGGGAACCGGCUCAUUUGCAUUAUAAUGUUUGAUUAAAAAAAUAAUAAUAAACAACAAAAAAAAAGAUUCGACCAUCUUUAACUCUUUGAACAAUUUUCCUGGGAAAUGUAACGCAAAAACUGAAUAGUAACACUUUGUUUUUCAAUCAUCCCAAGCAUCAGCCAUAAAAUCAUCCAAAAAAAAUUAAGCUCACCAGGCCCAGUUGCACCAUGGUUCAACAUGCAAGAAGCAAAGUAGGCUAUAAAGGUCUUCCAACUUGUUCUGCAAUAAUUGAUAAUGACUUUAAUUGAUACAUGCUAGACAAUAGCUAGUGGUUUAUUACCAAUCAGGAAAACAUUACUAGGGCAUUUGUUCAACUAAUGCCAGAAUUCUUUGCUGCUGCCAUACCUGAAGAGGGGUACCAGUAAGACACCACCUGCAAUAGGAUGACAAUUUGAAGGCAGCCUGGGCACCUAGAGUUUUAGAGGACUUGAUGGUAUGAGCUUCAUCCAAAACCACUCUGUACCAGUCAACCCUGUGGAAAAUGCUAUUCUCCCCAUCCUGUGUUGAACAUAUAAAAUAGUAAUCAUUAACAAUGUUUCAACAGGGGAAAAGAACAAGCACCAUUCUGGUGCCAGUAAAGCAAUUGGAUUUAAGUGGUGGAAACUAAAAAAAUGGAAAUGGCCAGCUUUUCAUUCUUAUAAGCUGCAAGUAAAUGGAUUUCAGUGGUGGAAAGUCACAAGAAACGGAAAUAGCUAGCUUACAUUCUUAUAAGCUGCCGUUAAGACACCGUAUGUGGUCAAGAUCACGUCAGGUUCAGCAAUCACUCUAUGGUCACUGCUCCUAUCCCCACCAUAAAAGACAGAAAUGGAGAUACUAUCUGGCUUUGAGUGUGUUUCAAGUUCAUCCUGUUCAUCGAGUAAAAUUCUUAUUCAGAGAAGAUGACAGCAUAUCCUUGUGCCCAUUCAUAACUAACAUACGAUCAGAAAAUCAGUAAUGCAGUUUUAGAAUGGUGUAGCUAAAUCUAUUCAGAAAUCAGAACGCAUACAAACUCAGAAAACUUCCUUAUUCUGGCUGAAUCAAAUAUAUUAUAGGAACUCACCUUCCACUGGCCAAGCAACGCCAUAGGACAAAUAAUGAGGGUGCCACCUUUCACUUUUCUAAUAACUUUGUGAUCAGAUUCCUUUUUCUUUUUCUUGAUGUACUCUGUAUCACCCUCACUUUUGGCAAUCGAUUCUUGAUCCUCGGGGGUACCUCUGCCUCGCCUUGCAAGAAUCAGAGCAAUAGUCAUCACAGUUUUCCCAAGCCCCAUUGCAUCUGCCAAGAUCUGCAGAACAUUAUACGGCUUAGAAUAUAUAAUAAUUAACGUUGCUACUCAAAAUGAACAAUCAGUAACAGUAGCAAAAGAAACUUGCCCCUCCUCUUGCCAUCUGUGUUGCUGUUGGAAGUUGUGUUGUAGCUUCCCCAGAGAAAAUGUUAACAUAUAUUGCGGAAGCCCUCCUGUAACAAAUGAUCAAAUAGUAGCAUAAUCAAACUCAAUGCAGUUAAUGUCCAUGGAUUUUAUAAGCAGCUGUUCCUUUUUCUUUUGUUCUUAAUAUUUCAAGGACAGAAAAACAUACUCAUCACAUAUACGAUAUGCUCCCCAACAAGGAUGAAGAGUUUUUGCUGCUUCUUCAACAUCUACUCCCUUCUCAGAUUCUGUCAUCCAAAAAAGGGCUUGCUUUUGGUACGGUCUGAGAUCACACAUAAGGGUUUCUGGGGGCUCCAUUUCCUAGAAAAAUCCAGUAGUUAAAAUAGUUAAUGUAACUGCAAAAUCAUCUCCCCUGUAGCAUAAAGUUUAAAGACAAAAAUAAGGACAAGCAUCCCUAUGACUUGUACCUUCAAGUCAUACGUAUCUGCUGCACCAACAAGCUUAUUCAAAGAUGAUUCUGAAAUAGCUUGCUCAUCCUUGUUUUGAUCCGGAAGUUGCGGGCAACCCUUUCUUCGUUUUAAUGCAGGCAACAUUGCCACACUUUCGUCAUAAUCAUCCUGCUAAUUUAUAAAGAUUUAAGAGGUUUUUUAGUCUAGCAACACAUACAAACAAAAUACCUGUCUUGCCAUAAUGCUAAACUUAGAAUCCAAUCGUCAAGUUGGUAAAGUGGUACUAAGUUCAAUUAAAGUUUCAUUUAAGAAGCAGAAUGUGCAAAGAUUUAAUUAAAAUGUGAAUUUUUAUAUCUCUAAAGUGAGAAAAAUGCAUGUCUACUCUAAAAUGAAAGAUCAGAUGAAGCUCGAAACUUUAGUGGAAGAUAUCUAAUCUGAGAACGAGACAAACAAAUAGAAAUGCACUCACUCCUAACUUCAGCGAGCGUUUACGGGAGUCUAGUUCUUCUGGGGUAAAUUCAGCCUGUAACAUAGCAACAAAUUAACAGGGCAAAACAAACUAGCAUAACUAAAAAUUUUAUCAUUCAAUUCACAAUCAACUUAUAUUGUGAGUGGCAAAAUAGGUCAUACCUCCUGAAAUGGCUUCAUUUUCAGCAACUUAAACAAAGUCAACAGAGGAUAUGUCGUGGUGUCAAUAUCUGAUGGAGCAUCAAGCUUCCAAGAAGACUUAUCACCUUCUGUAAAGACUGAAUGAUGAAUGUAAAAACUGCAAAAUAAUAUGAAAAUGGAUGAAAUUUUUACUAUCAAAAGGAAUACUCGUUGCAAACAUCUCAAGAAAUAGGGGAAAAUAAAAACCGAAGUAGUUCUUUUUAUCAGUUUUUUACCUCAAAUACAGCAUAAUCUCUUGCAUCAAGUGAAGAUUUGUAGGGGCGGCUAUACAUCGUCCAAAAACUUUAACUUUUGAAGAAUUUACGAGUGGAGUGAGACAUUUUGACCAUUCCAUUGGAAGGCGGCCAAUCUAAUUAAUUCAUUUGUUCAACACAAAAAAUGUUUAGUAAUUAACAUAUCAUUCGCAAUAUUCCGAUACCAUGAAGCAUUUACACAAAAUCUAAAGUACUGUAAAAAUAAGAGUUUACCUCUCCAUUUCUUUUGGUGGAAAAACGAACAAUGGCUGACUUGAUCCAUGAAGUAUUUCUGUCAGGAAAUGCAAUGUGCACAAUCUCAUUAUUCUCAAGUUUCCUUCCCUUAGUAGUCGAAAGCCCCAUGAUAACAUGCCUCCCAACCAACAACCAGUCAGGCUCUUCUGGAAAAUCCCCAUCUUCAAUCAGAGUUGUGCUCAGCAUUCUAUCCUCAACCUUGUCCUUCUUCGCCACCAAUGACUGCCCAGUAUCAUUACCAUUAGCACUCAUUUGAACCCUCCGGAACUCAUCAUCAGACAUUCGCCAAGUAGACAACGGUUGAACACACAUUAUCUUUUCCACCUCCUUUUUCACCAUCCCUUUAUUCUCAUUUUCCAUCUUAGCCACAUCCAAUCUCACGACAGCCUUAUCAUCAACCACCACAUUUGGCUCCUCUUUCACUCUGCAUAGUUGAGAAGGUUUAUUCUUUUCUUGUUCUUGUAGCCACUCGUCAAAGCUCAAUCUUGAUCUCCCUACCAAUCCAUUCGACAUUUUACCAUCGGAAAUCACUUUCUUUUCAUCCAAAACCUCUUUUUUCUCAAAACCCACAUCAGAUUGAUCAAAAUUCUCCACCUCCUUUUUCACCAUCACUUUAUCAAAACCCGCAGACCCUUUGAUUUCUUCGCUGUUUUCCUGCUUAAUCUGGGUUAAAAUCCUAGCACCAGUGCUUGUAACAGUCCUCUUAACUGUAACUGGUGGCGCUAAAAUCCCAGGGGUGUCAAUGAGGUAAUUGAUGGCUCGGGUGACAUCGUUGUGGCAUUGAGUAAGAGCAUUGGAAAUCUCCUGUUCCGAUUUUUCAAGCCCAAAAAGUGAUUUGAUCAACUUGACUUCCCUCCCUUCCUCUGCUUCAAUUGGUCUUGCUUCCAUAGCUCUGUUUAAAUUUCUUCUUUUGGGGUAACAAAAGAAGAUUGUUUUACAACAAAGAAAACAGAAAGCUGGUGAAAAGCAAAAAGAAAGGAGGAGAAAAAAAAAGAUUGAAUUUUUGGGUUGUGCCCAAGAGAGAUUUGAGGAUCAAGGGUGGAUUUUACAGGGUAAGUAACAGAGAAAAUUGUAAAGAGAGUGAGAAGGUUAUAAGUAUGAAGAGGGAAAUAUUUUGGCGGCAAUGGUUUUGACUUUUGAGGCUUGUUAAACUUGGCGCUUCCGUUUUUCAAUUGCCUCCAGGAAUUUGUUUUCCGUAGGUUGAUUUUGGAAAUUUUGGCGCGAAAUGGUGGGUAAAUAUUUGUGGUAAGUGGUAACAAAGAAUUUUCACCACAGCAAAAGUGUAGCUGGGUUUUCAAUUUUUCAUGCGAAAUCUUGCACGAGGCAUACAUUUUACUAGUACAAAACAUAAGAAGAAAUACACAGGCAUCAGACGGCCCAACUUGAAUCAUUAAUUGUAAUCAGAUAUAGGAGUUGUCUUGAUGUUAUGGAUUGCAUUUUCCAUGAUUUUUCAAUGAAAAAUUACUGUAAUGAUUUGAUGUAUGUGAGGAAAAAAGGUAAUAGGAAAAUGUGAUCACGAAAAACGACGUAAUUUUCCAAUGGAAAACGGCAAUCCAAACAAGGGUACUUUUUUUUUUGUCAAUAUUCACGACAAAAAAAAAAUAUGAUACUUUAGCAUUAACAACAAUCUUGACUUUUGAUCUGACUUGAGUUGCAAGGAGUAAGGAAGAAGAGGUGGGAGGCGCCAAAAAAAAAAAAACAAACAACAACAACAAACUAGUCGUACUUCUUUCUUGACAUUAAAAGGGCAUUAUAGUUAUGUGAGUAAAAAUUGCUCUGAUAGGAAAAUUAAUUAUUUCUCUGACACUAUCGCUAACCUUUGAGAUUACACAAACCUAAGUGCAGAUAUAUUUUUUAACAAUUAAGUCAAAAAGUUGAGAAGCCCAAAAUAUAGAAAAAGGCAAAAGGAACUUUUCAAUCCAGUGUUGUUAGAUCCGAACCAAAUCAGAAGGUUCGAUCGGUAUGACCAUAAACCAACCUUCUCGAGAGAUAGUUCGUAACACAAAAUCGCUUUAAUAAAAAAUCAGUCAAAACCAUUAAAAAUCGAUCAAACCAAUGACUCGAUUCGACUGGUUGAUCCAGUUCUCAAGUUUCUCUUUCUUGUUUUCCCCAAACUAGGCUUGUCAAUCGGGACAUAUGAAUCGAGUUUUCAUAAGUUUAGAUUCAACUCAUUUAAUUUGUAACAUUUUUAAUUUUCGGGUUAAGAAAUGUGAUGAUUAUACUCAGCUCAUAAAAUAUUCGGGUUUUGAGUCUUAUUCCAGUUUAGUCCAAACUCACUUAUUGCUCCUCAAUUUUCUUAAUAUAAUUAUUAUAAUUAUUGAGUUGUAAAACUAAUACAUUCACAUGAUUACAACAUUAAAACUAAAAGUCAACAAGUAAUAGGUUUUAAAAAGUACAUAAACCAAUAAUUUUUCAACAAUAUUAUAUCAAAUUCAUUCAAAAUACAUGAAAAAUAGUAAUAAAACAUGUGGUCAUAAGUCAAUACACCUUCAAAGGUUGGAACUUCUUCAUAGAUUUGUGACUUGAAUCCAAACAUGUUUGUGUUUCUAGACAAAAAAAAAAAAAAAAUCAACCAAUAUUAUGCCAACAUAAAAAUUUAUUCAAUCAAUAAUAAAAGUUAAAAUUUUAGUUAUGCAUUACCAAUAUUGACUUUCAAGAAAGUUAGUAGAAGAGUUUAUAAAUGUAUUUUUGUGUUUUAUAAUUUGUAUAUAUUUAGUAAUAAUAUAUUUGGAUAUAUAAUUAUAUAUAAUAUUAAAAUAUAAAUGUUAUAUAUAUAUAUAUCAUUAUAUAUAGGUAAUUUAAGGACUGGGCUUAUAUCGGGUUUGAGUCUAAUGAGGCCCAAUUUCGACUCAUAUUUAAUUCGGAUCUAAUUUUUAGAAUUAAACUCCGACCGAUUUACUAAAAGGUCAGAUCAUCGAGCUUUUUUCGAGCUGAACGAGCUGACCUCAGGUUGAUCCGACCCCAUUAACAGUCCUACCGCAAACAUAAUUUGAACAAGUUAAUUUGUGACACUUUCAUUUUAAUAGGAAUAAGAAAACACCACCCACUUAGGGUCUGUUUGAUUCAAUGUAAAAUAUUUUCAACGAAAAAUGUCUUCCAUGAAAAAUUUUAUCGGGAAAAAUAAUUACCUUCUCCAUGUUUUUUCCACUGUUUUGGGAGGACUCAUAAUUCAGUAGUUUAACCGGAUCGCUAUUCGGUCCGAGUUUAACAACAUUGGUUCAAUUGGCAUCAGGGAGGACUCAAAUCAAUCAAGCAAGCGCAACAACGUAACGCGCUUUGAUAUUGAGCGCUUAUUGCCUUAUACAAGCCUUUUUGGCCUCAUAAUAGUCUGGAUUUUUUUUUUUAGAAUAGUCAGGAUUUACUUGCUUGACUUUGAAUCAUGGAAAAAAUUGCAAGUAGAAGGUAGGUAGUUGAAGUUCAAGGUGCAAAGCGCCAUUUUCCGAAUACUUGAGGAGUACAAAGUGCAUUUAACCCUUAUUUUUAACGAAUCCACAACAGUUGAAUACUAACAAUUUUUUGAAAAAAAAAGUCACAUGCAAUAAGAGCUGAACUUAAAACUUGUAAAUUCUAGAUUCGGGAUUAUAUAAUUUAUAUUACAGUUGGGAUUCGACAUUUUUGGUCUGCAUGAAAUAUUAUGAACUUAUUCGAUCGAUUGAUAUACGCACUAACUUGGAAAAAUUGAAGGAUUGUUACUAUGAGAAGUGUUCAGGUUAUCUGUUAAAUAAUAGAAUUAAUAGAUAUGAAUAAAUUAUUCAUAAUAUAUUUUUAUUCAAAUGUAUACAUUCACAUUUAUUCUCUCUUCUGAUAUUUAAUUACUAUUAUUUUGAUUUUAGUCAUUUUUUUAGAAUUCGUUUACAAAUGCUGAAUUAUUAUUUGGAUGGAUAAAACCUAUAAUAGGAUUUACAAAAAUAUUAGUACUUGGAAACAAAAUUAUAAAAUACUGCACAUUAAGAACACCACUGAAGAAUUAAUUAAGCAGUGAAUAAAAUAAUCUUAAAGGCGGCCACUGCUAAAAAUAAAAGAAUAAAAAAAAGUCUUGAAGGUGGCUAUAAUUCCACCACUACCGGGCCAUGGAGAAUACGACUAUAUAACGCUCUGAUCUCAUUAUUCUCAAAGCUACCCUGUUUCGCACAUCCCAAAGCAGCAUACAUAUUGGCCCGCCGGUCGGCCGCCGAUCAACUUUUCAGCCGGUGAUAUGUGCACCUUAGAGAAACGCGGCAACAUCUUCUUGUUAACGUUAACAGGUGAUGACGAGCACCGGUUGAACCCGACCCUCAUCGCCUCCAUCAGGUCGGCUUUAGCUGAAGUCAAGUCUCAAGCCACCAAAGGCUCCGUUCUUAUCACAUCGGGUCAGGGCAAGUUCUUCUCCAACGGCUUUCACCUCAGGUAUUUCCAUCAUUAUCAACAAAGUAAGAAGGAAAAAAGAAAAGAAAAGCCAAGUGGAUGAAGUCUUGGAUCGUGGUUAAUUUUAUCAUUUUUUUUUUGCUUUAGCGUGGAUUUAUAUUUGGUGAUAAUUAUCUUCUAGUGAUAUUGUACUAAAUCAGUAGAUCGUGUUAUCAAUCUCUUCUCAUGUUUAGAGAAUGAUUGUUUGAUUUUCCGAAUUUUAAUUUAUUUGUUAAUAUUCGAUAUAGAUUUUUAUUCAUACUACGAAAAUGUCCCAUUUUUCUUUUCCAUAAACUUGAUUGAGACCAAAUUAUGAUGUCUAAAAUUUACUUUUUGCGUUGUCCAUGUCCAAAAAUGUUUUGGCUUUAUACAAGCAAACCAUGUGAUUCGAUUGAAACGCUAGAGUAACAGAUUCACCGUUUCGAUGUGAUUAGACUAGUGAAGUUUAAUGAAGAGGAGGAAUUGAUGGAUACAGUACAAUUUAAAUGUAUGUAUAUAUAUGCACAUCAGGUAUGCUCAAGCUGCUGGUUCAGUUCAAGGUGCUAAGGAUAGGCUUAUGAACAUGGUACAGAUCUUCAAGCCGUUAGUGGCUGAUCUUAUCUCCCUUCCAAUGCCCACAAUAGCUGCCAUCACGGGCCAUGCGGCUGCGGCCGGCUUGAUGCUAGCCUUGAGCCAUGACUAUAUCACAAUGAGAUCAGACAAGGGGGUGUUGUACAUGAGUGAGCUUGAUAUAGGAAUGACUUUGCCAGACUAUUUCAAUGCCAUAUUUAGGUCAAAGAUCGGCUCGCCCUCGGCUCGGCGUGCAUUGCUAUUGAGGGCUUCCAAGGUGAGGGCGGAGGAGGCGGCGGGGAUGGGAAUCAUAGACUCGGUUCACAGUAAUGGAAUGGAGACAUUGGAGGCUGCAGUGCGACUAGGGGAGGAUUUGAGCAAGAAGAAGUGGGAAGGGAAGGUGUAUGCUGAAAUUAGGAAGUCAUUGUAUCCUGAACUUUGUGGCAUUUUGGGAUUGAAAGAUGAAAAGGUUCUGCCUUCACGGCUUUGACGAGCAAAGAAACUACAAUUCGUGUUUUCCUGGUUCACCGGAGAUUCUUAAAGUCUUGCUACUUGUGUCUUUACUUCAACUAAUUACAGGGCUUUGGAUGAGGCUAAGCAUGAAAUUGAAGAAUGAAUUUUCUUGGAAUGACUGUCUUAACCCUUAUGAGAUUCUUUUGUGCAGUUUGGAAAGCAAACACGAGACAGAAGGACCAUUUUGUUCAACAUAAAGAUGUUAUCCGUACUACUUUUUGUUUACUCUGAUUUCAAUAAUGUAAAAUGUGAGGAAUACUGCAUAUGUUAGAACUCAUUAUAGUAGUAUAAUUAUAGAUGAUAUGGUGCUUCUUUUGGCUUGCUUUUGAAGCUAGCAACGCGACCUUCCAAUGUUAUUGAACAUGGAUGCACCUUGCAUGAAAAUUUCUUAAGAAGAACUAGAGCUGAAUUUCGAUUAUGAGCUUGAUGUACUAUCAAGUUACCAACUACCAUGUUGGAAAGAGACCUAGAACUAACACUCAAUGACGUUUCAUGGUCUGCAAGUACACCACAACUUCGGCAGUGUUGCGUAGGUGUUGUCCUGUGUGAUCAUGUUUGGAAUUUGGUCCCCCUUGGAGUGUGGACCAUGUGCUAUCAUGUACAUAGCCAGUUUGUUCUUUGUUACCCAAAAUGUCAAUUUUUGGCACUGCAAAUUUCCCAGGCAAACCACCGAACUUUGGCGUAAUGGCCAUCAAAAAAGGAUUAAAUUCUUCUUUAAAUUGUGGAUCGGGAGUUCGAACCCCAUAUGUAAUGAGAAAAUUCAAAAAAAGUGUCAAAAUAUUCAUUUAAUCGGGUCCGUAAACCUGCUAAUCCCUUAAAUAAGAAGAAAAGGGUAAUAAGAAAAAAAAAGGUAUCAGAGUGUCCUUAAAUAAAAAAAAAGGGUAAUAAGAAAAAAAAGGUAUCAGAGUGUCGGGUUUGUAAAUCUACUAAUUCUUUAAAUAGAAUAAAUUAGAUUAGAUUCUUUAAAUAGAAUAAAUUAAAUUAGAUUAGAUUAUACAAAUGUCUGUUACUGUUAUAAAAAAAAAAAAAUUGAACCAGACAAAUUGGCAAUACGUCACAUUUGGUCCCCCUGAACUGGUCCCCGUACAGGUGAGAACGUCCACUCUUGGUUGGCAAUAUGUUUUCAUGUAAUGUAAAUAAUAACAAAUAAGCUUAAAGACUUGAGAAUGGAGGGUCGGCCCAGCGAACCAACCCUACAGGCUCCACAAAUUAUGUCGGCCAUAUGUCUUGAUAGCCAUACAGCUCUCACCAACGCGGGCAAGAGCGGCAUAUUUAGCCAACCGACCCUUUUAAGAUUUCUCCCCUCGCAGCCCGCUUCAUUUUAUCUCAUGCGCCUCUGAGUAUACAUUUUACAUAUUCCGAUGUGGGACGAGGAGAUUUUCGCUCCAUUAGUUCUACUAAAUUCGAGUUAGACCCCGAUUUUGAUUGUAAUUAAGUUUUUGUUUUUUUAAGCAGGUUAUAAUUUACCACAGAUUAUUUGUGCAAGUGUUUAAUAAGAAUGUAAUGUUCAAUUACUAUUCACGUAAAUUCACACAUAUCAGUUGUAUCAGAUUUAAAUUGUAGUAUAAACUGUACAUUUUUGCUUACUUUUGCUCACUGAUAACUGUUCUUGUCCACCCAAGCCGACAGACAGAAAUUAUUUGCACAGCAAUUCACCAUCAAACCGACAUUUGCUGCCAACUAAACCAUACAUUGUUUUCGCUGUAGAAAGGUUUCUGUUGUUCCUACAAAGUUGUUGGUAUCUUAAUUACAGCUUAUAAUUGGUAACUAAUUUUCACUAUGGAGAGGUGUUCUCUGCCAUUGCCCCGAGUGACCCUCAAACUCUUGAUUGGGACGCAAGUGCCAAAAAGUUUCUCGAAUCAGAGGAUGUUAGCCUGGUGCGAUGUUUAUUCGACUAGGGAUGUUCAGCCGUCCCUUUUACUACUUUCAGCACUUUUACAGCAACCCAUAUGGUCCGAUUCAGUUCCCGUCAGUUCCCCGUGACCUUAUUGAGCCACCCCCUAGUAUAGGUUAGAGUAAAAAUAAGACUAAGUGCAGGUGUAAAUGGUGACAAUAGACCAAAAAACAAAAAGUAGCAAGCUAAACACCGUAGCAUAUCUUUGCUAUCUGAGUAAAUAGAAACUCCAUUUCAUAACAAGUGGUCUACCAUUCUACCAAUCUCUGCCAAUAAGAUUCAGAAAUUCUGAGGAAGAUUUCAGGGAAGGUAAGGAGAAGAUUUAAGAGGGAUAUUACCCAGCUUUACAAAUAAGUCCAAAUUCCAAGCUGUCUACUGCUAAAAAUGGCGCUAGUGUGUUAGGUCAUUAGUAAGGCAAGUGCUGCACGGAGUAGACUGCCUCCAUCUCCUCAGGACAAAGGGUUUCAUGCUUCUGAUGAUAACAACAGCUACGUGCUUUAACCAACCAAAUUUCACUUUGAACGUUUGUUUGACAGCAAAAAUUCCACAAUUUACUCAGUACUUUCACAAGUCUUGGUACUCGCAGCUUCAAGCGUUAGUCUUUCUAGUAAAUCAAAGUCCCAUUUACAGCCUGACGUAAACCUGCAUGCAGGCCAGAAGAGUGAAAAAAAGGGUAGGGCAGAGGUUUCUGAAGAUCACCAUGUUUCACAAUUAUGAUUACCGGAAUGUCUCUUAUAAACACUGUUUUGUACCAAAUGCCUUAAGUAACCAAAAUAAACAAACAAAUAUCCAAUAAUGAAUGUUCCAUACCAUGUCUCAGGAAUUUAUGUAACACAUUGCUUGUGCCUGGAGGAAAUAAGAGUCCUUGUAUUUUCUGCCACUACCAAUGUGAAUCCCACUUCGAAUCCAGUCUUCCCGAUGUAUCCAGGCAUCUCGGCUGAAAUCAAGUACACCAAGUAUCUACAAAGAAGGUGAAUGCCAUGAAAGUGAGAAACUUAAUUUCAUCUCUACCAAUGGAGCUUUUGCAGAUACCAUGUUCUGAAGAUACUUCAAAAUCCAUAAUGAUAUCAGAGAAGUAGAAUUGAUGAUUCAAAUACUUGCAAAACAGUAUCCUGAGUGGCUAAGUUGUGUAUUCUAAACUCCAAUGGACAAAAUUAUCACAAUCUUCGUACUAUUGUUAGAAUAGAUAACAAGAAGAGAGAUCUCCAGGGCAGUUAACCAUAAGAUAGCACCGUAACAGAAACUUACUGCUCCACCCUUCCAUGCAACAAAGGUUGGAUUUGUCCUUGAUUGCAAAACCUAGAUAUGAAAAAAGACAAGCAGAAGUCAACAACAUGAUGAAUCAUUAGGAACUGGAAAACCAGAACGAUAUUAUAGAGCAAAAUAUCAAAGACAAAUUGAGGUCUCGAAGUCAGAAAAGCACAUAAUGCAACGAGAUUAGGUUCCAAAAUAUGCUUCAACAAUUACAUGAAGCAGUGACAUUAGUUAGCAUUACCAAGUUCCACAAUGCUAUGGCAUAGGAAACAAGACCCAACACAAGUACAGGUUACCAUUUAUAAAAAAAAAUUUAUUUAUUAACUAAACCAGAAAAGUAUGAGAUGCACACCUCCACAGUAUCAAUGGCUUCAUUUGGGGGAAUCGCAUGUAACACCCUGCCCAGAAAAAUAUCAAGAUAGUUGGAUAAAAAAAAAUAUGAAGGUUUUCCUGCCAUGUACAUAAAUUAAGAAGAAAGCGUCCACCACAGAAUGAUAACAGUGCCAAAUAACGAAUAUGACUCACAACAAUUUCUUGCUUUCUCAUUUAAAUAUUCAGCUUCUCCUGCUACUGCAUGGCAAUUUAAGUAUAAAUUUCACAAGAAAUGAAAAACUAUGAUUAAAGUAUAUCUAAGUUAACAACUUAGAUAAAUAAUGAUUGUUUUGUUUGAGUGGCUGCUCUAUCCCCAUAAAUCAUAUGUCAGUGCUGGGGCAUAAUGUGAUCCUCUAGGCAUCUACAUCAGCAAAUACUAAAGUAACCGCUUGUUCUUUGUCCACACUACUACAUUUUGCUGUAAGUUAAGGAGCUUCAUCACAAUCAUGUAUCUUAUCAAGACUGAGAGAGGAUUUUGAGAAGGAAAAGUGAUCAGCUGGAACAAUAAAAUAGUCCGAAAAAAUAUGGUCUGCUUUAGAUAACAGAAAAGACGAAUUUCAAUCCAAAACAUGGAUUGCCAAUAAAAUGCUUCAGGACAGGAUUGCAGAUGGUGGCAAGUCCAAUUUGAAGCAUAAAUUGGAGAAUAAAAAUGAUUGCAUUAAUUCUGAGUUUGGAAAGAUGUACAAUUUCAGCUGGGAAUUGCAAUUAACUUCAGUAAAAUUGUUAUAUAUUCUAUUUGCUUCUGGGUAUUGCAUAUUAUCUUUUCCGCAAUUGUGUUAACAGUACAAGCCUGUCUAGGAGCAAUUCCUCUAAGCAACUAUGAGCCUAAUCCAUUUGUUUGUGUGUGUGUGUGUGUGUGAGAGAGAGAGAGAGAGAGAGAUUGAAGCAAACCUCUCCUCCAUGGCAGGAAUGAGCCCAUCAAUCAAAGCCACUCCACCAAUCUGUAUCAUUGAACCAUGUAAAAUUAUAGAUCGACAUAAACAUUUGCGAGAAACAAAUUGAGUAUUUAGACCAAAGCUCAAAACUUGCCAGUUGCAUGCUACAAAACAAUUUCCUCUGCAGGUCUAUACGCCCUGGGGCAAAUAAUGAGGAGAGGUAAGAGAAAAAACACAUAAAGCUUUAACAGAGAAAACUCAAAUACCAAGUCAACCUGUUGAGAGAAUGCUUUUUGUAAUAGCUUCUGCAAGACCAAUAUUGUCCUCUUUCUUUGGCCUUGCCUGAAAAAUUGGGUAGCUCUCCCACAUUGGGAAUGCAGAAGCACCGCUGGGGAAAAAGCCCUCAGUAUGCCAUGUAUCUUCCAACAUAUCAUCAUAAUCCUUGAACCUGGUGAAGCAUAAUACCAUUUUGGGAAGUUAGAUAAUGUGCAAGGAGUUAUUUAGUCAAAAAAAUUAUCAAUGAUUGGAAAGUAUCCUCACCAUGUACGGGGUGGUGGAGGAUAAACAUCUGGAACCAAAAGCAUUGGGUAGAACAAACCCAUUGGUGGAACCUGUUUAAAAACAAUAAGAAGUACUAGUCAAUCUAAACAUGUUUUACUGUUGUGACAGUAAAUGCAAAUAGUUACAAGAAAUAAUUGCUGAGCCAAGCAUUUAAAACUCAACCUUCACUGCAUUAAAUGACCGAAUGCCUAGCUUAAUUGUACUUGCAGAACUUCAAAUUAUUAGUCUACAGGUAAAUGCAUAAAAAGCAAAUUAAACCAACACAGAAGCAUUAACUGGAAAUAACUUUUUGGAAACAAUAAAGGGGAAUUUUGAUCAAGUUAUACAUUACUUACACUUACAACAUUAUCCUCUAGCUUUUACAGCCGUUAUGUUAGCACCAACAUAUUUAUGAUCCCCUAACUCAAUCUAAGAAAGACCUGAAGCCAUUGGCACAUUUAAAGACAUCCCUUGUUGUAUAGAAAAUAUGUCAAAUUCAUCGUAACUGUCAUAUCAAAUAUAGGGUAACUGUGCUUGGUAGAUUUUUUGAAAUAUAGAAGUUAAAGAGGUCUUUAACUUUUGCAUCUUUCUUUAUAUUAUAUUCCCUCUUUUUUUACUUUUUUUUUUGUGGGUUAAUGAGAAUGCAUAUAUACGUUAGAGCCUUUACGAAACCUUUUACACUGUAGUAUGCUUCAGUCUAAUGUAGCAAAUUGAAUAUUGGCAACAUGAACUAUUGUUUAAUAAAGGGAAAGGAAGUUAAAUGAGUUUUGAUUAUCAGAGGCAUACAUUCAAAGCAGUUAGCCUCGUCUUAUGAGACCCAGGUGGCAUGCCAUCUUCAUAAGAAUGAACAACUGCAACAGUUUCAAGUUCUCCUUCCUGAAUGUAUAAAAUAUACUGUGUCAAUGUAUACAUGUCAUAUAAAAGGUCUCGAAUGAAAAUUUCAGUAAAAUCCAAGAAAAGAAAUCCUACAAAUUAUCAAAUAAAAGUUGAUAAACCACCAAUUAGAAAUCAUAAUUGUAACACACUUUCUUAAGGAAAGACAGAUCCAAAUAAGUAAUAUUGGCAGGCCCAAGAUAAAAGUUCAAAAUUUACUCAGCUUAUAAUAUAUUCAGAGAACGCCAACCUUAACUGGUGUAGUGGUGUUACACAUGGUACAUUAACAAAUUACCAAUAUUGCAAGAUGGAACCAGAUAAUUAACCACCCAAACAGCACGGUAGAAGCAGAAGACAAGGAAGGGUCCAUUAACUAUCAUAUUGCAAAAACUAAAGAGAUUUAGCUUCAUUGAAUAUCAGCAAAGGCAUAGUUAUAUCAACAUUGAGAUUAUGUGAAUGUAAAUUAACAAUUACACCUCUACUCACACUGAGGAAAAGAAUACUUCGCUGCUGGAUAAAACAGAUAAGCUGAACAUGACAUAAAUACAGCAUGCGAUAGGGAAACAGCCAAAGCACUAUAGAAAAGAGAAGUUGACAAAACUAAAAAGUCGAAUGGGUUAUAUCUGGUGACAAGGUUGAGUUCAACUACAAAGUUCAGUAAACAUUGACUAAAGUAAAAGAGACUCUCUAAUAUUUAGGACCAUAUUGACUAGAAAAAUUUAACUUUUAAUAAAAGAAAUUAGAUGACUCACUCUAAUCGAGCAAUGCGACUCUCUAAGCCUGUUCAACAUCAACAAAUCUACAGGCUUUGUCAGGGCAUCUGUACGAACUGGUGGCCAUGUUUGAUGAUGCCUUUGUGUCCAAAGCAAGCAUCUUGAUAUAUCCUGAAGUUGUUUCUUACCAAGUCAAAACGUGACCUUUGAAAAGAAAGUGAAAUGUUUGAAAGCAAACAAAGAAUUGGAAAGGUCAACCUUAAAAAGAAAACAAAUGCCUGUUAGUUCACACAUCAGAGAGCAUUUCAUUGCUCCUUCAGAUUCCUAUGUUACGCUAAAAAUGGUAAGGCAUAGCAUUCAACAAAAACAUUGAACAAGUUUAGACAUAGCAUUUCAUUGCUCUUUUGCUUCAAAAGUUUUACUGUCCUUAACACACCAAUUAAUCACAAGCAGAAGCAUAAUUUUUACUAACUGGAGAAAAAUCUAUGGUAAAUAGAUGUCACAUGGACUUCCUCACAGUGAUAAGAGCUGCAUAAGAAGAUAGUAAUCAAGUUGAAGAAAGGAAGCCAUAAUCCUUACCUCUCCACCAUAUCUCAAUGUCAUCUGUGUUGUAGGUAGGACUGCUCCAUCCUAAAGAUGAACAAAACUUUAAGUGUCAUGGAGAUUAUCUACAAAUGCAAUGCCAAUUUUCUCAAGCAAGAUAAAUACUUUGUCAAUCCCUUCUGUUACAUCAUGGCAAAAGGAAGCUUAAUCUCAGGAAGCUACAGAUGAAAACCUAAACUGAGUGUUUGUCAAAUGGCACUCAAAGCACCAGAAUAAUGUGUGCCAGAGGACUGGAGAAGAUUGUGGCAAGUGAUGCAUUGUGCUGGUGAAGAAAUUCAAAGAAUUAGAAACUUCGGUACCAGAAUUUACACUGAAAGUAGAGAAGUUGACAAAGGAAUGCUGGUGGAAAUUAAGUUGUUAAUCCUGUUAAGAUGGUAGUAUUUAGCAAUUUUUCCAGCAGAGCAGUAAUUUUUGAGGCAGUAUAAGCAGUGGAGCCACCACAGGCAGUCAGUAACUUGGUAAUCAUGAUUCUUUCUUUAACAUGAUUCACAUGAAGAUCCAGAUUCAAUUCCUCUAGAAUGAUAUUUGUUUGAAAGUCUUUUUUCCUUCCAUUGACCAAUUAUUGGAGUCUUCCAACUUACACCCCAGAUACACUUCAAGAAAUCAUUUUGCAUUAUGAGGUAAAACAGCUUAAUAAAAACAUUAACUGAAAGAACCGAAUUUCAGAAAUAUAUAGAAUAUACCUCAACACAUAUUACCGAUGUCACCUGGGCACCCAGAUUUAUGAUGCACGCUGUUGACAUACCAUUUCCAAAAGCUGCAGCAAGACCUUCCUGAAUCAAUUUGAUAUAAGCCAUCUCUGACAAGGAGAGACUCAAUGCAUAUGGUACAGGACAAAAUGAAAAUGUAACAUCACAUUAAGGUUAAAUUGAUGCUAGCACUUAAAUUUAACCUAGAGAUAGUUCAAAAUUAUAAGACGGAAGAGAACCACCUGGUGAACUACCGCUGAGCUGAAGUGCAGAUCUCUUAAGACAAUAGACAGCAUCUCCUUUACUUCUGCACAUCCAAAAAAUCCAAACGGUCAAGCUGGUCACAAUAAAAAACCAGUACGUUAAGUUUCCCAUUUACAUUUUCAUAAACCCAAAGAAACACCUGGUUUACUUAUAUCUUUAAAUUGACGGAUAAAAUAGAGUUAGCACACAGAAAGCAAAAGGAAAGAAACCUAGAUUUCCUAAAGUUAAAGGCCAUAUGUUGGGCUUAUAUACAAAUAUAGUAUUGUCUUCCAAACAAAAGCUUACUUUUCUAUUAAUAAAUGGAAAAGGCUCCGUUUUAGUAUAAAUCCAUUCCUAAAAUUCUCAAGUACAUCAAAUUUUUUCAGUUAUAAUGUGUCAUUUCUCAUCAAUCUCUUGAAUUUAUCAUUAGUAUAUUGUGAUCCUUUCCAGGAAAUGCAAUCCAUGUUUGAUAGUUGGAACUAUCUUUUAGCUUGUAAGAUCACAUUCAGAUACUCAACAAAUUAGACAUGAUUAACGGCCUUCUUAAUUCCUCCUGCAGGAAAGUCAACUUCAUAAUGCCAACUACUGGACAAGUCAGGCUUGUAUAUUUUGACCAAAAGUUAUAUUUUGGCUAUUGACUCGAGAAAUUGACUUGACUACCAAACUCCAAGACAAUAUCAAGAAAAAGUAUUUGCCAACAAGGAUAAGCAAGCAUGUGAAUGAUUCUAACAGAUGAAAUAAAAAUACCCUAGAGUACACUGUCCAAUUUACACAUCAAGGCUCUAAAUGCUUAGAUUUUUGAAAAAUACAUGUCAUUCACUGGGAUAGAUAAAAAACAUUCAUCAUUACAGUAUUGUCCAAAAAUCCUAUUAACACUGAAAAAAACUUUAAACUUCAAUGCAUAGCUAGGCUUCUGUAGUACUGGAAUUUAACUCAGGAAACUGGUCACGGUAAAGAACUGUAAUAUCUACCACAACAGAACUUGGGGCGUGGCUACUUGGUUUUAAACAAUUGGUAACUUUAUGUAUAAUCUACAAUGUACAGAUGAGUAUGUGCUAUAAAUACAUCUUAGCUCAAUGCAACUGUAGUACAGCUCUAAAAGUUGUAAUGGACUUAGUUUACUCAAUUUGAACAUCAGCUAUUUAAGAAAAAAAUAAUUCUGUGGCUCAUGAUCCAAUUAUAACCUUUCUUAAACACCAACCAGUAAAAUAAAAUUACUAAGUUUCAACGUUGACAGAUUAGGCAAACAAGAAACAAUAAUUAGUCACUUGACUAAAAUCCGGCAUCUGGAACAAAAAACAGGAGCUCAUAGUUACCACGAUUGUCAAAUGUCUCAGGAAGAACAAGAAUAGCAGAGAACAUAGUCCUUUCACUCAAGGGGAUAUGAAGUUUCUCAGUCAAAAUCCAAUCCCAAAUUACAUGCAAGUCUUCUAAUACCUGCAAGAUGAGCAGAGAGAAGUCAAAAAUAGAGAAGCAGAAUACAGACCCUGGCUUAUAAAAAAAAAAACUCUUAUUUUACUUAAAUAUAAAAUGCAUUAUGAUUCAAUAAACUUAUGCUACAAAUGACGAUUUCAGAUUACAGCAAGAGCCCCAAAAAAAAUUUUCUUUUCAACAACUUCGUACGUAAUUAAGAUUGUACCUGCUGCAUAGGAUAAUAUUGAGAGAUGUUAAGAUGACCCCUGCGGAUAGGACGCCGUAAGCAAUAUGGUUCAGUUGGAGAUAUUCUCAGAGCUUCCUCACCAAAAAUGCACUCCCUAUAUCUUGGUUCACUUGAAUUGUUCUCUCUAUAAUCGUGACCUUCCUUCUCAACAGAGGACUCAUCAUUUUGGUCAUUUCUCAGUGGGUCUUCUGUUACAUCAAAAUAGAAUUCUGCAACUUGAAUGUUGAUGUAACAUUUUAACCGAAUUUUCAUUAAUUUUAUGCAACUGAAAAUCAUAAUAAGAAACGAAGUCCAAUAUGAAUAGCUUAUAAAGGGUGCUCCGAUGGGCGGUACUCGAAUUAUAGGAGAAGAAAGACCACACAUCAUUGAAAUCCAAAUCUUUCAAAUAAGUUGGCUUACGCUGGACUAAAGCAGAGUAAAAAGGUCUAAACCUCCUACAAUACCACAGUUGGGUUACGUUCGAUUGACCAGAUUCAUUUCUGACUCUCGGAAGUAAGUGGCAUGACAUACAACUAAUUUGUAAAACUCUUUGAAACCAACCAAAAAGAAAGUCCUGGAUCAUGACCAUGGACAAGUAAAAAGAACUUGAUAUGGCUGUGAGUUGACAUCCCAAGCCCUAACAUGUAUCUAGUGAUACUUCGAUCAGAAAAGACAUGAGAUUCAAUGUCACAAGCUCAUAUAUUCAAGAUGAGGAUAGGAUUACAAAUUUUGAUUGCUUCCAACACUAGCAACAUACCAGAUGCAGACGAUGGAAUUGUCUUCUCAUAUACAUCAGUCCAACUGAAGGCUGUCUCUUUCUUGUUAGUUUGAGGAGGGUAUACAUCGAUACGACCCAUCUGCAUAGCAGUCAAUUUUACCGAAACAAAACAUAGAAAACUCGAUAAAUGUGCAUUCAACCAUGCCAGCUAGAAUAAUAAAGCUAAGAUCAUCUACUUCUGCAAUAUAUUACAGAUUUGGUUUAGCUCCUACAAUUAAAAAAAGAAGAAGACGAAAGCAGCAAGAGACCAAUUCUACCUUUCUGGGGAAUGCAUUGUUUGUAACCUCUUCAUCCAAGAAUGGAAUUUUCAACAGGGAUGCAAUCUGGCAAAAAAAAGAACCAUUUUUCAUUUUAAAAAUCAAACUAAAAUCCAUACUUGAGAAAAGCUUCAACUCCUCUAAACUCACAAUAUCAUAUGCUUUCUCACGUUCCAUGUGUUGCGCUGUGGUAACCUGAGAAUUAAGUCCCUGAAACACAUAAAAUCACAAGGGCCCCCAUUAAAAGAAGGGGGUGGAGAAGGAAAAGAGACGAACAGUUUCAUCAGCAAAGGAAAAUUUUCUCCAAGCACAUAAAGAAUAAGUUAAAAUUAACCAAAGAAUGAAAAGUAAACCUGGUCUAGAACAUUUUUCUUAGGGAAUUGAUUGGCACCAGUGGUUCUUCUAGCAAUACAAUGAGGGACGUUCAACGGGGCGUCUUGUCGAGCUAAUCCUAUUCUUAUAUUUGCAGAACCUAAACAAUUCAAGAAUCCCACUUCACAGAUUAAUCAAAUUUCACCAAUCACCAAGAAAAAAGUAAGAAUACAACUAAAACUUUAUAUGCUGAAAAUUGGCAUACACAAUUGUUGGCUAAAAGAUUAGUAGUAAGGUGGGAGUUGAGAGGGACCUGGAUUGAUGACAACAAGAUUGGAGCCACGUUCAGCAAGAAAUUGAGAAGGAACUAUUGUUUUCAGAUAAUCCUGCAAAAUUAACAAACACAAUAAAAUAAAAAAGUUCACAACUUUAAACUAUUUUCGUUCGAGAUAAUUACUGUGCGAGUGUGUGUGAAACAGAGUGAUAGAGAAAGUGACAGCAAGUGUCUACCAUUGGGAAGCAACGAGUUGGGAGGGCUCAGAGCAGUCAGCAGAGAGAGCCGAAUAAUACUCCUAGAAAAGAAAAAGUUUUUCCUUCGUGGGUUGGCUUUGUUGUGGUCUUUUAAGCUUUGGAACUUCGACCUUGGAACUGAAGUCUUCAAAUUAAAAUCAGAAAAGGAGGACAAUCAACGGCAAGAAAACCUACGCACAUUAUGGGCGCAAAAGGUACAUAAAUAAACAAAGAAAUGAAUAAUGUAACAUGUAAUUUCAUCAACUUAAAAAUGAAUUGCAUUUUGUCAUCAAAACUUCAGACGAAACUUCUUUGGUAGAUGGGAAUUGACUUGUCGUCUUAAAUUCUACUAGGCUAACAGGUUGUGUAUGAUUUUUCAUUUUCUUUUUGUUGCAUUAACAAUUUUAAUAUCUAUCUAUACUAUAUAUAAAGGUUGACAAAGGGAUUUGAAGUUAACAUUGAAAUUAACAUUUAUCGUCACUUUAUGAACUUUCUAGUUUACCCUUAAAAAAACUAUUUUUAUUUUAACUACUAAUAACCAUCCAUAACUAUUUUUACUUUUAACAAUUUAAGUAUAUGUUUUUUCAACAUAACUAUCCCUAAAUAUUGUAACUACAAAUAUAAAAUUAUUUUAUGAAAAACAUUUAAAAGAUUAAAGUUUGUUUCAGUAAUAAAAAUUUUAUUUAAAAUAUAUAGCCAUAGAUAUUAUGUUUUUUUUUUAUUAUUAUUGCACACACAUUGGGUGUGCAUUGAGCACUAGUAUUAACCGUAGAUUAGAAAGUUUUUCUAAAUGAAUAUCUUUUUUCUUUCUUAACGAGAAAGGUCAAAUGGUUGAUUUUAUAACUUAUAAACUUGUGUCAGAAAAUGGCUAAAUUUGGUUUUACCCAACUGUAGGGAAGGGUGAAGAUAAUUUAUGAUAAAGCCUACAUUUACAGUAGUAGUAUUUUGCAUCUGAUGACAAAGGACUCUAAAUUGAUGGUUCGUCGUCUGUUUUUGUAGCUGAGUCAAUCAUCAACCAGAAAAAAAGGGACGAGUUUACCAAGCUUAUCAUCGAAUAAUAAAAUGUACUAUCGAAUAGGAGCAAGAAUUUCAUCACAAAAAUGCAUUUCUUACUAAUACAGGAAAAACAUCAAAUGUUGUAAUCCAUGACCUUCUGAACUUUGCUCUAAUAUCUCUCACCCGCUAAGGGUGGUUGGUCUCAGCAAUGCGUCUAGUUUAAAGAGUGUAUUCAAAAAAAAAAAAAGGAGGAGAUGGCCAACUACAGUGGAAGAUCAAAGAAAAUUCUCAAGAACCCCCAAAAGCCAAAAAAAAAAAUCCAUUGUAAAGAUCCCUGGGAACUGUCUAAUCCUCUGCAACUUCUGCUCAGAUAAGGCUAAGCUGUCUUUGGUUUGGGGGUCUUUUUCUUGAGCUGCUUCCUCAAAAUUGAGUUCUUCAUCCCAAGGAAAAAUAGCAAGGCUCCAAAAAGAGCCACGCACUGCCAAACAAUGCAAAUCAUCAUAUUAACCAAAACUCUAUUCACGGAAAAUAAUAAUAACAAUUAAAAACCUAUGAAACCACAAGGAAGGUGAACCUGCAAAAAAUCCUGCAGAUGACUGAAAAAUUCUGGUCCACCAAAUUCAUAGUUGUAGAAGUCAUAGUACAGUGGAGUGGUGUACAGCAAGUGAUACAUCUGAAUUUUAGCAAGAAACCAAGAACCAAUUGGAAAAUUGCUUCAUAAGGUCAGCAUCUGUGAUUCUAUACAUCACCUGCUGAACAGCAAAGAAAUAAAAAUUCAAAAACAUUAAACUGAAACGGAAGUUCAAACCAGUAGGUAAGCGCCCAUUUUGCUACCAAACACAAAUAGCAAGCCUCCCAACCCCUUCAGAGCAAUUGAUCCAGCAACAAAAUGCCUAACCUGCAUAGAGCACCCCCCCAACAUUAUGGUGGCAAAAACGUCCAUUACAAUAACAUGCUAAAAAUAGAAUAUGUCACCUCAAUCACAGAGUAAUUAACAAACAGAACCACAUCCUUACAUCAAUAUUUGGCCCCCCUUCUCCAAACUUUGAUUUCAGAAACUUCUGGAUGGGAACCAAUUUAGGAGCCCACGCCCUGGCUGCAGGCCCUCCAUCAUCACCAAAUUCAUUGAACCUACGACAAUAUACGGGUACUGAGAUUUUGCAACACAGAGUUCUAAUGCUACGUGACAAUAAGUUCAAUGAUACGGUUGAAAGAUGCAUCUAAAUAGUUUUUAAGACAGAGCUUUUGUACAAGUAAUACAUCCGCACAACCUUAUAAGUUGGCAAAACUAGGAAUUUGCUCACAGCCAGUUCUUAAUCAAAAUUGACCUAAAAACUGAUAGAAACCUUCUGUAAAUUCCCUCAAAAAGUAUAAAGUGAAUGACUAUUAAAACUUCCUUGGAACAACAUAAAGUGAAACAAGCUAUAUUAUAAACCCAUUUGGGCAAUGCAAUAAUGAGUCCCAUUGGAAGUCAAUGCAAUAUCCAACGUUCGAUACCGGUUAUGGUAGCAACCAAAUGAACCAUCAAACACCUGAAAGCAUAAAAAGACAGAAAAAGAAAAAAGGGACAAACUUCACCUCUCUAACUUAAAAUAUGCUUCUUUAUAUACAGCCUACCUAUAAAUUAUUCGCAAAAGGAGUGGGUGAUUUGUCAACCAAAUAAAACCAUCAGCUAAGAAAAUAGCAAACAAAACUGUUAAAACCAGUCAUACGGAACGAAUCUAAUGUUUUGUAAUAAAAUUAGGAAACAAAACACAGAUUAGAUACCCCUUCAGGCCACAACACCGGAAAAAGAAGGUUCAACUUCUAAACUGGUUAUAAAAUACAUGAUAAAAAUCUAAGACAACUGGAAUACUAAAUUGGUCAAAUUUCAAUGGCUAAGACAAGUGAAACCUCCGUGAAAGCAUGACCCUGCCAAAAAUUAUCUCAUCUGCCAAACAUAUAUCAAUUACAUUACUUUCAAAAACUUGAAAACAACGAGCACUCUCAACUUUGUGAGAUACUAAAUUACUAGUCCUAUGUUAUUAUUCAUGAUACAUGUAAUGUACUCUCCGCUACAUUAUAUUCACAAUGUUUAGGGGCAAAAGCUAUCAUUGAAUCCACAAGGCAUCAGCAAGCAUACUCCUCACUCUAAUGGUCUUUGUCAUUCAUGCACUGAAAGCAAAUUGGAAAACCCCAACAUUGUGUUCGUCAUUUUCGCAAUAGCUUCUUCGAAAAGGAAUAAUUAAGUGCAUCCCCUCAAAGCCUUCAAACUGUUUAACAUGGCCAAAAUGCCAUACUUAAUAGAAAUGGAUAAAUGCAGUGAUCCACAUAACUUUAAGUACUCUAGGAAAGGAGGACUUACACAUAGUGUUGGAACUGAAGAUGCAUAAUACCAAUCCAGUAUAUUAUCUCAUUAAAAUCUUAUGUAGAUAAAAAUUCAUACUCAAAAUCUGCAUGAACUCUCCGGUGCAGAUCUUUAUAUGAUUUCUUAACAUAGCAAAACAGUUCAACUAGAGUAGCUAAAUCAUUGUGGCAAAUACAACUCUUCUAUCGAAUGUUCAGUUGCAAUAAUUGGCCAACUAGUAAUUCGUUAGCAUGAUAUCAGGCAUACAUAGUAACAUUAUCAUCGUAUCAGAAUGUACUGGGCACAAAUAUCAUGAGUGACGUUUGGAAGAAUUUUUCUUCUUCGUUUCUCUCUACUAUGUAACAGAGGCAACAUUUGCCAAAAUAUCUUAGCUGCUUCAGUCUACAAUCUUAUGGUGCAUUGGCUCCAGAAAGAUGCAACGACACUGAGCAUUAGCAAAAAAUAUGCACAAAAAAAGGUCAAAGGUAAAAAGCUGAAGAAGUUAGAUACUGUCCAUGAUUUAGCAAUUAAAACUGGAAUGCAAGACCAAGCUUUCCAACACUUGACACAAAACCAAUCAGAACUGAUCUAAUAGCCUUGUUCUUUACCCACCUUAUUUCAAAAUUUAGACAAACAGAUUUAAAGUAAAUCCACUGUUCCAUAAGUACAUCAAACAAAAGACAAAAUAACCAAGGAGGUAGGUGGGGUCAUACCUUCCCAAUCAGAACGCUGAUACUAAUUAAUUAGGCACUGACAUCAAAACUUAAGCUAAUGAGUCAAUUCAACAACUAGAGGCUAAGCUAGAUAGCAUUCAAAUGCACGACCCAGUCAAAACCAGCCAAUCUAUGAAAUUUUGCUUGCAGAGAGGAAAUAUAAGCACCACAAGAAAAGUCGACCAAGACAUCUCACCCAACAAACUCUACAUAUUCAAACUUUACAUCAAGAAGAAAAAGGAUGUGACACAUAUUCAAAAAUGGAUCACUUGACUUCCAAUCAUAGAGAAAUCCCAGAAUCCGCGUGACUCUACUACCUUUGAGGUGCUCCCAAGCAAUAGCUUAACUUCACCCCCACCCCCCGAGCGGCAACCCAAGUGAGCAAGUAACCAAAGUGAAUACAUCAUACCAAAAUUAUCCAUCUAUUAUGAUUAUCGAACUGCUUAGGGCAUACACCAAAAGUGCAGUAUGGGUUUAUGCAAAAUUGCAAAUGCAUCAUUCGUACUAAUCAACAAACAUAUUAAGCUAGAUCUAACAACACACAAAACAAACUAACAGUUCUAAGGAAAAAUGAAUUACUUCCACUACUUCACAAAGACUACUCAUUCAACAGAUCUACAAGAUUAAAACUUUGAUGAGAUGCAGUAGAAACAUACAUUUGCCAAGCAGCGAGGAUGAAGAUGGAGGCAAAAAGCACUCUUCCCAAGAAAGAAAAGAACCCCAUAUUUUGUUCUUUUUUGCUGACUGACCCUUACAGUAAUUUUUCAAGCUCGUAUGGGCUCAAAAUUUUGCUUCAGAAAACAGGGACAGAGAGAAGUAAUAAGAGGCGGGAAUGGAUAGAGAGAGCGAGAGCAAAUCUGGUGGGUUUGGUCUCGCUCUGUUUCUCUACUUGUCUGCCUCUUGGGGAUUGUGAGGAAAUUGAAUUUUGGUUGGUGGAGUCUUUCGACUUUGAAGUUGAUGAAAUUGAUCGUGUGUGGUUUCUUGGGUAGGGAGCUCUGAAGUAAUGCCUAUGGGGAUUAUGGGAACAGUACCAUUGUUGUUCUUUUUUGGGUUUUUCUUCUUUAAUUUGUCAUGUCAACAAUCUAAUUUACACUUACUUUUACUCUUGUUUCUACUUUAGAGGAGAAAUGAGUCUAAAAAGACUUGUACAGGAUUAAGACAACCCACCAGAUCAAACAACAAGUACAUUACUGUACUUUCUACAGAAAACACGCAUAUUUCUUGACCACUAAAUCAAACGAGCAUUACUGCACUUUCUACAGAAAACACACCAGCAUAUUUCUUGUAUGCUUCACUAGGCAUGGUUUCAACCUUUAAUCUAAUGCAUGGGAAAGCAGGCGGCCAUUGGACCAAGGUUGGACAAUAAAUAUGGCCUUGUUUGGCAGACAAGCUUUUUGUCAAAUUUAUUUGCUACAAGUUUUUUUUAUAACUUUAGCUACAGUAAUCUCAAAAAAUUUGUCAAAGUUUUUAAGCUAUACACUUCAAAAUAUUCAAAAAUUUACACAUUUCAAAAAAAAUUUUAAAAGCUUCUACAGUAAGUUACAGUAAAAUUUUAGACAAACACUCAAAAAAUUCACUUGCCAAACGGAGCCAAUACUGCUAGCAGCAUAGCAGGGGAAGAGGAACCGAUCAAGAAUUUUGCCCAACUGGAUUUUUUGGUUUGAGAGAGAUAAUAUGCGUGCAUUAUGGGCGGGGGAUUCAAAAACAAAGGGCUUAAAACAAUAGUACUAGAUCUUUUGGUAUAUUACAUAGGCUUGUUAUUCGCUGAUUUAUCUUAAUUGAUUAUAGAUUAUUUCGAUAAUGCAAAAUUCAUAAUUACAUUUUUAAUAACUAAAAAAAUUAAAAUCUAUAAUCACUCAAAAAGUAGUUUUGUUUAGUCUGAUUAUCCUCUGUAAUCACUUUUCAUAAUCAGAUUUUACAAAAUCUAAAGCAAACGAGAACAAGGCUCGGGGUACUUGUUAAGAGCAUGAUGAAAUUAUAUAAUUUCUUCUAUUUUAUACCCCAAGCACACUGAUAAAAGGUGAUGCUAGUUAUGUUGUGUACAAAUUUAAAGCGUGCUUGUACUAUUUUAUGCGCAUUCCAUGACCAAUGCCUUUUCAUGCUCUUUCUUUCUUUUCGGGCAGCGAACAUUCCAAUUAUUUUAUUGGCAAAUGCAGGAUAACUUUUUUGACAAAAUGUGGUACGAAAACAGGAAAAAGAAAAAGUUUAGAGGUUAGAUUAGACUACAACAAACCAACCUUAGACGACAAGAUUGACUGUGUAUUUAUUUUGUAAACUUCAAACUUAGUCACCGUCGUUUACUGCUGUUUCCACAUGCGUUCCAUCUUCCACAAACGACAAAUGGCAUUUCUUUUUCUAUUUUGUCAUUUGGGUUAAUGAGUGUGUUUGGAUUGAAAUGAUUUGAAAAAAAAAAUAAUUUGUUUCACAAAUUUCAAUCACCUUUUUAUAUUCUCAAUCAUCUUUUUAUUUCACAUACAUCACAUUAUAAAAGGUGCAACAUUAAUUAUCUCAAAUAAAUCAUCCAAACAAACUCCUAUCCAGAUUACUACUUUUUGUUGCUAUAGAAAACUGGGGUAUUCAUAAGCAAUUGAGUUAACUAAUUUUUUGAAAAAAUACUAUACUAAUUUUUUGAUGCAAUGUAUAUAAAAUAAAAAAGAUAGUUGAAAAAUAUAUUGAUAAUACAAGCAAAUAAACUAAAUCAAUAGUUGACUAGCUACUAUUACUUUUCAAAAAGAUAAAAUACAACAAAAACCCAAGUCAUUGUUCAAACAUGUCAUUUUAUACUCGGAAAUAUACUUUGACCCGUGCAUUUUGGUUAAAUUUGUCGUUUUGCCUAGAAAAGUUGUUCGAACAUGUAAUAUUAUUAUACAUCAAGUUCAUUUUUCAUACUUAUUAGGUACCCACUAUUUGAGUUCUAUACUGUUUGGAUUGUUAUUUUUAGAAAUUUCUAUAAAAAAAUACUAUAAUUAUUUGAUAUAUAUAAGGUAAAAAAAUGAUUAGAAAAUAUGUUCACGGAAAUGUAAAAAAUUUUUUUACGAAAAAACACAAUCCAAACAAGGAGUUUUAUGUUGCUCCUUUUGAAAGAGCAAAAGUUGGCUUUAAAUAAUUAUUGCAAAAAAAUUUUCAAAUAAUCUUCUAUCCAAAAACAAUCAUGAUUAUCUCCUUCAUCAAACAAAUUUUUUUUUUUUUGUUUGGGAACAGAACAAAUGUAUAUUACACCCAAUUGGUCUGCAUUGACUCAUGAACAUAGUGGCAGUUUCUUGGAAGCUUUGUCUUGAAUUUCUUAAAUAUGCUGUUUUGCAUAUACUACUGUAUUAAGUAAUUAUUGCAGAUCUCAUCCACCAACAAUCUCCUUCAAAUUGAGCUGUACUCUGUUAUUUGCAGAAAACAAAGUAGUAAUGAUAGGAAUAAUUAGCCAAUAAACAUGUGAUUCCCUGGCAUGCAUUAGAUCAGGGAAAGGAAUAAAGUGGAAGAAAAGGUUAUAAAACUGCGUGCUUGCAUAUGACAUUUAUUAUUUCAAUUUACAAUUGCAAGUCAAGCGUUUUAUCAAUUUACAAUUGCAAAAUUACUGUAGCGAUUUGAUAUAUGUGAGGGAAAAAGGUGAUAGGGAAAUGUGAUCACAGAAAACGACAAUAUUUUCCGACGAAAACAAGCAAUCCAAACAAGGCCUUGAGAGUGUUACCACUCUACUCAGUAUAUUACGCUUUAUUAACACCUAGGGUGGCAUAAUGAGAGUGUUACCACUCUACUCAGUGACCCUUGAUUACAAUUAAACCUAUUCCAUUACAGUUAAACUCUUGUCUUUAACUUUAACUGGUUAAAAUGAAGUUGUUCAUAUUCAACGUUGGACAAAUGAAAACUCGUGGGGUUGUAGCCUAAUUAUACAAACGGUAAACACUCAUAAGUAUAGCAACAAAUGAGAAAUGAUUGAAAAAUUAUUUAUGAAGUUUAUGCAAUUCUUCAAAGACAAGAAAAAAGGAAAAAUUGUAGUGCAAUGCAUUCGUUUAAAACCCAUGUUUGGCAAGCAAGUUUUUUGUCAAGUUUGUCUGUUACAAGUUUUUUAAUAAUUUUAAUUAUAGAAAUAUCAAAAAAUUUAUUAAAAUUUUUAAAUUAUACACUUCAAAAAUUUUUCCUACAACUUCGAUGGUAAAUUAUUGUAAAAUAUUAGACAAAAAAAAAAACUCAUUUGCAAACGGGCCCCUGGUAGUAAAAGCUUAUCAUUUACUCUUCGUGAUUGAUUGGUGGUAUAAAGCUGCGUAAUUCAAGGAAGGAAAGCUAUUAGGACAACAUAUUCAAUUAUCUUCGGAAAGAUGUCUUCUUUUCAUGCAAAUUCUGUAGAAUGUCGAAAACCAAUUAUGUAUAGUUGCAAUUAAUAAUUUGCCGUAAGGCUAAAGAAUAAUAUGCCAUCCAACACAGUAAUGUUGAAAAAAAAUGAAAAAUUUCCAUUUACGAAAUCAGAAAAAUAUGCUGCCACGUCCGCGCCUAGUAGAUUUUGUCAAUGCAUUGUGAGCUUGUGAUUGGUCCGCACGACGUGUCCCCGAUCAACUUCAACCUAUAACACUACUAUAAUAACAAAAAAUGUAAGGGUAGAAAAGUAGAUGCUUGUUUGGAUUGCAUUUUUCUGGAUUUUUUUUUAGAAAAAACUACCGUAGCGAUUUGAUAUAUGUGAGAUAAAAAAAGUGAUUGAAAAAUGUAUUCACGUAAAAUAUAGCAAAUUUUCUUUAGGAAAUUGCUGUCUGGAUUAAUCUUGAUAACAUGAUGUCCAAUUCAAAGUAAAUCACAAGGAUAGGUACGGUAAUUUUUUUUAAACAAAUGGUAAGACCUAUAUUACACUAGUUUGGAUUGCCAUUUUCAAAAAGUUUUUUACAUUUUUCGUAAACACAUUUUUCAAUCAUUUUUUUAUCUCAAAUAUAUCAAAUCGUUAUAAUAUAUUUUUAUAUAAAAACUUAAAAAAAUAACAAUCUAAAGGGGUUCACAAGAAACUCCUAAACUAUAGUCUACUUCACAAUCGUUCAAAGAUUACAAUUUAGAACAAAAUGAAGACAGCGUAUUGGCAAGAAUGUUAGACCAUAAAGAAGUUAUUAUAUCUCAUUUAAAUUGGGUCAGCCUCUUUCUGAGGUUUCAUAUUUCAGGACUUUAUAUUCAUAAUGAUACCAUCCUUGCCUUUGACACGAGAAGCAAAUCUUGAUCGAACCUAUAUUUGCUCAUGAUAAAACUUCAUAUGGGUUUGACGUACUUUUAUCUUGAAAGAGCGAACCAGCAUUUGAUGUGGGAUGAAGUUUUUUAAUUGCAAGAAAAUUUAAAUCCCUAAUGGCAAACUUGUCAAUGUAUGUUGAUAGGCUCAUUAGCUUCCGGCUUCCGCCUUGUAUAAUUUCAAGACCCAAAGAGACAAAAGAAAAAAAAAAAAAAAACUCAACUGCUAAGGCGGCAAUACAAAAGUUCGCUUGGAGGAAUUUCAAAAAUUAAACCACGGUAAAAAGUUGUAGUAGUAACAACUUGUACUAAGUACACUAUUUUACGAUAUAUCCGCAUAAACUAUAUAACUUUUUUACUUCUUACAGACCUCUUUUACUGCUUUUUAUUUGAAAAGUUCAUUCACUAUUUAAUACCAACACAAAAUUUUUAUUGCGUAGAAGAUAAAAUAAUAUAAAACUAAUAAAGAUGAUUAAGUACUAGUUAGUAGUAGUACUAAUUUCCGGCAAUCAAAAGAGGAGUACAAUAUUACUCUUCUGGUUCUACCUUUCCCAAGCAUAAUUAUAAAACUGGUCUACCAUUAGUCCUCUAUUUAAGUCCAAUACAAAUUCCCGUGGUCCUAGGAUUUGAAUCUGUUUUCUCUGUCUUGUCCCCUAUAUCUCUAGAGAGAAACCCAAACCCGGCAGGCAGUCCUGUAGAGAGAGAAACUAAAACCAUUCCAGAAGCUGCCCGCACCAUCACAGCAAUGGCGUUGAUUUCUUUCGUCGGAAGGCUUCUCUUCGUCUCUGUCUUCGUUCUCUCCGCUUACCAAGAGUAAAUCUUUUCUCCCAUUGAUUUCAGAUCUGCCCUGUUUUUUCUCUUUUUGUUUUUGACGCGCACUAGACCACUCUUACUGCGUGUUCUUAGAUUUUUAGAAGCUUAAUUUAUUACUGCUGUUUACUUAGUUUAUGUUUCUGGGUUUUCUUUAUUUUUUAGUAAUUGUUUUUUGUGUGAUGUUUAGCUUGGAUCUGCUGAAGUUGAAUGCUUGGGAAUUGAACUACACCUAGAAUGCGAUUUAAUUUUUCUCACCCUGUUCUUGCCGAGGGAUUCUUCUUCUUCUUCUUGUUUUUUUUUUUUCGUUUUUGUCGAUGGAUUUUGGGGUUUAGUGGUGAAUAUUCUUUACUUGGAUUUUAAGUUACUAGGAUCACUUGAGGUGAAAGAAAAUCUGGGUCUGGCUUCAAAAGUUUAAAUUUUUCUGUGCAGGUUUAGUUUUGAUUCAAGUAUUUUUUUGGCUUGUGUUUAAUAAUGAAUCUGAAAUUUUUUUUUUUUUAAAAAGGCCUCUCCCCUGAUUGGUAUGGUAUGUGUUCAUCAUUGUUUGUUUUUGAAAUUUUAACUACGUACACUAUUAGAUUUAUGUUGAUCAUUAUUGGAUUAACUAAGGAUUUUUGUUAGAGUGAUCGCCUAAUUCAGUUUAAUGUGUUUGUACUGUUGUACUUCAUGGUUGAGCUUGUAAUAUGGUGGGAAAGCCCAUUGGAUUUGGAACAAACAUAUGAUAGUUGUUUGUCACAGAUAAGCUUUCAAUUGCUGGAGAAUCAUGCGUGAGGCUUUUGUAUGAAUGUUCAAUAUGUUGAGGCAUAAACUUUUAAAACUAGUUGGGUUUCUGUGAACUAGAAUAUUGUCAUUCGUGAUGCUUUUGCAGCUUAAAGGGACCUUUUCCUUGAUUUGUAGUAGCUAUCAUUCAUCUUGUCUGCCGCUUGAAGGUAUUGGAAUGUCAGGUUAACUUAGCAACACUCUUUUUCGCAGGAGUUUCUUUUGAUUUUAGUCUUUGUGGAUUGUGACCAAGUCAUUGUGAAAUAUGUGAUAAUACAACUCAAUUUUGGUCAUAUUUUUUUCAAGUGACUGUUUGAAAGAAUUUUUUGAGUUACCUUUUAUGCAUGGUUAUGUUUCCUUUUCUGUUAUUGCUCUUUUUGGUAGUCUUUACAGAUAGAUUAAGUUUUCAAAUUUUCAAUGGGCACUGCAGAUGAGUUUCUAGGCAUUGUAACUUUAGGAGGUGAAGUUGAGUUACAGUAGGAUGAUGUAGUAAGCUGAAGGAUUUAUAAGAAAUUUUUUGCUGCUAAUUGGGAUACCUUCUUGUUAAUUGUCCUCACCCCUGCUGUCUUGUGAUGAAGAAUAUAAUUAAGAAUGCUGCAAUGCGAUGAACAUGUUGACCUUGGAUAAAGCUAUAUUUUUAACAUGAUGUGCAUGUAGAUGGCUAUUUUAAGUCAACAUUUGGACUGAUAGGAUAAAAGCUUAGUUUAACAUGCCAUUACUUGCACUUUUUUCCCCAUAACGAUCUGUAGGUUUCUCUGCUCUUUGAGUUACUUUUCUAAGUUGUCCUCUCUUCAUCAUAGGUUUUCUGAAUUUGGCGUAGAUGGUGGACCAGCAGCAAAGGCACUGAGCCCGAAGUUCAGUGCUUUCUCAAAGCAUGUUACCAGCCAAACUGGGCUUCAUUUGCCCCCUCUAGAAGUAAGGAGUACUUUAAUGUGAUGUCAGUUUUGAAUUUUGUUACCUAUCAACUACAUGUUACUAAUUUGGAGAUUUGUUACUUACAGAUGAAACAUUUAGUGUUGGGUGCUAUACUCUUGAAGGGAUUGGGAAGCUUUCUGUUUGUCUUUGGAAGCUCCUUUGGAGCUUAUCUUCUGGUUUGAAAUCAAUAUCCUAAGCAUUUACUGAACUCUAAUGUCAAUUAAGUCAUUGUAACAAAUUUUCACUUCAUCUGCUUUCUUGAUGCAGCUUUUGCAUCAGGCAAUUGCUUCCCCUAUCUUGUAUGACUUCUACAACUAUGAUGCUGACAAGAAAGAGUUUGCUCAACUAUUUGUCAAGUUCACCCAGGUUAGUCAUUUACUUGUUUGUAUGUCAUGAAAUCCUUUGAGUCAAUGGUCUUUAUGCAGUGAUUCAAGAUGAAUGUUUUGGAAAAGUAAAGUUCAUCUCCUAAGAUGUUAAAUUUGGUUCAGAAUUUGGCUUUGCUGGGGGCACUUCUCUUCUUUAUUGGCAUGAAAAAUUCAAUGCCAAGGAGAUCAGCAAAGAAGAAGGCUCCGAAGACAAAGACAGUUUGAGAAGGGGUUCAGAGUUGCUGUUCUGUUCGGUGGAUCAUAGCCCUAUUACAGAACCUAGAAGCUCGCUGAGGGUUUGGUAGAAUCGUAUUUUUGCAGCUAUACGCUCUAAAGCUUACGUCAUCUUGUUCCUUCUCCAAUUCAACAUUUGUCUUACCUUUUAGGUUACUUUCAGUUAUGAAUAUUUUUGAUUUUUUUUUGGAAUUCCUGAAAUCUGAGUUGCAAUGAUGAAAUUUGAUUUAUUAUUGAAGCCCUGGUAGUUUACAAUUUUUCCUGCUCAUAGUUGUUGAGAUGGGAGCUUGCUCAUCAUUAUUUUGCUGUUUAAGCGGGAACAAUGGGAUGGUAGGAGUAAGGAGCAAUCUCUGUGAAAUACUCACAAUGGAAAGUUCUCUUGGUUGUCCUAAACUGCAUCUGGGUAUGUUUACAAGUACAUAGGUAUCUUUGUUGUGGACUUUGGUAUGUUUACAAGUACACAGGCGUCUUGCCAGUUUGAAUUUGAAGUUCAAGAUUAAACGUCGCCAAUAUCACGCGUCUUGCUCUAGGCAAAACAUUUCCAUGAAAUUGUCCGAAGACUUCUUGAAAAGCUAUAUAUUACUACUAUUUUAGUUAGACACUUCUUGUGCUUUUCUCCAAACAUGUGGGGCUUGCACGUAGAAAGCCCGGUGGCCCCUUUUGGGCGGGAGAAUUUCAUCUUGUCCCUGUCAUUGGUCCUAUGAUUUUGAAACAGAAUUUUGUUUGGGAUCUGUUUCCUUUUGUUUUUCAGUGAACAGCCACGUUAUCACUUUUUCUUACUGACGGGUAAAACUGUCGGAAAACAGAUGCUGCAGGUAUUUCUUGAAAGUUGAAAUGGGUGUCAAGCACACACACUAGACUACUUUCUUUAUAAUUGUUCUGGGGUGGAAUAUGGGUUUAACAGGAAACCCUCCUAACACGAUGAUGUUCAUUUAAAAUUCAAUUUGUGAUUAUUUGCAAAAAUUUUUUUUUCUAGGAUGGCUAAAGAAAUCCUAGGCCAAAAUGCUGCUAAGCUUGAAUAAUGAAUUUUGAAUUCCUGCUUCCAAGUUUUCCUCUCCCAAGUAUCUUUGAUCAUCGAUCACCAAAGAUUGCUAGUUACGUGUGGAUAUCAAUUAUGAGAAGUUCCAUCCAUUAGGUGUUUGGCAAGUGGAACUCAUACUGGAAUGGUAUGAAAUUAUGCCUAAAUGGAUUUCAUACAAGUACAUUUUAGAAUGAUUGUAUCAAAUCCUUCAAUCAAUUCUUCCGAUAAACGAAAUGAUUUUAAAUUAAUGCUUUUAACAUUUAAGAAAUCCGAAGUUUGUAGAAGAAACUCUCCUAGUUCUUCUUGUGAAGUUGGAAAAAAAAAAAAAAAAACCUGACGCAACUGGUUGGUGGAAUCUGCAACAAGAAGCCAAUAAAUGCUCUCCAGUCUUUAUGCCGAGGCCAAAUCAGAAUGGUACAACUUGUACAAGACGUGCCAAACAAAUCAAGCUAAGCUAAGCUUUUGCAGAGGCAAAUAGUGAAUUUGAGAUCGAUGUUUCAUGAAUACUGUUACCAGCUAGGGAUAGACAAAUAGCCCUGUAUGAUCUUUUUUUUUUCUUGAUUGGUCAAGGACUGGGACGUCAUUAUUUGGUAUUUUCUUUUAUCUGCUUUUUUUUUGGACCAUUGUAAUUGGCGAGAUCAAUCAAGUUUUCUUGACCAAAUAUUGAAGGGGGGAGGGGCAGGUCCCGGCAGCACACAAAGGAAAUGAAAACAAAAGAUACAACAAUUAGUCAGAAAUGAGAAAACCACCAAACUUUGUCACACAUCAUAGCCAAAAGCUCAACGGAACCAGCAGAGUCAACUCUAAUGGCCGUCCGGCCGGUAAAUUUUAGAUUCUUUGAUUUCCAGAAUCUACAAAUAUUACUAUAAUAUAGUCUAAGUCAAGACAUUCAUUGGUCUGGGACAAAAAUAUGUGGAUUUAAAAUUCAUAGUUGCGUCAAGAUGAUAAUCACUAUUAGUAUAUUGUGUCAGGCAUCUAAGCUGUAACAAGAACGCAAAUUUGUACCACUUUGCAUUGUCCAUUUUGCGCUCUAAUUAUCUGAGUGGAGAAGAAAAUGGCAGCCAACAGCGUAGCUGAAGUUGAAGCUGAAACCACAAGCCAGCAGAACUACGACAGAAUCAGUGAAAUUAAAGCUUUUGAUGAGACCAGAGGUGGGGUUAAAGGGCUAGUUGAUGCAGGAAUCAAGAAGGUUCCCAGGAUGUUUUAUUCCCUGCCUGAUGACUCUGUCAAGGCUUCUGAUAACAGAAAGGCUGAUGUUGGUAUUCCAGUGGUGGCCCUUGAUGACAUAGACGGAGAUCCCAUUCAUCGCAAGAAGGUGGUUGACAUUCUUAGAGAGGCAUCAGAGAAAUGGGGCUUCUUCCAAGUGGUAAAUCAUAGCAUCCCAGUUGAGGUUUUGGAAGAAAUGUUGGAUGGUGUCAGGAGAUUCUAUGAUCAAGAUACUGAAGUCAAGAAACGGUGGUAUACAAGGGAUGGUUCAGAAACGGUAGUGUAUAAUAGCAAUUUUGACUUGUUCAGUGCACCAUCGGCUAACUGGAGGGAUACCAGUUAUGUGAAUAUGGCUCCAAAGGUUCCCAGGGCAGAUGAAUUGCCCGAGGCAUGCAGGUAUGACUUUUUUAGUUAUGCUGCUGGUUUUUUUUUUGGGGGGGUCAGCCCUGCAAAUUAGUCAAGUACUCGAUUGAUCUUGAAAGACCUUAUUUGACUAAACAAUAAUGAUCUGGAUAACCUGAGAGAAUUUUCUGAAGUCUCCUAUAUGAAUCUGCAGUGAUAUUUUGAUCAAGUAUUCUGAGUACAUCAAGAAGCUGGGUCGUUCUUUAUUUGAACUACUGUCUGAGGCUCUUGGGCUCAAGCCAAACCACCUAAAUGAUAUCGGCUGUUCAGAGGGGCUUGCUGUACUAUACCAUUGUUAUCCAGCAUGUCCAGAACCAGAACUUACCCUGGGAGCAACCAAACAUGCUGACUAUGAUUUCAUGACAGUACUACUGCAAGAUCAUACAGGAGGAUUGCAAAUUCUUUAUGAGAACAAGUGGGUUGAUGUUCCUCCUGUCCCAGGAGCUCUGGUGGUCAACGUUGGAGAUCUUUUACAGGCAAGAUAUCAAUCAGUAAUCUGCAUCUGUUUUAAGCAUAUUAUGUUGCUCUAAGAUUCACAAUAUCAAAUUUGUUUAUGCAAAAUUAAAAAAAAAUUUGUUUAAUCACUACAUGCUUGAUCCUUAACACAAAAUUGCAUAUCAAAUUGGCAAGAGGUGCUAUAUAUUUGUAGAAAAGAAAACAAGAAUUCAUCCCAUCCUUGUUUUUGAAGGAAAUGAAGAAUGUUUUAUACCUUUUGGACUGGAAAAGUAAAUCAUAGGUAGGAAAUGAACUAGGAUUGAAGUUUGUCACAUCUGUACCAGGACAAGAAUAUCUGUUUCAAUAAUCAAGCAAUUGUACUUGAUUUGAAAAAUUUCAGCUGAUAUCAAAUGACAAGUUCAACAGCAGUCAACAUAGAGUAUUGGCAAACCGUGCUGGUCCAAGAGUAUCUGUGGCAUGUUUUUUCACAACUGGACUGGCACCAUCAUCAAAGAGAUAUGGACCAAUUAAGGAGUUGUUAUCAGAAGACAAUCCCCCAAGGUACCGCGAAACUACAGUGAGAGACUAUUCGCUUCACUACAAUGCAAAAGGACUCGGCACAACUUCAGCCCUGUUGGACUUCAGGAUUUGAAUUUGGGAAAAUGUUGCUAUCAUUUGGUGGAUGAUGAAACUACUCAUUCCUGUGUACCUUAGUUUCAUCUGUAGACCCUCAGACGAAACUCAUGGAUACACACAAAUCUAAAAGCAUUAAAUUCUUUUUUCUUUUGGACAAACUAUGUACUCUGACAAUCCAGGAAGCUUGAUAAUACUAUAGAUUUGGAUGGUAAAGCGCAAGGAGCUUCAAGAAUAUUGAUCAUUCCACACUUAUUUUGAAUGUCCCUGCAAUUUUUGUCCUUACAAAUAUUAGCUUGUCCUCAAUAUAUUCUUCCUCUCCUAUUUUUAUUUUAUUCUCUAGUGGAAUGACCUGCAGAUUAUGCUCAAAUUGUAGUCUGAAAGGAAGACAUUUUAGUCUCCUCUGAACUUGGUGUGAAACCUACUUUUUUUGUUUGAAAGUCAAACGUACUUUUGUGCGUGUGUGUGUGUGGCGGAGGUUGGGGGUUACAUCCUUAAGACAGAGAAACUCUCCAUUGACUGCAUGGCAUGCUCAGAAUCACAAAAUCCACCAAAUCAAAUCGACCGGUGCUUGAUAUAUUAUAAGUCUGGGUCAACUCCCAAGAGCAAGAAGCUUUAUCUACAUAGCUCCUUCAUUGUUUGCCUGAUUAUUUACAAGAUCCAAUUCUAGUCCUCCAAGUUCUGAGUAACCUAGGGACGAACAAUGGAGGAUGGUCUAACUGAAAUUAGGGAUACAAACGAACCAACAUAUGAUCGGCGGAGAGAGCUUGAAGCUUUUGAUCGCACCAAGGCAGGUGUUAAAGGACUUGCUGAUUCUGGGAUCACCAAAGUUCCAAGAAUUUUCCUUCAUCCACCAGAUGAAACUAGAAAUAUACCCAAAUCUGUGAACCUCCAAUCUGCUAUUCCAGUGAUAGACCUUGCUGGUGCGGGAAAAGCACCGAUCUUGCAUAAAGAGAUAGUUGACAAGGUUCGAGAAGCAUGCGAGAAAUGGGGUUUCUUCCAAGUGGUUAACCAUGGUAUACCAAUUAGUACUCUCGAGGAAAUGAAAGCUGGAGUUCAUAGGUUCUUUGAUCAAGAUUUUGAGAUUAGAAGACAGUGGUAUACUCGAGACGUCAAGCAAAGAGUGGUUUACAAUUGCAAUUUUGAUUUGUUUAGUGCACCAACAGCUAAUUGGAGGGACAGUAUUUAUUGUGUUAUGGCUCCUAAUCCUCCAGACCCACAAGAAUUGCCUCUGGCCUGCAGGUAUCUGACAUUCCUUUCUCAAUAUUAUUUGUUUAGUGGCUGUGGAUGUUUAUUAAUGAGCCGUGCUUUUCUCUGAUAUUGCUUACUUUUGAUAAGAGUGAAGAAGUCGUGGUCCUUUUUUUGUCUUGACUGCUCAGUGCUCUAUAAGUUAUGUAGACAGCGUGAAACAGCCCGCGCAUGUCUCUGAGCAAAAAAUUUAAGGGUUAAAAAGAAAUAUCCUCAUGACCUUCAAUUAAUUGUUAUGCGUGUAAUUUUAGAAGAACCUGAUGUGUUAACAAGAAGGGGGCCAUCAUCAUGUCUUUGUAUAUUUGCUGUCAUUUCCUUAGUUGAGAAUGAAAGUUGUCAUUUCCUCACCCUCAGAUCCUCUCUUAAAUUUGCAGAGAUAUUCUGAUAGAGUUCUGUAAAGAAGUCAUGAAAUUGGGAUCUACUUUGUUUGAAAUAUUAUCCGAGUCCCUUGGACUUGAUCCCAAUCACCUGAACAGUAUUGGCUGUGGUGAAGGCCUUGCUUCCCUGUGCCAUUAUUAUCCUGCAUGCCCUCAACCAGAGCUAACUUUAGGUACCAGUAAGCAUGCUGAUAGUGACUUCCUGACAGUGCUGCUACAAGAUCAUAUCAGAGGCCUGCAAGUCCUGCAUCAGAACCAAUGGGUUGAAGUUCCUCCAAUUCCUGGAGCUCUGGUAGUAAAUGUCGGAGAUCUUCUCCAGGCAAGUCUACUGGUUUCUGUUAAACCAUAGACAUUAUGAUCCUUAAUCUGCUUAAUGAUGGAUAAAUUGUUUUCUUUUUUGAUGGGUUUAUCUUGAUUUCAGCUCAUAUCAAAUGACAAGUUUAUCAGCGUAGAGCACAGAGUAUUGGCAAAUAACGUUGGGGCAAGAGUCUCAGUGGCAUGCUUUUUCAGAAACUUUGAUAUGUCACCCUCUGCGAAGUUAUAUGCACCAAUUGAGGAGCUACUAACAGAAGAGAAUCCACCGAAGUAUAGGGCAACUACUGUGAAAGAUUAUGUGAGCCACUUCAACAACAAAGGGCUUGAUGGAAUUUCUGCUCUGUCGCAUUUCAAGCUCUAGACUUGCAAACAGAACAAUAAGACUAGCGUGUGGAUCUGUAAGAGAAUAUCAAUUCAUGAAGCCUUAAACUGGGAGUUUAUUAUGUCUGUUGAAUGCAUUGCAUGCACCAGAAAUUGGCAAAAUAAUUCUGAUUGAUGUAAUCAAAGUUGUUUAGUAUCCGGAAGAUGUUUUCAAGCUUAUGCCAUGAAUUCACGGAGUUGAAUUCCUCUGUAUGAUCUGUUUCCAUUUCCCUCUUCAGACAAUAUGUGACAUGAAUUUCAAAUAAGAAAAUCAGAAACUUUUAUUCUGAUGAACAACUUAUUAAUCUUUACGAAGUUUCUAAGUAUUGCAUGGUGCUAUACUAUCAAUACCAAAAGCUAAUCAUGUGGAACAACUACUAGAAUUGAUUGCUUAACCACCAAUGAAUGUACAUUUCAGGAACCUCUGCUCUACCAGAUUUCUGAAUUUGGAAUCUCCAAAACUUUCUGCAAAUAAUUAGGAGAUUUCUUAUGCUAUACCUAUUCCUACAGCUUUCAUGAUAGACGCACGCAAACAUUCUCGAAAGCAUUUUGUGUCAUUCCUAAAUUGGAUUCCUCCUAUAUGUCAGCUAAAAAUCUUAAAAUUCUUAGAGGGAACACAGACAUACCAAUAUUGUGUGGCUAAAAUCCUUCAAGAUGCCAGUCACACAUCAUGUAUUUUCUGCUCUAGUUCGACUCAACCUACAAAUAUAAAGAAUAUGACUUCUAAAAUUUACUUUCACAUAUUCCUUCCUUCAUCAUUUUGUCUAAACUUGUAUAAUCUUCCUUUUGAAUCAUCCCCUUCUCUUAGCACAAUGAAAAACAAAGGUCCUGUUACUUUCUGCUUUGAGUACCUAAAAGUGGAGCCAUUUUAAAAUUUGACUAAUAAAAAAAAUCAGUAUGUUGAUAUAUCCUACCGUAUGUGUAUAUGUAAAAUGUAUACUUUUCUUAUGUCCCACACUCAAUAAUAUCUCUUUUCGCUGAACUUGUGGGUUUUAGCUCAGCCAUGUGUUUCUCAUCAUGGAUACAAUAAACAAGUCUGCCCCUUUAUACAGUAGCACACCACUUGUCCUGUAUUAUGAGGUUGUGGGAUAUUGUUAAAGCUUGAAGAAAUCCAGCUGCACAAAACAGUGAGAAUAGAGAAACGCUGGCUACCAUCAAAUGUGAAGUUGAUCUGAUUGCACAAAUUGAACCAACAUUGGAGAUCUUUCGCAGGCAAGCCUUCGAUUUAUUGAUUUCCUGUUUUGUACUGCUAUUUUCUUGAAAUAAGGUUGUAACUAACAAGUGCAUGAUGAUGCGGCCUGUUAUGACAUCAUUUCCAUUGUUUCGGUUGGUAAAUUUUAGUCUUUGGUUGUGAGUUUUCAGCUCAUAUCCAAUGACAAGUUUUGAACAUAGAGUUCUGGCUAGCAGAGUCAGUCCUAGAGUAUCAGUAGCAAGCUUUUUUGCUACUGGUUCAAGGCCAAUAACAAAGGUUUAUGGACCUAUCAAGGAGUUGUUAUCAGAAGACAAUCCACCAAAACAGGGAAGGAACAUACAGAUUACGUCCGUGCCAAAGGGCUUGAUCUUCUGCUCUUUUGCAUUUCAAGCUUUAAACUAAACGACAAAGAUUAGCCUGUGAAUUUCUAAAGAAAGAGAUUAUGUCUAUAAUAAAGAUUGUCACUUUAUAGAAACUGCCCACUUUGUGUGCUCUAGUAACUUUGAGUAAAAUAAAAAAGUUUCUUGUUUCCAAGAAAUUUUUUCGAGUUUAUAUCAAGUUCAUAGUAUUAAGUUUCUUUCUCUCAACCGUACUCGUCUGUUACCCCAUCCAGACACCUUUUUUUUUUUUUUUAUAAAUCUUUUACAGCAGGUUGGGAUUUCAGAAGCGAGUAGAGGACAAGAGGAUUUGAACCCAGGAUUCUAUUUUCUAUUAAACCAAAGAUAUCGUGAUCCUUAAAUCUGCUUAUCGCGGGGCUACGUUGCUUUUAGCCCAUAUCAAUGACAGGUAUUCAGUGUAGAGCACAGUGUAAUGGCAAAUAACAUUGGCCAAAGAAUAUCAGCUGCAUGCUUUUUCUUUAACAUUGAUAUAUCGCCUUCUGCAAUGUUACAAGGACCGAUUGAGGAUCCACUAACAGGAGAAUUCAAGAAAGUACAGGGCAACUAACAACGAAGGACUUGAUGGAACUUCUGCUCUGUCACAUUUGAGGCUUUAGGAUAGAAAAAGGAUUCAGUAAUUAGUAUAUUAUAUGCACAGUUUAUGUGCGCAAGAUUGUUAAAACUCUUUAUGCUUCUUAUUCAUCCUAAAAUAGUAAAUUUUGAAUGGGUAUGACCUUAUCAAGUUCCUUUCACAUAUCACUUUCCCUCUCCUCUUCUGAUUUUCUUGGUAUGCAGACUUCCUUUGUCUUUAUUUCACUUUGAUGUAUAAUAAAUUACUCUAUUCUAUCCAACUUGUAGCAGCUAUGCAAUCUCUUCACGGCAACAAAAAUGAAUCAAUAUUCACUAUUAUAUUCUCUGUCUUGCUGCUUACGCAAGCUAAAUCACAGAAAUAGAAUAAGAGAUUGUGUUUGUUUAUUUGUAUUCUAUCAAUAUGAGAGUGCAUUUUUACCUGCUCCCAUUAUUAAAGUUCUAGCUGCUGCUACUUUAUAUGCAUGAUCUUUUCUCAUGAUCACGACAAAGGCCAAUCUCUUCCAUGACGUGGUAGCCCCACAUUUGGCAUAAAUCUGAGCCUGAGAAACUGCAACCUUCUCAAAAGUUGAAGAAACUUCCCAAAGCAAAGAAAAAUGGGGGCAACCAGCAAAGAUGAAGCUGAAGUUGAGGGUGCAGUGGAAUCCCAAUAUGAUCAAGAGAAGGAAAUACGAGCAUUUGAUGAAACCAAGGCCGGGGUUAAAGGGCUUGUUGAUGCCGGCAUUAACAAGUUGCCUCGGAUGUUCAUUCAUCCAGAAAGCAGCUUGGAGAAGAGUAUCAAUGCCAGGGAAGAAACUUUUAGCAUUCCAGUGAUUGAUCUGGAAGGUAUGGAUAAAGAUCCAGUAAGACGCAAAGAGAUAGUUGACAAGGUAAGAGAUGCAUCUGAAAGGGGGUUUUUUCCAGGUGGUAAAUCAUGGAAUUCAAGUCAGUGUCCUGGAGGAGAUGAUUCAUGGUGCACGAAGAUUUUUUGAGCAAGAUACUAAGGUUAAGAAGAAGUGGUAUACAAGGGAUCGUACAAAGAGGGUGGUGUACAACUGCAACUUUGAUCUGUAUAGUCCAACAGCAGCUAACUGGAGGGAUACAACUUAUUCCGUCAUGGCUCCUAAUCCUCCAGCUCCAGAGGAAUUGCCAGAUGUUUGCAGGUAUUUUUGUGGCUGAACUCUUUCUGCUUCAAAUGCAGCUAUUUUGUAUAAAUUAUAAAUUUUUUAGCUGUAGCAAGAAACUUAGUGAAUGAAAAAAAAAAAAAAAACCCAGCCACCCAUUUGGUGAGGGGGGUAUCAGACUUAUUAAUGUUACCUAUUCUUGAUGUACCUAAGUUCUUUGUCCUGCAAAAAUGUCAAUCUUAUUCGACAUUUCAUAAAUUUUUCUGCAGCGAAAUAUUGAUAGACUACUCGAAGCAAGUGAUGAACUUGGGUUGCUUAUUGCUUGAGUUACUGUCAGAGGGUCUUGGACUCGAUCCAAGCUACCUCGAAGGCAUUGAUUGCGGAGAGGGGCUUAGUGUCCUAUGCCAUUACUAUCCGGCAUGCCCCCAACCAGAACUUACCUUUGGCAGCAGCCCGCAUUCAGACAAUGACUUCUUCACAAUCCUUCUCCAAGACAAUUUAGGUGGCCUCCAAGUACUUCAUCAGAAUCAGUGGGUUGAUGUUCCUCCAACACCUGGAGCUUUAGUAACCAACAUUGGAGAUCUUCUACAGGCAAGCCUUUGAUUUAUUGAUUUUCCAACACUUUUGGAAUGCAUAAACAAUCUUUGUUAUCUGGAGAUUUUCUGGAGGUUGUUUUGAAGUAUUUUUGGUUUUGAUUUCAUUUGGCUUAUUAAAUUUCAGAUUAUAUCAAAUGACAAAUACAAAAGCAGUGAACAUAGAGUUCUGGCAAAACGUGUUGGUCCUAGGGUGUCAAUCGCGAGCUUCUUCACACCUGAUGUAAGGGCAACUGGAAAGCUUUAUGGACCUAUCAAGGAGUUGUUAUCAGAAGAAAAUCCGCCAAAGUACCGCGAAACCACAGCAAAGGAAUAUACAGAUUACUUCCGUGCCAAAGGGCUUGAUGGAACUUCUGCUCUGUUGCAUUUCAAGCUCUAAGCUUGCAAACAGAGUAGUAAAGACUAGCCUGUAAAUCUGUAAUAAAAACAACUAUUCAGGAGGCCAUAACUCAUAUUUGGAGUUUAUAUGCUCCUGUUGAAUGUAUUGCAUGCUUUCCAAAAUGUGAAGGAUUCUGUCAAACUACAUUUUGAUUUGUGUAAACCGUGUGCAUUAGUAUCCGGGAGAUGUUUUUGAGCUAAAAAGUCACUGAGCUGAAUUUGAUAUGGCCAGGCAUUAUGGUGUUUAAUGAUUGGCAUAUCAUUUCUCGGAAUUGUCCAUGUCUCAACUGAAACUGUCUCAACUGAAAAAUUUUUCUUUCUCAAAGAAAAACACAGACAUACCAAUAUUGUGUGGCUAAAAUCCUUCAAGAUGGCAUUUACAUUAUGUAUAUGCUGCAUUAGUUGGACAAAUCCUAGAGACGGGAUGAUUAUGACUUUUCAAGUUACUUUCACAUAUUGCUUUCUUAAUCAUCCUGUCUAAACUUCUAACUUUUUUUAAAUCAGAUCCUUACUCUUACCACCAAAAAAAAAAAAAAAAUUAAAGUCUUGUUGCUUUCUGCUUUUAAGCACCUAAAAGUGGAGCUAUUUCAAAAUUUGACCACUUGAAUAAUUGAGUUUAGUUGAUAUAUUUUACUGUAUGUUUUUUUUUUCAACAAACGAUAUAUUUUACUAAAUGUGUGUAUGUAAAUGUGUACUUUUCUGAUGUCUCACAGUCAAUAAUAUCCAUUUCGUAGAAGUAAAGGGGAAAGGAGGGAAAAAAAAGACAAAAUUUGAAAAUUUUUUCUAUUCAAAAUCAUAAAAAUCAUAGCAAAGAUCAUGUCAAAAAAGAUGAUUAGUCCGUUUUACUGAAUCUUGUGAUCAUUAGUAUAGUUUUGUUGCUUUUCUAUGUUAUCUAAUUUAUUGAAUGUGAACUUCUUGAGUGGCAAAAUGUGUGUAUUAAUUAUUUCUAACUUUUAAUUAUUUUUAUUUUUUUACUAAUAUAACUUAUAUAAAUGCAUAAGGGGUAUUUAUGAAAUAAAAGUUUCAUAUCUCUGUUUAAAGUACUUUUUCUAAUUAGACUAAUUUUGUUAUCAAAACAUUAACUUUAGAGGAGGUUUGAGUAAUUUUACAAACUUUAGGGGAGGUUUAAAUAAUUUUACAGACUUUAGGGGAGAAUAGUGAAAUUGUUAGAAAACCUCAGAGGUGGUUUCUGAAAUUAUCCCUAUCUAUUUUGGUUGAACUUGUGGAUGCUAGGUUAACCAAUCAUCAAGCUAAUAUAAUAACAAGUCUCUCUCCUUAUAGUCCUCCACUUGUCCUUUAUGCUGGCAAUUUUCAAACUUUGUAUUUAGUGAUUCUAGGAUGUAUAUGCACUUAUUAUAUUAUGAAUCAAACUAUUUUAAGAUGUACAUACGUUGUGAUAAAUAUAUAUUCAUUCAUGAAUUUUAAAGUAGCAUGAAUAUAUUUAUGUAUGUGAAGAUCAUUAAAUGUAAGGAUAAAUUCAUAUGUUUUAUUAUAGAAACAUGUGAUGCAUGAAUUAAAGUACAUGAAUUUGUAUACAAUAUCUUGAAUCUAUUCAUACAAGUAUUUAUUAAAUUUAUUUAUUUCUUAAACAAUCUCUUCUAUAUAAAGAAAUCAAGUAGAGAGUGAUUUGCUGCAAAAAAUUAUUUUCCUACCACUAUGAAUUCUUUGAAAAGCACUUCUUAGUUCAAGAAAGUUUGUCUUAUUUUGUGCAAGAGUUUAAGACAAAUAAAGUUUAUCUUAUCCUAAAAAAUAUUUAUCAAGAUUUAUUGCACGUUAUAUCGAACAAAUAAAACUUAAAGAAAAGUGAUAUAUAAUCACGAUUUGAAGCCAAUUAUUAUUACUAUAUUUGCCAGUUCAUUGUAAUACUCCCAACACUUUAUUGCGAGCUUCUGAAAGUUUGAGAUACUCCAGCUACCUAGAACAGUUAGAAUAGAAAUAUGGUGGCUACCAGUAAAGGUGAAGUUGAUCAGGUUGCAGAAGUAGAACCACAUUAUGAUCGACAGAGUGAACUACAAGCAUUUGAUGAAACCAAGGCUGGUGUUAAAGGGCUUGUUGAUGCUGGCAUUACCAAGGUGCCUCGGAUAUUCAUUCAACCGCAAUGUAGCUUAGAUGACGGUCUCAAUGGCACCAAAGGAAUCUUCAAAUUUCCUGUCAUCGAUCUGGAUGGUAUUGAUACAGAUCCAGCCAGGCGCAAAGAGAUAGUUGACAAGGUUAGAGAUGCAUCAGAAACAUGGGGUUUCUUUAACGUGGUAAAUCAUGGAAUUCCUUUCAGUGUCCUGGAGGAGAUGAUUCAAGGCGCGCGUAGAUUUUUCGAGCAAGAUACUGAGGUUAAGAAACAGUGGUAUACAAGGGAUUAUACAAAAACAGUGGUGUACAACUGCAACUUUGAUUUACACAUUUCACCAGUAGCCAACUGGAGGGAUACAUGUUAUUGCUACAUGGCUCCUAAUCCUCCAGCUCCAGAAGAAUUGCCUGAUGCUUGCAGGUAGAUUUCUCAGGGAUCUUCUUUUCUUUGCCUUGUAUGACAAGUGUGGUCUGAAAAUUACUAGAAUAAGGGCCAGUGGCCACUAUUCUGGUGAUUAGAUGGUAGUAUUAAUUGACAAUGAAUCUUUAAGACAUAUCUAAUUUCUAGUUAUGAAGUGGAAAAAGAUUGAGCUGCUGGAAGUUAUAGUUAACUUAAAUCAACUCUUGUUCCUGUUAAACUAUAUCUGAUUACUCAUUUGAUGAAUUCGACUACAGUGAAAUCGUGAUAGAAUACUCAAAGCUAGUGAUGAAGUUAGGCUGCUUAUUGCUCGAAUUUCUGUCAGAGGGCCUUGGACUCAAUCUAAGCUACCUCAAAGACAUUGAUUGUGCAGAGGGGCUUGCUGUACUAUGCCAUUACUAUCCACCGUGUCCACAGCCAGAACUUACCUUAGGCACCAGCAAGCAUUCUGACAACGGCUUCAUCACAGUCCUCCUCCCAAGGCAAUUUAGGUGGAGUUCAAGUACUUCAUCAAAAUCAGUGGAUUGAUGUUCCUUCUACACCUGGAGCUUUAGUGAUCAACAUCGGAAAUCUUUUGCAGGCGAGCCUGUGAUUUAUUGAUUUCCUGUUUUGUACUGCUAUAUUCUUGAAAUAAGGUUGUAACAAACAAGUGCAUUAUGAUGUGGCCAGUUAUGACAUCAUUUCCAUUGUUUCGGUUGGUAAAUUUUUAGUCUUUGGUUGUGAAUUAUAUACUCAUAUCUAAUGACAAGUAAACCUAGAAUUUUGGCUAACAGAGUCAGUCCUAGAGUAUCAGUAGCAAGCUUUUUAGCUACCGGUCCAAGGCCAAUAACAAAGGUUUAUGGACCUAUCAAGGAGUUGUUAUCAGAUGACAAUCCACCUAAAUAUCGAGCAACAACAGUGAAGGAAUAUACAGAUUACUUCCGUGCCAAAGGGCUUGAUGGCACUAAUGCCCUUCUGCAUUUCAAGCUUUAAACAUGUGAACAAAACAACAAAGAUUAGCCCGUGAAUUUCUAAAGAAUGAGAUUAUGUCUAUAAUAAAGAUUGUCACUUCACAGAAACUGCCCACUUUGUGUGCUCUAGUAACUGGCAAAAUAAAUUGCUGUUUGAGUCAAAUAAAAAAGUUUCUAGUUUCCAAGAGUUUUUUGGAGUUUAUAUCAAGUUCAUAGUAUUGAGUUUCUUUCUCUCAACCGUACUUGUACUUGUCUGUUACCCUAUCCAGACACAUUUAAAAAAAAAAAAAAAAUUUACAGCAGGCUGGGAUUUAAGAAGCGGGGAGAGGAGCAGAGGAUUUGAACCCAGGAUUCUUUUUUCUAUUAAACCAUAGACAUCGUGAUCCUUAAAUCCGCAUCUGCUUUUUGACAUAUAAAUUGCAUUUUGUGUGCGCGGGGGGAUGCAUUGCUUUCAGGCCAUAUCAAUGACGAGUUUUCACUGUAGAGCAUAGUGUAAUGGCAAAUAACAUUGGUCGAAGAAUAUCAGCGGCAUGCUUUUUCUUUAACAUUGAUAUAUGGCCUUUUGCAAUAUUACAUGGACCGAUUGAGGACUUACUAACAGAAGAGAAUCCAAGAAAGCACAGGGCAACUACCAUGAAAGAUUAUGUGAUUUACUUCAACAACAAGAGACUUGAUGGAACUUCUGCGCUGUCGCAUUUCAGGCUUUAGACUAGAAAAAGGAUUCAGUAAUUAGUAAAUUAUAUGCAGCGUUUAUGUGCGCAAGAUUGUUAAAACUCUUUAGGCUUCUUUUUCAUCCUGAAAUAGUAAAUUUUGAAUGGGCAUGACCUUAUCAAAUUCGUUUCAGACAUCACUUUCCCUCCUCUCUUCAGAUUUUCUUGGUAUGCAGACUUCCUUUGGCUUUAUUUCACUUUGAUGUAUAAUAAAUUACUCUAUUCUAUCUAACUUGUAGCAGCUAUACAAUCUCUUCACGGCAACAUGCUAAAUCUCGGAAACAGCAUAAAAGAUUGUUUACUUGUGCAUUUUUACCUGCUCCCAUUAUUAAAUUUGUAGCUACUGCUACUUUAUGUGCAUGAUCUUUUCUCAUGAUCACGACAAAAGCCAAUAACUUCAAUGACGUGGUAGCCCCCAUUAGGCACAAAUAUGAGCCUGAGAAACUGAAACCUUGUUAAAAGUUGAAGAAACUUCCCAAAGCAAAGAAAAAUGGGGGCAACCAGCAAAGAUGAAGUUGCAGUUGAUGGUGCAGUGGAAUCUCAAUAUGAUCAAGAGAAGGAAAUACGAGCAUUUGAUGAAACCAAGGCCGGGGUUAAAGGGCUUGUUGAUGCCGGCAUUAACAAGUUGCCUCGAAUGUUCAUUCAUCGGGAAAGUGGCUCGGAGAAGAGUAUCAGUGCCUGGAAAGGAACUUUUAGCAUUUCAGUGAUUGAUCUGGAAGGUAUGGAUAAGGAUCCAGUAAGGCGCAAAGAGAUAGUUGACAAGGUUAGAGAUGCAUCUGAAAGAGGGGGUUUUUUCCAGGUGGUAAAUCAUGGAAUUCAAGUCAGUGUUCUGGAGGAGAUGAUACAAGGUGCACGAAGAUUUUUCGAGCAAGAUACUGAGGUUAAGAAGAAGUGGUAUACAAGGGAUCGUACAAAAAGGGUGGUGUACAACUGCAACUUUGAUCUGUAUAGUCCAACAGCAGCUAACUGGAGGGAUACAGCUUAUUGCUUCAUGGCUCCUAAUCCACCAGCUCCAGAGGAAUUGCCAGACGUUUGCAGGUAUUUUUUUGGCUGAACUCUUUUUUUUUUUCUUCAAAUGCAAAUAUUUUGUAUAAAUUAUAAAUUUUUUAGCUGUAACAAGAAACUUACCUAUUCUUGAUAUUUGGAAGAGCUUUAGUGAAAAUGAAUCCUUUGGUUUGAUUUACCAAAUCCAUGGGUUUAGUCAUUGGCACAAAAUUGAGCAUCUUAACUUUUUUUUUUUAACACCACCAUAAUGAUAAGUAGAAGGAAGAACAGUGGACUUUCUCUCGCAAUUGCAGUGAAUGCCAUUCAUAUCCAAGAUUUAGUCACAUCAGCUCAGUCCGAUUUGGGCUAAUCAUUUCAUUUUUUUUUUGAUUUAGAAAUAAAUGACGUAGAUGGGACCGAGCUUAUGUAGUGCGAUUGCACCUGCAAAAUUUGCCACCCCCUCCACCUAGGCUGCUGGUUUUAGGGAGUCCAAUAGUUGUAGCAGAGUAUUAACCACUAGGCUAUACUGCUUGUAGGUAAUUGCUUGUAUCCUAAUCACCUAGUUGAUAGCUGGUAUUAAAAGAUCUUUGAUUCUUUCUAUGGUUUUAAAUUUUGUGAUAAUGUCAAAAACGAAUUCUAAGGUAAUAAAUUCUAAUGUACCUACUAGUAAAUCUUAUUCGACAUUUCAUAAAUUUUUCUGCAGCAAAAUAUUGUUAGAGUACUCGAAGCAAGUGAUGAAUUUAGGUUGCUUAUUGCUUGAAUUGCUGUCAGAGGGUCUUGGACUCGAUCCAAGCUACCUAGAAGGCAUUGAUUGUGGAAAGGGGCUUGCUGUCCUAUGCCAUUACUAUCCGGCAUGCCCCCAACCAGAACUUACCUUUGGCACCAGCCCGCAUUCAGACAAUGACUCCUUCACAAUCCUUCUCCAAGACAAUUUAGGUGGCCUCCAGGUACUUCAUCAGAAUCAGUGGGUUGAUGUUCCUCCAACACCUGGAGCUUUAGUAAUCAACAUUGGAGAUCUUCUACAGGCAAGCCUUUGAUUUAUUGAUUUUCCAACACUUUUGGAAUGCAUAAACAAUCUUUGUUAUCUGGAGAUUUUCUGGAGGUUGUUUUGAAGUAUUUUUGGUUUUGAUUUCAUUUGGCUUAUUAAAUUUCAGAUUAUAUCAAAUGACAAAUACAAAAGCAGUGAACAUAGAGUUCUGGCGAACCGUGUUGGUCCUAGGGUGUCAAUCGCGAGCUUCUUCACACCUGAUGUAAGGGCAACUGGGAAGCUUUAUGGACCCAUCAAGGAGUUGUUAUCAGAAGAAAAUCCGCCAAAGUACCGCGAAACCACAGCAAAGGAAUAUACAGAUUACUCCCGUGCCAAAGGGCUUGAUGGAACUUCUUCUCUGUUGCAUUUCAAGCUCUGAGCUUGCAAACAGGAUAGUAAAGACUAGCCUGUAAAUCUGUAAUAAAAACAACUAUUCAGGAGGCCAUAACUCAUAUUUGGAGUUUAUAUGCUCCUGUUGAAUGUAUUGCAUGCUUUCCAAAAUGUGAAGGAUUCUGGCAAACUACAUUUUGAUUUGUGAAAACCGUGUGCAUUAUGAUGUUUAAUGAUUGGCAUAUCAUUUCUCGGAAUUGUCCAUGUCCAUUUCCUUUUUCAGACAAAGUGUUAUGUGAACUCUUUAAGGAAGUUUCAAAGUAUAGCACGGUGCUGUAAUAUCCUCUAGAAUCAAUGCCAAAAGCCAAUGAUGUGGAGCAACUACUAGGCUAAAAUGCUCAACCACCAGUAAUUUCACACUGCAGGACCUUCUGCUCUACAAGAUUUCGGACUUUGGAAAUUGGAACCUUAACAAAUUUCUGCGAAUAAUUAGAAGAUUAUGUAUGCUUUAACUAUUUCUAGGGCCUACAGGCUACCUGCAGCAUGAAAUUGUUUCCACAAACAUUUACCUUUAUUCCCAAAUUGGAUGCCUCGUAUUAGUGAUCUUUUCCACUGAAACUGUCUCAACUGAAAAAUUUUUCUUUCUCAAAGAAAAACACAGACAUACCAAUAUUGUGUGGCUAAAAUCCUUCAAGAUGGCGGUCACAUUAUGUAUAUGCUGCAUUAGUUGGACUAAUCCUAGAGACGGGAUGAUUAUGACUUUUCAAGUUACUUUCACACAUAUUUGCUUUCUUAAUCAGUCUUUCUAAACUUCUAACUUGUUUUUAAUCAGAUCCUUUAUCUUACCACAAAAAAAAAAAAUGAAAGAAUAAAAAAAAUAAAAAUUAAAUGUCCUGUUGCUUUCUGCUUUUAAGCACCUAAAAUUGGAGCUAUUUCAAAAUUUGACAUCUUCUAUUGUAAGUGUGUAUGUAAAUGUGUACUUUUUUUAUGUUCUACAAACAAUAAUAUCUAUUUGGGAUAAUUUUAAAAACCUCCCCUGAGAUUUCUAACAAUUUCACUAGCCUCCCUUAAAGUUUACAAAAUUACACAAACCUCCCCUGAAAUUAAGGUUUUGAUAACAAAAUUAGUCCAAUUAGAAAAAGCAACAUUAAAAAGGUAUUUUAAGAAGAGAGAUGAACCUUUUAUUUCAUAAGCACCCCUUUUACAUGUAUAUAAGUUGUAUUAUUAAAAGAAUAAAAAUAGUUAAAAGUUAGAAACAAUUAAUAUACACAUUUCAUCACUCAAAAAGUUCACAUUUAAUAAAUUAGACAACACAAAUAAGCAACAAAACUAUACAAUGAUCAUAAGAUUUAGCAAAAUAGAUUAGUCAUCUCUUUUAGCAUGAUUUUUGUUAUGAUUCUUGUGAUUUUGAACAAAAAAAUUUUCAAAUUUUGUCUUCUUUUCCCUCCUUUCUUAUUUACUUCCACGAAAUUAUUUUACAACUAUUACAGUUUCAAGAGUUUCAAAGAAAAUAUCCUUAUGAACAACAUUCUUUUGCCCUAUAUUUUUUUCUUCUACCAAAAGCCUUCUUCUCACAUUGCGUAUAACUAAUUUUUGGUUAUUGUCAAAUUCUAUUAAUCACAAAAUAGCACCAUUAGUUAUAUCAAUUGGUGUUAUUUUAUAAUUGCAAGUCAUCUUCAUCAUUACAGAAAUUUUCAACAAUUUUUUUCAUUAAUUAGUUAUUAAUAGUUAAUUAAUAUUCUAAUUACUUAAUCGUCAGAUAUUAUUAAAGAAGAAAGGAGGGAAAACAAAAGCAAAAAUUUGAAAAAUUUUUCUAUUCAAAAUCAUAAGAAUUAUAGCGAACAUCAUGUCAAAAAAGAUGACUAAUUUGUAUUGUUGAAUCUUGUGAUAAUUCGUGUAGUUUUGUUGCUUCUUUAUGUUGUUUAAUUUAUUGAAUGUGAAUUUUUUAAGUGGUAAAACGUGUUUAUUAAUUGUUUCUAACUUUUAAUUAGUUUUCAUUUUUUUACUAAUACAACUUAUAUACAUGCAUAAAGGAUAUUUAUGGAAUAAAAGUUUCAUCUCCUUGUUUAAAGUACAUUUUUAAUGUUGUUUUUUCUAAUUAGACUAAUUUUGUUAUCAAAACAUUAACCUUAGGGGAGGUUUGAGCAAUUUUGCAAACUUUAGGGGAGAAUAGUGAAAUUGUUAGAAACCUUAGGGGAGGCUUCUGAAAUUAUCCCUAUCUAUUUUGGUUGAACUUGUGGAUGCUAGGUUAACCAAUCAUUAAGAUAAUAACAAGUCUCUCUCCUUAUAGUCUUCCACUUGUCCUUUAUUACGAGCUUCUGAAAGUUUGAGAUACUCCAGCUACCUAGAACAGUUAGAAUAGAAAUAUGGUGGCUACCAGUAAAGGUGAAGUUGAUCAGGUUGCAGAAGUAGAACCACAUUAUGAUCGACAGAGUGAACUACAAGCAUUUGAUGAAACCAAGGCUGGUGUUAAAGGGCUUGUUGAUGCUGGCAUUACCAAGGUGCCUCGGAUAUUCAUUCAACCGCAAUGUAGCUUAGAUGACGGUCUCAAUGGCACCAAAGGAAUCUUCAAAUUUCCUGUCAUCGAUCUGGAUGGUAUUGAUACAGAUCCAGCCAGGCGCAAAGAGAUAGUUGACAAGGUAAGAGAUGCAUCAGAAACAUGGGGUUUCUUUAACGUGGUAAAUCAUGGAAUUCCUUUCAGUGUCCUGGAGGAGAUGAUUCAAGGUGCGCGUAGAUUUUUCGAGCAAGAUACUGAGGUUAAGAAACAGUGGUAUACAAGGGAUUAUACAAAAACAGUGGUGUACAACUGCAACUUUGACUUACACAUUUCACCAGUAGCCAACUGGAGGGAUACAUGUUAUUGCUACAUGGCUCCUAAUCCUCCAGCUCCAGAAGAAUUGCCUGAUGCUUGCAGGUAGAUUUCUCAGGGAUCUUCUUUUCUUUGCCUUGUAUGACAAGUGUGGUCUGAAAAUUACUAGAAUAAGGGGCCAGUGGCCACUAUUCUGGUGAUUAGAUGGUAGUAUUAAUUGACAAUGAAUCUUUAAGACAUAUCUAAUUUCUAGUUAUGAAGUGGAAAAAGAUUGAGCUGCUGGAAGUUAUAGUUAACUUAAAUCAACUCUUGUUCCUGUUAAACUAUAUCUGAUUACUCAUUUGAUGAAUUCGACUACAGUGAAAUCGUGAUAGAAUACUCAAAGCUAGUGAUGAAGUUAGGCUGCUUAUUGCUCGAAUUUCUAUCAGAGGGUCUUGGACUCAAUCUAAGCUACCUCAAAGACAUUGAUUGUGCAGAGGGGCUUGCUGUCCUAUGCCAUUACUAUCCACCGUGUCCACAGCCAGAACUUACCUUAGGCACCAGCAAGCAUUCUGACAACGGCUUCAUCACAGUGCUUCUCCAAGACAAUAUAGGUGGACUUCAAGUACUUCAUCAAAAUCAAUGGAUUGAUGUUCCUCCUACACCGGGAGCUUUAGUGAUCAACAUUGGAGAUCUUCUACAGGCAAGCCAUUCAAAUAUUGGUUCUCUUAUCUUGUACUGCAAAAUUCUUGAAACAAACGUAGUUGCACCGUGUUGGGGCCUUGUUUCAACAUCAUUUCCAUCGUUUCUGUUGGUUUUUUUAGCUUUUGGUUGUGAAUUUUCAGCUCAUAUCCAAUGACAAGUACAAAAGUGUUGAGCAUAGAGUGACGGCAAACAAAGUCGGUCCCAGAGUAUCAGUACCAAGCCUUUUCAGUACAGGUCCAAGACCAACAGCAAAGGUUUAUGGACCUAUCAAGGAGUUGCUAUCAGCAGAAAAUCCACCCAAAUAUCGAGCAACAACAGUGAAUGAAUAUACACAAUACUUCCGGGCCAAAGGGCUUGAUGGUACUUCUGCUCUAUUGCAUUUCAAGCUCUAAACUUCUGAACAGAAACAAUAAAGGUAGCCUCCGAAUUUCUAGAGCAAGAAAUGAGUACGUCUAUAAUAAAUAUGUCUCUUCUCAGACGAUGCCCAUAUUUCGUGCUCUAGUAAGUAGUAUCUAGUGAAUAAGUUGCUGUUUGAGUGCAAAAAUAGUUCAGUGUCCAGUAGAUGUUUCGAAGUGCAUGUCAAAAUCACGGGGUUCAAUUUCUCUCUCAAUGGUACACGUCUAUUACCCUAUCCUGAUAUAUUUCAGCAUGAAUCUAAUAUAAGAAAAACAGAACAUUUCAUUUUCCAUGAAAGAAAUAGUACCAACUCCAAAACUUGAACCUGUGGAACAGCUAUAGGACUUGAUUUACACCAAAAAGUAAGCAACUGGGCAUCAGUUCUUUGGCUAGUUCACUUUCUUGAACCACUACAAUCUCUUGCUGCCUUUUUCUUUGUACAUUUUCCCAUCAUUUUUACUUCUUCUCGUUUUCUUCAUCUCCACUCAAUGUUACAACUUUUAGUCUAAUUUUCGAAAGCUUUAACAACUACCGGGAUCCGUAAUAGCAGAAGUAGACCUGUAGAUCCUGGGCACCACUUCAAUUCAUCGAUGAAGAAUAUAAACCAUUUCUUGAAUUCAAAGGGAGCAACUUAGAGUGAAGUUGAAGGGCAUUGGUUGAAGUUCACUGAGUUCACUCACGCUAUGACCUUAUGUAAACUUUUUUUACUCCUACUUAGCCCCCUAAGUUUGGUAUCGUUUGCACAUUUUCACCAAACCUUAAAUUUUUUUUCUUGAACUUAGUCCUCCUAAACUCUUUUUCGAAUUAAAAUCGUCAUCUUCAUUGCACUCAGACUAACUGACUGCUUAUCUUGGGUUAAAAGCACUUAGGCUCCCUAAACUUUUUUCAUUGUUGACGUAAUAUAAAGUUCACAAAGUCAUGAUCUAUUACUUCCUCAUGCUGAUAUCUUUUAAGUGAAAAGAAGUACAGCUGGAACAACAUAAAUUUAAGGUGGAAUGUGAAGGAACUUUUUUGGCGUUAUUUAAUCACCAAAGCAGCAUUUUUAACACAAACGUCCUUUUCAUUGGACAAAAAUUUAGUUUAAUUUAUACUUGUUGUUUAAGUUUGUUUGUUUGUUAAUUUUAAGGAGUUCAAAACUGUGUUUAAAUUUGGCUUGUUUAUUUAUCCAAAUGAAUCCAAAUAAACUUUUCUCAAGUCAAGCACGAGUCGAACUCAAAUACCUCGAGUUUUUGCUAUAUAAAUUUCAACUUUUAAUUGAGCCGAGCCUAACUCCACACUUUAUUGAACAUAAGAGUGUUAUUUAUGUACGGGAUGAUUACUUGGCGAUCAAAUUUGAACAGAUUCAUAUCAAAUCAAACUCAAUUCGAGGAUCAAGUAACUUGUUUGGUCUUUCAUCCCUUGUUUAAUUUGACAAAAGAGAUGGUUCUUCAUUAGAAAAGUCAGUCCGCUCUUAAUGAUGAUUGACUCUGGAUCCGGUACAUAUUUAAUUUGGUAAAGAGACCUAGAAAAUUUACUUAUUGUGUCUAGUUGCAUUGAGGAGUAAUGAAUGGUACAAGAUGUAACGCUUGAAAUUGCCAUUAACAUAGUACAUAUACCUAAUUUCUUAUUAACAUAAACCUAAUUUGUUUUAAUUUCCUUUCACAAUUUAAGUGUUCUACUAUUGACCGGGAGAAAAAAACUCUUACAUGAUGCAAGCAGAAAAAGUAAAAUAGAAGUCGAGCAGUGUAUGAAGCUGAAAGAGAAAUGAAGUUCUAAUAGUCAGAGGGGAAGGGAGGGACAAAAAAAAAAAAAUGGGGUUCCAAACUUCCAAUAGUCGAAAGCUGAUCUCUGCUUUAGGGAUUAAAAGAUUGUGUAUUACUAGAAGUUAGUACCUUCUUACUUGCAGGCCCUGAAAACAAUCCCUCUCUGGACAGACAAACGGGCCGAAACAUCCAAAUGCCCAUCUGGCCCGUUUUGAAUAUACCCCAAUUGGAUCUGGAACUUAUCCAGCUAAAUGGAUCAACCACCGAAUCCACGCAUGAUCUGGAUCCGAAUGUGUUGGAGCUAAUUAGCUAAGUAUUCAGAGUAGCCGUCUGAAAGGUAGUUCCAUCAUCCAUGCACAUCUAUUUUAUGGUCACGCAUUAAUAUAAAACACAUGGAAUUCUCAGCGUCGCAUUUCAGUGGUAAUUCAAUGGUAAGUGGAGCUGAUACUGAAUUUGACAGCGGAUAGUGGUAUUGACAAUUCCAACUGAACAUAAAAAGGUAUAGAAAUCCUUCAUUAAUGAGUAGAUUUUGAAUCUUUGAUUUUCUUCUUCAACAAAGACCAAUUAUUUUCUUGCUUGAUGUUUUAAUUGGCUCAAGUUUUCAUCCCCCACCAAAUGAGCAAUUCUCACAUGGAUAGUAGUACAUCCAUUGCCUCGAUGCGGCUAGCAGGCCUAACGGGAUAUACUAUAAUAUUGGGAGCAUGCUUCUCAUGUUUCAUAUAUUUUAGGGAUAAUUUCAGAAACCUCCCCUCAAUUUUAUUAACUUACACCUACCUCCCUUACUUUUACUGUUUAUAUAACAAUAUAGGCCCAAAAGACUAUAUUUUUUCUCAAAAAUCCUAAACUACCCUUUUUGUACAAAAAUAAAACAAAAAUUAGAUUGCCAAUUGCUUUCUUCCAUAUUUUAAUCAAACUCACUAUACUAACAAACUAGCCUAAUAAAUAGUCUAAUUUCAAAUUCUAAACCCAAGCAAUUCCAUUAUCAUAGUCAUAAAAUUGUUUCUCCCAAAGCAUGCAUUCAAUCAUGAAGAUUUGUUCCAUUUUCAAAAAUAUUCUCACUAUAUGGUUCCAUGGAAUGGUCAAAUUCACAAUCAACUGUCCUUACGUUUGCAUAAUCUUCAACAUAGGAUGCCAUGAUUUGGUUCCAUAUAAGUGGUUUAACUCCUACUACAUGAGCCACAUUAUGGCAUUGAAGAAAAUCCUUAGGCGAGAUUUAGGCAUAGAUGUGAUUAAUCAAGUUUAAGAGAAGGAAAGACUUCAUUAUGACUACAGAGAUCUUCAAGAAAUUCAUUUUACCAAAAAUCAAAAUUCUAUUUAUAACUAAUUACACCCCAAACUUCAACCCAAUGCCUGCACCUUCUUAAAACAAAAUAAUCUAACUUACCAUUAAAUCUCCAAACAUGUUAUCAUCUUAAAUACAGAGAAGAACCUCUAUCCCCAUAGCAAAACCACAACCAACAAUUUUCAAGUAUAAAAAGAAAUAUAAAUGUACUUAUUAACAUCUUAAAAAGUUUUUUGGGUGAAUGAUAGACAAAUUAUCAAUUUAGUCCUCUUCAUCUUUGGCCAAUGAUUGCAUUAUUUGUUCCAUUAUUAUUGUGUGCCUCUUCAUCUCCUUUUUAGUUUGACUAUGAAAUCAGAUUUUACUUCAACCAUCAAACUAAUCUCUCAACUAAACUUGUCAUUUUGCAAUUCCAAAGAGAAGAAAGGAGGAAUAGGAAUAUAUAAUAGAGUUUAACAGAUCACUUGUGGUGUGAUUGACUGCAAUUUUAGGCAAUGGUUGGUGGUAAUUUGAGAGUGAGUUAUAGGAGGAAGCGGUUGAUGGAUGAGAACAAAAUGACAGUAAGUGAGAGAGAAUCAUCGUUGGUUGCAACUUGUAAACAUGAUAGACGAAGAGGUUAGGUUUCUUUUUCUUUUUUUAAUCUCAUAUCAUUAUACUGUGAAUUAUUUAUUAAGUGAAGGUCAUUAUAGUCAUUUUAUUGUGACAAUGGAGGUCAGUGUAAUUUAUAAAACUUGUGGGGAGCCGAGUGAAAUUGUCAAAAACCUCAGGGGAGGUUUGUGAAAUUAUCCCUAUAUUUUAGUAGCAAAUUGCUAGUAAUUAAGCUACUUUAAUUUGUUCAAGUUGGGAUGUGCAAUUCAGUAUAUUGGGAUCCAGGUUUAGGGUUGACUUCAGAAUAUUUAAUAUCCGCAUAAUGAAUCUUGAUUGUUAAAAAGAUUAUUGGUGUCUAUUUGUCUAAAAGAAAUUGGAUCAAAUAGCAAGAACAGGGCCAUAUUAGAAUCAACUAGCAACUUGCUUCUCAUUCAAUCUCCAAUAGUAACUAUAUAUGGCAUUGAGCAUAGCUUUGCAUUUCCAGUACUCAUAUGCAGCACGUCCAAUCUGCUCUAGCAGAUCAUGUUUCGUGAAGAAGAUUGUUCCUGUCAAAUAUGGCAGAGAAAUCGGGGUACCAAAUUCAUCACCUUUUUGUUAUGAUCUAGAGCGAGAAUUAAGAGCUUUUGAUGACACAAAAGCUGGAGUGAAGGGCCUAUCAGAUUCAGGUUUAGCAAAGCUGCCUCGUAUUUUUGUCCAUGACAACAUUGACCAAGAAAAGAAGUCCUGGAACGGCAGGCUCCAGUCUAGUAUUCCUGUCAUAGAAUUGGAGGGUUCUGAGAUCACUGACCAAGUUCCCGAUGCAUGCGAAAGAUGGGGAUUUUUUCAGGUUGUUAAUCAUGGAAUUCCAGACAGGACAAUGGACAAAAUGUUGGAGCGGAUUAGGAUGUUUCGCGAACAGGAUCCUGAGAUUAAAGGGGAUUAUUAUACGCGUGAUUUCACAAGAAAUGUUGCGUAUUAUAGCAAUUAUGAUCUGUAUGAAUCAGCAGCAGCAGUUUGGAAAGAUACAAUUACAUGCAAAAUAUCUCCUCAGUGUUCAACCAGGAAGAACUGCCUGUAGUCUGCAGGUAUGUUAUGAACUCGAGCUUAGUUCAUUUAAUCCUAAUCUUACUUUAUUGGAUUAGCAAACAAGACAGACGAGAUGCAACUUUACUAGGAAACAUUUUUUGCUUUUCUUGGAGAGAUAUCAUGGUGGAAUACUCUAAGUUUGUCAUGGGAUUGGGGGAGAAACUGCUUGGAUUGGUGUCGGAAUCUUUGGGACUUGAAACAAGGCACUUGGUAGACAUGGGCUGUAUGGAGGGGCUUGGAAUCAGAGGGCAUUAUUAUCCAGCUUGUCCAGAACCAGAAUUGACAUUGGGUAUCACAAACCAUACUGAUUUUAGCUUCUUGACAAUUCUACUGCAAGUUCAGAUUGGUGGCCUUCAAGUCCUCCAUCAAAAUGAAUGGGUUGAUGUGCCUUGCUUGCCUGGAGCUCUAGUGAUUAACUUGGGAGACUUGAUGCAGACAAGCUUCUGCUUUCUAUGAUUAGAAUUUGUCCACGAAUUACAUGUCUUUACCAUUCUACUUCUGGGGUGAAUCGCAUAAUUGCAUUGACUCUUGAGGUGUGGCACAAUUUUUAUAAAGAAAUCCUUGUUUUUUUUUUUUUUUUAAAUAAUUACCUCUCUUCAGUUGGGCUAAUUUUAUUGAAAGAGUCUAUAAUGCACUCUCUGUAUGGAUUGCUUCCAUUUGGAAGAGCCAUCAAAGCCUCCUCCACUUUUGGCAGUCUGAAAAAUAUAAGGAUUGCCCCGUAGGACUGGGAAUUAUAUCAUCCUGCGGAAUUCUUGUUUUUUUGAUAAACAACGAGAUAAUUUCAGCGGGAUAUAUGCCACAUUUAAAUAAUUUAAAUUAAAUUUGAAUUCAUAUUACUUGAAAAUAAUGUAAAUUUACUAGUGUAAAAAAAAAUUUGUACACUGACAAUAUAUAAAAAAUUUAAUUUAUUUUUUUUUUAAUGUUGUUUCACCAAUUCACGAUUCCCCCCAAUCCUCCAAUGCAGCUAGUUACAAAUGAUAGAUUCAAAAGCGCGAAUCAUAGAGUGCGACCGCAGAAAGUCGGCCCACGAAUAUCAGUGGCAAGCUUUUUGAGGCCACAAUCGGGUAAACAUUUUACGGGUCGAUAUUUUGGACCGAUCAAGAAAUCGGUGUCAGAAGGAAAUACCCCAAUUUACAAGGAGAUAACAAUAGAGCAGUACGACAAAUACUUCUUCAGAAGAGACAAAGGUGGUGGAGACUCUGCGCUAGCACACUUCAAAUUGUAAAUACCCGUAACACUAUUCCUUAUUAGUUUUUUUUUUUAAGUGAAAAAUUUUGAAUUCAGAACUUCUUACUUAUAAUUUUUUCCUGCACAACCAGUUUUAUCGACACCAUCUCCCUAUUUUGCCUGUCACAAGCUAACAAACAUUCUUUAUCUGAAAUGUUUAAUGUUGGCAUGGCUUCUAUGCGUGUACUCCACCUAAAAAUAUGAUUGAACAGUUUACUCUUAAAAAUAUGUUUGGGUUCCCUCUUAAAGUCUUAAUCCACAUUAGUCUAAUAGUUGUCCCAACAUUAAAAACUUGGGUCCAAAUUUCAAACCGACCAUCCUGUCUAGAAUUUUAUGUUUGGUCUUCAGAGCCAGCUAGAGAAGUACUAACAUUUUAUAUGCACAAGAACAGAAUUGAUCAAUUGAACAAAGAAUGUCCCUUCAAUUCAACAGUUACCUUACCCCUUUCUUCCAAUGUGAUUCCAACUAAUAUUUUCACUUGUUUAGUACGUGAUUCAGCAUUCCCAUAAAGAACAUUUUUGUUUACAAUUGAUUUUUAUGAGUACUCACUCAUGUACGAUGAUUAUUCCAUGGUCAUAUGCAAUUUUUUUUUUUAUCGCAACGAUAGAAUUCUUAUAACCUAAUCUAGCCUAAUCUAAGGGGAGGGGGAGGGAGACUCGAUGUGAUUAGAGACUUCAUGGUCAUAUGCAAUUGCAAACAACAAACUUGUGUUGUAAGCUGUAAAGUGAAAAGUAGAUUAGUUUUUGCUUCAAUGCACAAUGUAUCCAUUAGAUGUUAAUACUAAAACAAGAAACUUAAACACAAAACAAAUAUCUUCAAAAUCAAUUCCGUCCAUCCAAUUUUGAAUUAAAUAAACGAAUUUUAAAUCCUAGUGAAAUGUAACGUACACAAGAGAAGAAAUAUACACUUGACUUUUUAGUACAUAUAUUUAAUCAGAGGUCAAAAUUUAGGUUCCUGAAACAGGAAGCAAGAGAUUCGCUACAACCUUAGACUUUUGAAGGAAGACUCGUGCACUUCAUAUCUCCAUUCCAAACUACUUGCAACUUUUUCUUCCGUAUAAUGUUCAACGAGGGUUUCUUGACUGAAUCAAAAAUAUAUAUAUAUGCUGCAAUUUCAACAUCAGGAUUCACGACUCUAAAUUUGAAUUUAUCCAACUCAGUACCUAGUCUUCCAAAACUAUUUUAUACUUAUUAUCAAACAAAAGUCACCAUUAUAUAUAGAUACAUGCAUACUUGCUCGCUUGUUUCUAACAUCUCAAUCCGUUCUUUGACAAAAAAAAAAAAAAAAAAAAAAUCUCAUCUUUAUGCAUUAAUUUGUAAGCUUAAGAAACAAGGCAUAUUCAAAAUCGCAAUGUCGGCAGCUUUGCAUCUCCACUCAUAUACUGCUCAGUUAUUAUUUAUUCAUAAUAACAAAUGACUUUGAAAAUCAAUUCUGUCCAUCCAAUUUUAGAUUAACGAAUUUUAACCAUUGGAUGCACUUUAGAGGCCCUGAUCCUAGUGAAAUGUAACGUACGCUAGUAGAAAUAUACGCUUGACUUUUUGGUUCUAAGAACCACUUACAUGGAUUUAAUCACAGGUCAAAAUCUGGGUUCCUGAAUGAGAAAGCAAGAGAUUUGCUACAUCGUUUAAAAUUUGAAGGACGACUCCUACCCUGAAUGUCUCCAAACCCUUCCAAACUGCUAGCAAGUUUUCCUUUCGUAUAACGUUCAACGAGGUUUUUUGACUCAAUAUAAUAUGCUAGAAUUUCAACAUCGUGAUUCAUGACUCUAAAUUUCAAGUCAUCCAAUUCAGUACUUAGCCUUCCAAAAUUUACUUUAUACUUAUUAUCAAAUAAAGUCACCAUUUUAUAUAAAUACAUGCAUACUUGCUUGCUCAUGUCUAACAUCUCAAUCCGUUCUUCAACAAAAAUUCCUCAUCUCUAUGCAUUAAUUUAUGAGCUAAAGAAACAAGGCAUCAAAAUGGCAAUGACCAGAGCCUUGCAUCUCCACUCAUAUACUGCUCGGUUAAUGAACUCCACACGAAGAAAAAGUUGCAUGAGCAGACAGCACGUUAUUAUGGUCGUCAAAUGCAACAAAGAAGGUCCGAUGACAAUCUCGUCGGAUCAAAAGAUUCGAGAAAGAGAAUUAAAAGCUUUUGAUGAUACAAAAGCUGGUGUGAAGGGACUACAUGAUAAAGGGGUGGCAAAGCUUCCUCGUAUCUUUGUUCAUGAUAAUGACAGACAGGAGGAGAAGUCCGGUAACAGCAUGUUUCAGGCUGGCAUUCCUGUCGUCGACAUGGAAGGUGUGAAUCAAUUAGAUCCCUUUUUGCGAGCCAAGAUCGUGGAUAAGCUUCGCGAUGCUUUUGAAAAAUGGGGAUUUCUUCAGGUAGUUAACCAUGGAAUUUCAGUUGAGGUUAUGGAGAAGAUGAUGGAAGGAAUACGCAUGUUUCAUGAGCAAGAUAAUGAGGUGAAGAAGCAAUACUAUUCGAGGGAUUCCACGAGGAAUGUCUUGUAUAAUAGCAACUAUGAUCUUUAUGAGUCGACAGCAGCGCUCUGGAAGGAUACCAUUACUUGUAAAAUGGCUCCAGUUCCUCCUAAGCCAGAAGAACUGCCCGCCAUUUCUAGGUAAUGUAUAACACCUUUGCUUCUAGCAGUAGCAGCAUAAUUAUGCCUAAGUUAGAUGUUAUUUUAUAAUAUGUGCUUCAAUUCGCAUGAACUAAUUAGGUUAAGGACAGGGAAUAGAGACGAUUGGUGGUCAUGAUUUGGAACACAAAUUGAUGUGUACAGCCUCUUUAAACAGUACCUAAAUAUUACAUUCUUGUUAUUAAAUUGUACAUCUUUUCUUUUUCAUGAUGAAUUACAAUCUUUUUGAAAGGUGGUACACCAUUUUGAAACGGUUGCACUGGGACAAGUUUAAUCAAUGCUUAGAAAAGCACCAUGCCACAUGCUAUAACCUAAACAUUGUUGUGAUUAACUGCACAUAAGUACUUUUCUCUAUAUGCUUUAAUGCACCAGUUGGUUGGACCAGUGUUAGUAGAAUCAGAAAUUUGCCUGUACAUUCACGUUGGCUGUAUUUCGUUUCUUUAGCAGAACUAGAGUUGGAAGCGUACCCUACUGAAAAUCUUGAGAUACAAAUCCAUGAGACACAAAUAAUUCUAUUUCCAAUCAGGGCAGUCUUACGUUCUAUUAAAGAACCAUAUGCAAUCUUUAAUUAACUAGUACUGUUACUGUGGCAGAGAUAUUAUGCUGGAAUACUCAAACGAGGUUAUGAGGUUAGGGAUUACACUACUUGGAUUGCUGUCGGAGUCUUUGGGACUGGAAACAGACUACCUUGUGAACAUGGGUUGUGCUGAGGGGCUUUACCUGAAAGGACAUUAUUAUCCACCUUGUCCACAGCCUGAGUUGACUUUGGGGAUUGUCAACCACACCGAUUUCAGCUUCCUAACAAUACUCCUCCAGGAUCAAAUUGGUGGUCUCCAAGUGCGUCAUCAAGAUACAUGGGUUGAUGUACCUUGCUUGCCUGGAGCUUUAGUCAUUAACGUGGGAGACCUCUUGCAGGCAUGUUUCUACUUUCUACCAACUCAAUCGGCUUCAUAUCCUUAAAAAAAAAAAAAAAAAAAAACACUUUAGCACUUUGUGCUUUAGUUUUUUUUUUUUAAAAAAAAAAAUAUAAUCUUCCUAUAUUUUUAAAACUAUACAUAAUCCCUCGUAUUUUGAACUGAAACGUCAAAGUGACAGAUUAUUUUUAUGUUAAGCAGAUGAAAUAUGAAGAGUACCCUUAGGUCUAGACAUAAAAUUUUUGUUAAGCAUGGAAGCUUUAUGUGUAAGUUUUGAAAUUAUGAGAGGGUCAUGGGAAAAAGAGUUAAACUAUAGAAAACUAUAGUGGAUCUGUUUGGACACCAUAAUUCGGAAAUUUUUUUUAAUAUUAUCCUACUUGUUUCAUAAACACAAUUUUUAACUUCAUUUUAUUUGAUAUAUAUUAUAUCACAAAAAGUGUUACAUUGUUAUUAUAAAUGAUUUUUUCCAAAUAAUCUCCUAUCAAAACACAUCCAAUGUGAUUCGCCCUAAAUAUAUGCAUCUUAAUCACUAUAGUCAUUUUAGUUUUUACAUCAGUUCAACACUUCAUUUCAAAAUAUAAUAUGUAUAUAUUUUGAAACCAUAUACCGAUAAUCUAAAAAAGCGUAAAAUUGUGAGGGGCUAAGUGUAAUUUAUCCAAAGUUUUUAAAAAGUGAAUGGUAGGAAUUUUAUCUUUUCGGCAUAGUCCUGUUGUUUUAAUGAACUAUGUUUAGUUCCUCGCGUAUUAUUCUAUCUCAAACAUUUUCUUUUAAGUACAUCUACCCUCGAAAUGAAAUGGGCUCAUAUGUCAUGUUUACUGCACUAUAUAUUAUAAUCAAUAGAUCAUCGUUAUGAACGGUACAUAGAGAUGCAAUUUUCAUUUUUCAUCAUUUCACAAAGGUUUUAAAGCUUGGGAAGCAUCUUAAUUUUACACUUGGUUUUUGUGUUGAGUGCAGUUGAUAUCAAAUGACAGAUUCAAAAGCGUGUUUCAUAGAGUGUUGUCAAAACGGGAAGGUCCAAGAAUAUCAGUGGCAAGCUUUCUAAGACCACAUUCUGGUGCAGGUUUUUCAGCGAUGCUAUAUGGCCCAAUCAAGAAACUUUUAUCAGAAGAAAAUCCGCCAAUCUACAGAGGGACGACGAUAGAAGACUAUGCAAAAUACUUCUUCAAGAAAGACAAAGUUGGAGUUCGAGCUCUAAAGUAUUUCAAGUUGUGAUUAACAUUUUAAGGGUAUCAAAAAGAAAUCAUUGCUGAAACAUAUAUCUUAAUUAUUCAUCUGUUUAGUAUUUCUUCCCCUUUUUUAUUUUGAGUUUUGUAACCGUAUAUCGGGCCUCAAUGACUGGAUUUUUUCGAGUUUUCUUCCCGUUUUUAAUUAAGUGGUUGUUUAUCUCAUCGUGCAUGUUAAUACUUAGUAGUCAUUAUAGGCUCCACUGUACGUACUUGGAAUUGGCUUCUGACAUUUAAUUUCUUAAGAGUCAGGAGGGAAAUUAUUGAGAAGGACGAGAUGAAGUAUUGUGGUUGAUUGAAGACUAUUGCUGAUUUGUUACAACUACAAGCAGUUUUUCCCUUCUGCGUUCAUUGCAAAAUAAAUACGGUCUUGUACAUCAGAAUUUGCACUGUACUCGAGCUUCUCUUCUAGCUAAGAAAAUGGCAGUUCCAUGACUCGGGCAGCUGAUCACGAAUGAACAAUGAUAUGUUCAAAAGUGAAAACCACAGGGUACUCGCGAAACAAGAAGGCCCAAGGAUUUCAGUAGAAAGUUUCUUCGGGACACAUUUUGAUCAAGAAGGAAGUACAUCAAGGCUCUAUGGACCGAUCAAGGAACUAUUAUCAGAAGAAAACCCACCACUCUACAGAGAGAUUACAGCCAAACAGCUGCUUACACAGCGUUACAAUGAUAGCCUGCAUAAAGCUCCACUUUUAUCACAUUUUAAGUUGAAUGCUGCUACUUGGGAACCAUGAAAUAUGCCGUUUUUGCAAGUUCAGUGUUUUCAUAAACCUUUUGCGGCAUUCAUGAUGCAUCAAUAAGUUGAUGAUUUAUCAUUUGUAUCUGUAUGAGACGUGCUACUCUUUUUUCUUUUUAUAAAGAGGAUCAACAGUGAUUUCCUAUUUAUUUUUUUGAUGACUUGAAUCCUUGACUUAUCAGUUACAGGUGAAGCAUCUUACCAAUUAAGUUGCGUUUCAUUGUCAGACAUGCUACUCGAUAUUCAAUAUUGCUGAUUAUUAAUCUACUUCAUUGUUAGGAGGUUCUUGCUGCCUCUUCCACCCCCCUCCCUUCCCCCCAAACACAACACUAGCAAACUAUUCAUGCUAUUCUAAAAAAUAUAUAUAGCCUCACCACUGAAAUGGGUGAAGUAGUUGGCUGGAAAAGAGAAAACAACAAUACUAGACAAAACAUCAAACCAAUUAAAAUAGCCAAUCAGCACUACACCAAUGAUUCUUUAUUGAUUACCAUGAACUUUUCUGCAGUAGUUUGGCCAGCCAUAAGUCGUUUUCUGACGCCAAUUUUCUAGACUCAUUUGGCCAACCAUUACUUCCGUUUCCCUGCUACAUUUCUUCAAAGUUACCUGGACAGCCACAAAUUUAUACUGAUUCCUCAUGAACAAAUUAUGCUUUCAGUUCCAAAGUGAGUCAACUCUAAAAAUAAAAAAGAGAGGGAAUAUUGCCCAAAGAAAAAUUAAGAAGACAUACAUGGUUAGCUUCUUCAAUUUUAAACACAAGGGAGAAUUUGAUGUUACUGUGUAACAAGUAACCUAGUAGUAUCAAACACUAUAGGCCCAAGAAUUCCAGGAGUUGUUAUCGGAAGACAGCCCACUAGUCACCCGAGCAACCAUGACCCCAAUAAUAGAGAUACCCCUCGCUACACUGGCCCAUUAUUAUCACAAUUAAGCUGAAAAACAUAUAAGAACCUUAAACAUGUAAUUUAAGAAAUUGAUGGUUUUCGAGUUUUGGUCAACUUAUUAUUGUCAAGAUGGAUUGUGCCUCCUGCAAAGCUUGCUAAAACUAUGAUUGUGCUGGAGUUUAUAUAUAUUAGUAAGAGUAAAUUUUUUAUAUUCUGUCAAUGUAUAAUUUUUUUUAUAUUAAGUAAAUUUAAAUUAUACUAUAUAACAUGAGUUCAAAUUUGAAAUUCAAAUUAUAUACAUAUGAUAAUGAUAUACAUCCGUAGUUAUAGCGUAAAAAAAUUAUUACACAAUCGGUGUAUAGAAAGUUAGGAUUGAUCUUUCUUAUAUUGUCAGUGUAUACACCGAUGGGGUUGAAUAAAUGUCACAUUAUUUGAAUUUGAAUUUGAACAUCAAAUUUUGUAUAUAUGACAUACGUCUAGAUUCACUUGUGUAUACACUGUCAAUACAUAAAAGAUUUAUCCAAAAAGUUAAUCCUACUCAUAUUAAUAUUUCUUUUCAUUCUUGUUGUUAUUCUUUUUUUUUUUUAAUUUUCUUUUCCUCUUCCUUGUGUAGCACAACUAAAUUAUCAAAAGUAAGGACAGUUUGUAUUCUUAGCAAUUAAGUUUAACUAUUUGGGCUACGUCCUUACUAGUCCUAAAUUGAAUUUGAGUACUUAGAUUCUAUUUAAGUAUUAGUAUAUAGCACUUUACUUUACCGAUAUGGAAUAGAGUAUCAUGUUAAAGCUGGGCCAAUAGUACUGGAUGUGGCAUUACAAUAGCUGAACAAAUCUCGUGUAGUUUCUACACAAGGGUGAGAUUGGGUUAGUGGCAUUGGAUUGCUACUGCAGAAGGGAGUGGUGUAGUGCUAAGUGCUACAUCGGCCUAAGGGUAGGAAUUAACGCAAGAAUUCGUACAAGCUAUCUUUAAAAUCCUCCACAAUUGAGUGGAUAGUCUAGAUCAUGCUAUUGGGUUGGGCUUUGCGAGGAUGUAAAGCCUAAUAAAGAAGGGUGAAUGUCAUAUUUUAUUGUACAUUGAAAAAGUAAGUGUUAUAGAUUAAUACUUAAGUACAAUCUAAGUAUUCAAGUCCAACUUGAAAUAUCCAUUUUGGACUAACGAGAACGGAGUCCAAAUAUUGGGAUCCGAUUGCUAAAACUUUGGUCAAUAAAAAAUGUAAAUAGUAAUUUAGGAUAAAUAUAUUAGUAUAACUAAUCAAUGAUUUGUAUUAGUAUAAAUAUAUAAUUAUUAAUAUGAUUAAUAAUAUUGUAUAUACAUAAUCUGAUACUAUAUAUAUAUAGGCAAGUGAUGA